UUCCUUCUUCAUCUUCUCCUCCCCCUCCUUCCGUGAUGCUCACUCGCCUAUAAAUAGCCCUCGCUGCCUGCCAUUGUUCCUCAAGCCAGCAAGCAAGAAGCACACAGGAAGCUCCUAGCCAACACCAAUCAAGGCCUCCAUCCAAUCCCAAGCAACCUCGAAUAUGUCUUGCUGCGGAGGAAACUGCGGAUGCGGCACCGCCUGCAAGUGCGGCAACGGCUGCGGUGGCUGCAACAUGUACCCCGAGGUUGAGGCCGCCGGCGCCACCCUCCUCGUCUCCGCCACUGCCACUCACAAGGGGUACGUCCCUUCUCUUGACAAAAUUUUCUCCACAGCUCAUACAUCAUCAUGCACUCGAUCUUUUUUUUUUGCGGGGUACGUGCAGGAGCUCCGGCGGCAUGGAGAUGGCGGCCGAGAACGGCGGCUGCGGCUGCACCCAGUGCAAGUGCGGCACCAGCUGCGGCUGCUCCUGCUGCAGCUGCUAGAUCAUUGAUCAUGCAUGCGCCGCGUGCAUCAUAUCUAUGAUCUACGUAUCCAUCUACUACCAUGUAAUGCCACCUGAUCGAGGGUCUUUGUAUGUAUGUAGUAUGUACGCACCUGCCUGCAUGAGCAGAGCGGGUGCCAUUCCAUGCAUGUAAACCCCUAAAUAAAAUCUCCCGUGGUUUUGCUUACAUCGUGUUGUUAGAUCCUCCUCCUAUUAGUGUUGCUUUCGGGUUCUUCUUAUGCACUAGCAGGAUCAGAGGCCGGUCUUUUGUUCUUGGUCUUCUCCUCAAACUGUCGUUUUCCUCUUCUCUAUGGUUCCAUGUGCGGCAGUAUUUUCUUCUUCUGUUGCCGAGUGUUGUAUCAGACUGUACCUUGUUUUGUGGUUUAUUCCUAUCCAUCUCGAAAUAUAGUGCAGGAAUUUAUUUGCAAAAGGUGGAUCUCAACAAGACACGACGGUAUGUGUAUCUUGCAGGAUUUAUUGAUCGGUCUAUCUUAUGCAUCUUAUUAAAAAAAUACAUUAAGGUCUCAUGGUCAAGCCAAAUUAUCAUUGUUUUUCCUUGCAUGCAAAAUGCAGCAAUAAAUCUUCGUCCUUGGCUUGUUUCUCAUUUCACUGCCUACGUUGCAGGUAUCCGACCCUGUUGGAAUCUCCUUUUCUGUCAUUGUGUUCACUUUCUGUGAUGUGAUGUGUGCGCAAAUAUUCCCACAACAACAACAUAAUAAUAAAGCCAUAUACGCAAGCAACCGAAUAAUGGCAAUGAUAUAUUACUGCUCAAGGCGCAUCUCCAAAUCAACCUGUCAUGUCCAUGGCUGCGUCUAAGCACUCGGGGCAGAAAUACUCACUCUCCGCCACUGAUUCAUAUCACCGAAUCCACACGGCCAAAUUACGUCCUCCAUGUUUUAAGCGAUGCCACUAUAUCUCGUGGGAAAAUUGUUUCCACAGUUCGAUAUCCCUCCCUUUGAUGAAAAAAUUCACGCUUGGCUUCUGCAUCACAGAGUGCAGAUAACGAAUAUUGUUUUCUAUGUUCUGAACUGGAACACUAUAUCUUGUGUAAAAAAUUGUGUCAACAAUAUCGAUAUUCCCUCCUAUAAAAUAAAAUCAUCAAUAGCUCACUUCUCUAUAUAACUGGAUGCAAAGUAAUGGGCGGUGUGGAGCACCCAAGACAGCACGCAAAAUAUCGGUGUUAUUUUAACUCCACUACGUAGACAAGUCACUAUAUUUACACAAUUAUGUAAGAAAAAGAGCUCUUUUAUGGUACCCUGUAUUGAAUAUUGACCGUCCAUCUGCAAAGAUCCAAUGGUGGGUACUUAUCUGUACUGGUGAAACUGGAUUAGCAGCAUCGCUAGUACCGCACGUCUCACGUCCACCGGUAUACUGCUCGGAGGGCAUUAUCGGUGACUCUGCAUCACCGGCAGCCGCCCGCCGGGGCUCGCCUCCUCUUCGCCCCCAUGCCCGCUGGGGCGCCUCCUCCCUGCCUUUAAUCCGCUGUGCUAUGCAUGCUUCUAUGGUUUUGGACUUCUGGCAUGGCACCGUGCGCCCCAUCCCCCUUCCACGCUACGGCCGCGAUGUUCUUUGCCGCCCCGCAUGGCUGAGCAGUGAGCACCUUAGCAUCGCGUUUAUUGUGUUGCCUCGUUCAUGACGACAGUGCAUGCCAAACCACCCUGCGUUGACGAUGAGGCCAGGAUGUGUACAACGUCGUGGUCUUCACGGAGAGCUGCGGCUACGAGAGUGCCGGAGCCUGGCGGAACCUCGCCUAUUUUGUGCUAACCAUGCCCUCGCUACGCUCAUGGCCGUCCUCCUUUAUUUUACUACCGCUUGCCUUCAUGAUCGAGCUCUUCAUGGCCUGGAUCACGCUUUACUUUAGCCUCAGCUUGCCGGACGUGGAGCAGCUACUCAUCUGCCUUUGCUGUGAGGUCGACGACCACGUCAUUGUUCAAAAGCUCACCCAGGCAGGGCUCAACAUACCUGUUUCCUCGUCGUCACCCCGCUGUCACAGACUCACAGGAGUGCACGAUGCAUUCCGAAAUAUUGAUUCGCCAGAGCAAUUCCCUUCACGAACACAAGAAGAGCUUUCACCGUCACAUAUACUGCUCCCUCCCCAGUAGCAGUAUAGGGUACCAUAAAAACCCUCAAGAAAAAUAAAUAACUCAGAGAACUGUCUGGCCAUAGAUGGAGCUUUCUACAGAUGGGGACAAGAAUUUGGCACCACCCACUCAAUUUCCCUCUCACCUUUUUGCAUUGCUUUCAUAUGUAAAAAAACAAAAACAAAAUAGUGAGUUGACUUGCGAUCUGCCUUAAAAUGACAAGAUGACGGUUGGGGGUUAAAAAAACAUUCAAAUGCAUUUUAUAUAUUCAUAUGUUUACUUAUUUUGUAUUUGUUUGUGCAUGUCAUAAAAAUCAUCAAUUUCCACAAGCAUACAUAAUACUCAAUGAUCUACAUUGACAAUAGGCUUUGAGAUUUUUCAACGCAUGACAAGAAAAAUCAAAUGAGGUCAGCUGGAAAUUAAAGAUCAGUUUUGACUUCCAAAAAAUUAUGAUCUCUUUUGUCCAAACUUAAAAGGAAUCAUUACAGAAAAUUUGGAGAUUCCAAUUGUUAGAAUAUUUUCCUACAGGACUAGUAGGGCUGGGAACCAUAAUGAUAUUUUCUAUGGCCUAAUUGACAUGUUUAUGUUGAGCCAAAUCUUUUGGAAAUAGUUUCGUUGAUUCAGUGACAACUAUGUGCUUGCACCUAACGCUUGAGAAAAUUCUUGUAUUUUUUCCCUCUUGCAAUAAAUCAACAUCCAUAUUUUACGCAUUUACUCCAUCUUCAAUUCCCACAGAAUUCAACACAGCAUGACCUGAAAUCUGUGUGUUAAGUUUUCCGGUUCCUGUCUUUUUAAAAUGCUGCAAAAGUAUGUGGCAUGUAAUCUUUAAAAAUAGUGGGAGUGUGAUAGUUAUUGAAAUGCAUGUAGGAUGGAAACUAAAAUUUCAGUAAAAUUCAGCUUAUAACACUAAAAUUGAAAAGGUUGCCAAGCCUAUGGCAACCAAGAGCCGCCAAGAUUUCUUAAAUAACAAAUAUUUUCGGCGACCUCCCCCAAAGAAGACAUAGCUUUUUCCUUGUCUUGACAUUCAAAAGCACUGAGUGAGGGGUAUCGGCUGAAUAUAUUCACUAAGGGCAUGCACAAAAGAGAGUUGACUAUUAUUAUUUUGCAAUGCUUUCAGAAUUUAGUUUGAUAUUGGUUUAAUUCAUAGUUCAUAAUUUACCGAGAAAUACCACUACGAGGUCAAGCACCCCUAAACUUGACCGUUAUGGCUGCAUGCAUCAAUGUAUGCCGAGGGCCGCGCGCGGGGGGUCUUGUUUGGAAAAUAAUAAUGAUCUUAUAGUGCAAUGAUUGGUCAUUGCCUAAGGUAUUUCCCUCUGUUCCAAGAUACAAGGUGUAUUUUUUAUUAAAAAAAACAAAAUUCCCUAUGUUUGACCAAAUUUAAAAUAAAACGUCUCUGUGUUUGGAAACCAUUUAUAUUUUUAUAAGCUCGAUCAAACAUAGAAGAUUUGACUUCAGAAAAAAAAAUAGUACAACUUAUAUUAUGAAACGGGAGUUAGUAGGUACACCAAUAAUUCGAUAUACGCACAAAAUGCUGGCUGUAGUUCCUUUCAUGGCUCCUUUGAUGUAAGAAAGAUGCUAGUAGAGACUAGAGACAAAGGGAAUCAAAUUAUGGGAGGAGGCGGCCCUAUCUAUAUUCCUCUUCCCCAAGCGGUUGCUCCCGUCCAUCCUUUGCCAAAAGUGGAGCAUCUCCCAUUUCCUUCUUCAUCUUCUCCUCCUCCUCCUUCCUUCGUAUUCACUCACCUAUAAAUAGCCCUCGCUGCCUGCCAUUGUUACUCAAGCCAGCAAGCAAGAAGCACAAAAGAAGCCAACACCAAUCAAGGCCUCCAUCCAAUCCCAAGCAACCUCGAAGAUGUCUUGCUGCGGAGGAAGCUGCGGCUGCGGCAGCGCCUGCAAGUGCGGCAACGGCUGCGGCGGCUGCAACAUGUACCCCGAGGUCGAGGCCGCCGGCGCCACCCUCCUCGUCGCCGCCACCGCCACCCACAAGGCGUACGUCCCUUCUCCUUCCUCAUAUAUCAUGCACUCGAUCGUAACAAUAUGACUGUAUGUUGAUCUUGGUAUGGGUGGGGUACGUGCAGGAGCUCCGGCGGCAUGGAGAUGGCGGCCGAGAACGGCGGCUGCGGCUGCACCCAGUGCAAGUGCGGCACCAGCUGCGGCUGCUCCUGCUGCAGCUGCUAGAUCAUCGGUCAUGCAUGCACCGCGUGCCUCAUAUCUAUGAUCUAUCUAUAUAUCCAUCUACCACCAUGUAACGCUACCUGAUCACGGUCUUUGUAUGUAUGUACGCACCUGCCUGCAUGAGCAGAGCAGGUGCCAUGCCAUGCAUGUAAACCCCUAAAUAAAAUCUCCCGUGGUUUAACCCCCUAUACAUGUGUUUGUGUUAUAGUCUUAUAGACCAACUUCUGGCCCAUGUUUACUAUGAACUUGCGACUUGCGAGGUGCCUGGGUUGUUAAUAGACCAGCUGGAUGCUCUCUUGAAGCAACGUAUGCACCGCUUGGAGUCGGUGUAUCUUUAUACACAUGUAUUUAUUUUACAGGUGUAUAUCAUCGGCCACACCUGGGAAAAAACGAUGGAUGGAGAAGUGUAAAUUUACAGGGGUAUUGCUCUGUGAAACGAGAAUCGAAUCAGGGCCUUAAGGGUAGGGAUGGCAAUGGGUAGGGUAUGGGCGCGUACGACUUUUUUCUGCCCAAACCCAUACCCAAAUCUUUUUUCUAUACCCAUCUAUUUCAAUAUCCAUGGACACAAAUUGGUACCCAUGCCCAUACCUAUCGGGUAUAUUAUACCCAAUGGAUAUCCAAUGGGUAUAGUAUCUAACAUUGGCAUGAUAAAGGUAAGCCAAGAAAAGGGCCUAAAACUAAAUUUAGGUACUCGGCCAUCACAAUCCGGUUUGCACUUACAUCAAAAUUUUACAAUGUGGAUUGACACACAAAUGUCUUAAUCUUCAUUACAAACUAACUUAAAAAAACAAGUUUCAAACUUGCAAUGCCAAUCACUGUAGGUAUUAUAGGGUUUAAUUUAUUUAUUAAUUUUUCUGGGUAUCCAUUAGGAUACCCAUGGGUAUAAUUUCAUACCCAUACCCUACCCAUGCAUUUUGCGGGUAUGGACACCCAUUACCCAUGGGUAUGAAGUAGUAAAAAGUCUUAUCCAUGCCCACUGUUUUCGGGUAGGGUACCCGCGGGUACCCAUACCCAUGGGCAAAACUGCCAUCCCUACUUAAGGGCGUUUGAUACAUGCGAAUAUUACUGGCCAAAGUUGAGUAUGAGAUACAUACAAUACAAACUUGACACUUUUGAAAGUCGUGCUAUCAAUCAUGAGACGCAUAGUUUAGCCAAAUUCUCGCUUAAUCUUUGUCAAAGGGUGUCACAUCUGGUUUGGCCAACCCCAUGAUCCGAUAUGUAUCCUACUCUCUGUGGUUUUCGAUGAAUAAAAUUUGGUUAAACCCUAAAAAAACUUAUUUGACGCGCCUUAGUUUUUUUCGAGAAUUUUUUUUAAAUCCGUUCAUCAAUCAUGGCAGUACAAAAAUCACAACCAGGUCCAUGAACCACCUAGCGACGACUACACUCACUGGAGCGAGCUAAACGUGCGCCGCCAUUAUCGCCCCUCCCUUACCGGAGUCGGACAAACCUUAUUGUAGUAGACAGUUGGAAAGUUAUCGUGCUAAGACCCUCAAGGACCACCGCACUGCAUAGCAACCAUCGUCGAUGAAAAGAGUUGUAGAUUGGAAAGAUCAAAGCUAUAACCACACAAGCGAAGACGAACAAAAAUGGAUCCAAUAGAUCCACCAAAGUCCAGCACGACAGAAUCCUGUGAGAUCCGGCGGGGACACACCUCCACAUGUCCUCCUCCGAUGUUAUUCGCACCACCGGGACGAGGAUCGGAUGUGGGAGACAUUAUUCCUACCCAGGGACAUCACUACCGUCACACAGCCCCAACCAAGACGUUAAACCUAACAAAAACGAGAACGGGUCCCUCCCGCUGCCGGGGGGCCAAGAUCCUCCGCACUCCGGGGAAUCGGCGCCGGCGGCAACGGGAUGAGAAAGGAAACUUUUCUUGAGAAGGAGGAAAGACAGACACAUACUGUUGUGUCUAAAUUACCGUGUCUUAGUUUGAUGUACUAUUUGCACCAGCUACUUCAUAACUAGAUUGCCAUGGUUGACGAUGGGUGUGUUCCCCUCUACUAAUAGUGCGGCAGUGCCCUAGCGGCGACAACUAUAUCAUGAACAAUUAAAACUUCACGAAAUUGGUGGCCUGGUGACUUAUGCCUGUGCCUAUAUCGCACGCUCUUUUGUGAUGACAAAGAAACAGAUUAUCAUUUUCGGAGGUUAAAUGGAAACAGAUGGAGUGAACCACAUGUAUGUUGUACCAGCAAAACAAUAUUUAAAUCGAUUCGUUGAUGAUUUCCUUGAUAUAAAAUUUGAGGUGUGCUCUACAACACCCCACCCUACCCCCGGAGCUCCUAUUUGGCACGCUAAGCGCUAGCGGUCGAGCCCGUGCGCGUCCCCUUCCCUUGCACACCCAUUUGGGUCGGCCCAUGCGCGGGGCGGGACACGCCGUUUUUAUUUUUUAUUUUUCUUUUAUUUAUUUUUUAAAUAAUUCAGGAUUUCAAAAAGUUUCAAAUUUAAAAAAAAUGUCAACUUUGAAAAAACAAAGAAAUCAUAAAAUGUUCAUGGAUUCAAAAAAUAUCUUGAAUUUGAAAGACAUGUCCGGACAUUCCCAAAAUGUUCAUAAAUUUGAACAAAAUGUUCACAAAUUAAAAAACAUGUUCAGAAAACUAAAUAAAUGAUUCUCAAUUACGAAAAUAUUGAAAAAUCAAAAAAUGUUCGUUGAUUCAAAAAAUGUUAAUUAAUUUCGAAAAAUAUUUGUCAAACAAAUAGUAUUCAUGAAUGUCAAAAAUUGUUCCCAGAUUUCAAAAACUAUUUCUUGUCAAAAAUUAUUCAGCAAUUCAAAUGUCCAUGAGUUUUAAAACAAUGUUUACAAUUUUAAAAAAUUCUUAGAUAUAAAAAAAUGUUUGUGAAUUCAAAAAAUAUUCAAGAUUAAAUUAAAUUCAUGAAUUUUUAAACAUGUUCAUGAAUUUGAAAAAUAAUCACAACAAAACAAUGUUCAUGCAAUUGGAAAAUGCUCACAAUUUAAAUAAUGUUAAAAAUCAUUAAAAAGUUCAUAAAUUUGAAAAUAAGUUCAAAAAAUGAAAGACUGAAAAAAGAAAAGAAAAACUGACAUCAAAAUAGGAAAAUAUAAAUAAGGUAAAAACGAAAACGAAAAAUAGAAAUGAAAUAAUGAAAAUGAAAAAACAAAAAUAACCCGAAAGGAAAAAACUGGUAUGGAAAGGUUCUAGAACGUUCCCAAAACCGAAAAGGAGGUACUUGGGCCGCCCCAAAAUGUGUACCUAGUGGGAGGGGCGUAUGCGCUAGGAUUAGCCCCCUAAAAAGCUUCACAACUUUUGAGCAGAUCAAUGGUCUAGAUUAAAACAUGUCCUUUACUUUAGAAGGGGUAAUAUAAAAAAUUCACAUUAUAAAAACACUUGCAAUAAAAAAGAUAACGGGCGCUCUAGAAACCCAUGGCGGCUAGUGCGACUUGUUUGGAGCUAUUCGUCUCCUUCCCAACCCUUAUCCACUACCCCGGUCGUCCAUGUAUCUGUCAAAAGUGUUAGAUGAAGGAAAUAUGCCCUAUAGGCAAUAAUAAAGUUAUUAUUUAUUUCCUUAUUUCAUGAUAAAUGUUUAUUAUUCAUGCUAGAUUUGUAUUAACCGGAAACAUAAUACAUGUGUGAAUACAUAGACAAACAUAGUGUCACUAGUAUGCCUCUACUUGACUAGCCCGUUAAUCAAAGAUGGUUAAGUUUCCUAACCAUAGACAUGAGUUGUCAUUUGAUUAACGAGAGCACAUCAUUAGGAGAAUGAUAUGAUUGACUUGACCCAUUCCGUUAGCUUAGCACUUGAUCGUUUAGUAUUCUGCUAUUGCUUUCUUCAUGACUUAUACAUGUUCCUAUGACUAUGAGAUUAUGCAACUCCCGUUUACCGGAGGAACACUUUGUGUGCUAUCAAACGUGACAACGUAACUGGGUGAUUAUAAAGGUGCUCUACAGGUGUCUCCGAAGGUACUUGUUGGGUUGGCGUAUUUCGAGAUUAGGAUUUGUCACUCCGAUUGCCGGAGAGGUAUCUCUGGCCCACUCGGUAAUACACAUCACUUAAGCCUUGCAAGCAUUGCAACUAAUGAGUUAGUUGCGGGAUGAUGUGUUAUGGAACGAGUAAAGAGACUUGCCGGUAACGAAAUUGAACUAGGUAUUGAGAUACGGACGAUCGAAUCUCGGGCAAGUAACAUACCGAUGGCAAAGGGAACAACGUAUGUUGUUAUGCGGUUUGACCGAUAAAGAUCUUCGUAGAAUAUGUAGGAGCCAAUAUGAGCAUCCAUGUUCCGCUAUUGGUUACUGACCGGAGACGUGUCUCGGUCAUGUCUACAUAGUUCUCGAACCCGUAGGGUCCGCACGCUUAAAGUUCGAUGACGGUUAUAUUAUGAGUUUAUGGUUUUUGAUGUACCGAAGGUAAUUCGGAGUCCUGGAUGUGAUCACGGACAAGACGAGGAGUCUCGAAAUGUUUGAUACGUAAAGAUCAAUAUAUUGGACGACUAUAUUUGGAUAUCGGAAUGGUUCCGGGUGAGAUCAGGAUAAUACCGGAGCACCGGGAGGUUAUUGGAACCCUCCCCCCCGGAGGUAUAUGGGCCUUAAUGGGCUUUAGUGGAAAGGAGGGAAAAGGAGCAAGGGAGGGGGCGCCCCCCCCCCCCCCAAGCCCAAUCCGAAUAGGGAAGGGGGCCACCCCCCUUUCCUUCCUCCCUCCUUCCUCUUCCUUCCCUCCCCCUCUCCAAAUAGGAAAAGGAGGAGUCCUACUCCCGAUGGGAGUAGGACUCCCCCCUUGGGCGCGCCUCCUCCCCUUGACCAGCCCUCUCCUCCCCUCCUUUAUAUACGGAGGAGAGGGGCACCCCAUAGACAGAACAAUUGAUCUCUUGGAUCUUUUAGCCGUGUGCGGUGCCCCUCUCCACCAUAGUCCACCUCGAUAAUAUCGUAGCGGUGCUUAGGCGAAGCCCUGCGACGGUAGAACAACAUCGUCACCACGCCCUCGUGCUGAUAGAACUCUCCCUCACAGCUCGGCUGGAUAGGAGUUCGAGGGAUGAAACCGAGUUGAACGUGUGCAGAACUCGGAGGUGCCGUGCGUUCGGUACUUGAUCGGUCGGAUCGUGAAGACAUACGACUACAUCAACCGCGUUGUGCUAAUGCUUCCGCUUUCGGUCUACAAGGGUACGCGGACACACUCUCCCCUCUCGUUGCUAUGCAUCACCAUGAUCUUGCAUGUGCGUAGGAAAUUUUUUGAAAUUACUACGUUACCCAACAGUGGUAUCAGAGCCAGGUUUUAUGCGUUGAUGUUAUAUGCACGAGUAGAAAACAAGUGAGUUGUGGGCGAUACAAGUCAUACUGCUUACCAGCAUGUCAUACUUUGGUUCGGCGGUAUUGUUGGAUGAAGCGGCCCGGACCGACAUUACGCGUACGCUUACGCGAGACUGGUUCUACCGACGUGCUUUGCACACAAGUGGCUGGCGGGUGUCAGUUUCUUCAACUUUAGUUGAACCGAGUGUGGCUACGCCCGGUCCUUGAGAAGGUUAAAACAGCACUAACCUGACGAACUAUCGUUGUGGUUUUGAUGCGUAGGUAAGAACGGUUCUUGCUCAGCCCGUAGCAGCCACGUAAAACUUGCAACAACAAAGUAGAGAACGUCUAACUUGUUUUUGCAGGGCAUGUUGUGAUGUGAUAUGGUCAAGACAUGAUGCUAUAUUUUAUUAUAUGAGAUGAUCAUGUUUUGUAAUCGAGUUAUCGGCAACUGGCAAGAGCCAUAUGGUUAUCGCUUUAUUGUAUGCAAUGCAAUCGCCCUGUAAUUGCUCUACUUUAUCACUAGGCGGUAGCGAUAGUCAUAGAAGCAAUAGUUGGCGAGACGACAAUGAUGCUACGAUGGAGAUCAAGGUGUCGCACUGGUGACGAUGGUGAUCAUGACGGUGCUUCGGAGAUUGAGAUCACAAGCACAAGAUGAUGAUGGCCAUAUCAUAUCACUUAUAUUGAUUGCAUGUGAUGUUUAUCUUUUAUGCAUCUUAUUUUGCUUUGAUUGACGGUAGCAUUAUAAGAUGAUCUCUCACUAAAUUUCAAGAUAAAAGUAUUCUCCCUGAGUAUGCACCGUUGCCAAAGUUCGUCGUGCCCAGACACCAUGUGAUGAUCGGGUAUGAUAAGCUCUAUGUCCAUCUACAACGGGUGCAAGCCAGUUUUGCACACGCAGAAUACUCAGGUUAAACUUGACGAGCCUAGCAUAUGCAGAUAUGGCCUUGGAACACCGAGACCGAAAAGUCGAGCUUGAAUCAUAUAGUACAUAUGAUCAACAUAAUGAUGUUCACCAUUGAAAACUACUCCAUUUCACGUGAUGAUCAGUUAUGGUUUAGUUGAUUUGGAUCACAUGAUCACUUAGAUGAUUAGAGAGAUGUCUAUCUAAGUGGGAGUUCUUAAAGUAAUAUGGUUAAUUGGACUUUAAUUUAUCUUGAACUUAGUCCUGGUAGUAUUAGCAUAUCUAUGUUGUAUAUCAAUAGCUCGCGUUUAGCUCCCCUGUUUUAUUUUUGAUAUGUUCCUAGAGAAAACUAAGUUGAAAGAUGUUAAUAGCAAUGAUGCGGAUUGGAUCCGUGAUCUGAGGAUUAUCCUCACUGUUGCACAGAAAUAUUAUGUCCUUGAUGCACCGCUAGGUCACAGACCUAUUGCAGGAGCAGAUGCUGACGUUAUGAACAUUUUGACAAAAGCUCGGUAUGAUGACUACUUGAUAGUUUAGUGCACCAUGCUUUACGACUUAGAACCGGGACUUCAAAAAUGUUUUGAACGCCACGGAGCAUAUAAGAUAUUCCAAGAAUUGAAAUUGGUAUUUCAUACUCAUGCCAGUGUCGAGAGGUAUGAGACCUCUGACAUUACUUUGCCUACAAGAUGGAGGAGAAUAGCUCAACCAGUAAGCAUGUGCUCAGAUUGUCUGAGUACUACAAUCACUUGAAUCAAGUGGGAGUUAAUCUUCUAGAUAAUAUAGUGAUUGACAGAGUUCUCUAGUCACUAUCACCAAGUUGUUAGAACUUCAUGAUGAACUAUAAUAUGCAAGGGAUAACGGAAACGAUUCCCAAGCUCUUCAUGAUGCUGAAAUCGACGAAGGUAAAAAUCAAGAAAAGCAUCAAGUGUUGAUGGUUAACAAGACCACUAUUUUCAAGAAAAGGGCAAAUGGAAUAAGGGGAAUUUCAAGAAGAACGGCAAGCAAGUUGCUGCUCAAGUGAAGAAGCCCAAAUCUAGACCUAAGCCUGAGACUAAGUGCUUUUACUGCAAAGGGACUAGUCACUGGAAGUGGAACUGCCCCAAGUAUUUGGCAGAUAAGAAGGAUGGCAAAGUGAACAAAGGUAUAUUGGAUAUACAUGUUAUUGAUGUGUACUUUACUAGUGUUUAUAGCAACCCCUCAGUAUUUGAUACUAGUUCAGUUGCUAAGAGUAGUAACUUGAAAUGGUAGUUGGACAAUGAACAGAGACUAGUUAAGGGUGGAGCAACGAUGUGUGUUGGAAGUAGUUCCAAGAAUGAUAUGAUCGUCAUCGCACACUCCCUAUACUUUCAGGAUUAGUGUUGAACCUAAAUAAGUGUUAUUUGGUGUUUUCGUUGAGCAUGAAUAUGAUUUGAUCAUGUUUAUUGCAAUACGGUUAUUCAUUUAAGUUAGAGAAUAAUUGUUAUUCUGUUUACAUGAAUAAAACCUUCUAUGGUUAUACACCCAAUGAAAAUGGUUUGUUGAAUCUUGAUUGUAGUGAUACACAUAUUCAUAAUAUUGAAGCCAAAAGAUGCAAAGUUAAUAAUGAUAGUGCAACUUAUUUGUGGCACUGUCGUUUAGGUCAUAUUGGUGUAAAGCGCAUGAAGAAAAUCCAUGCUGAUGGGCUUUUGGAAUCACUUGAAUAUAAAUCAGUUGAUGCUUGCGAACCAUGCCUCAAGGGUAAAGAGGACUAAGACUCCGUUCUCCAGAACAAUGGAGCGAGGAACUGACUUAUUGGAUAUAAUACAUACUGAUGUAUGAGGUCCGAUGAGUGUUGAGGCUCGCGGCGGGUAUCGUUAUUUUCUGACCUUCACAGAUAAUUUGAGCAGAUAUGGGUAUAUCUACUUGAAGAAACAUAAGUCCGAAACAUUUGAAAAGUUUAAAGAAUUUCAGAGUGAAGUGGAAAAUCAUCGUAACAAGAAAAUAAAGUUUCUACGAUCUGAUCGUAGAGGCAAAUAUUUGAGUUACGAGUUUGGUCUUCAAUUAAAACAAUAUGGAAUAGUUUCACAAACUCAUGCCACCUGGAACACCAUAGCGUAAUGGUGUGUCCGAAAGUCAUAACUGUGCUUUAUUUGAUAUAGUGCAAUCUAUGAUGUCUCAUACCGAUUUACCACUAUCAUUUUGGGGUUAUGCAUUAGAGAUAGCUGCAUUCACAUUAAAAAGGGCACCAUCUAAAUCUGUUGAGAUAACACCGUAUGAACUGUGGUUUAGCAAGAAACCUAAGGUGUCGUUUCUUAAAGUUUGGGGUUGCGAUGCUUAUGUGAAAAAGGUUUAUCUUGAUAAGCUCAAACCCAAAUCGAAGAAGUGCGUCUUCAUAGGAUACCCAAAAGUAACUGUUGGGUACACCUUCUAUCACAGAUCCGAAGGCAAGAUAUUUGCUGCUGAGAAUAGAUCCUUUCUAGAGAAGGAGUUUCUCUCGAAAGAAGUGAGUGGGAGGAAAGUAGAACUUGAUGAGGUAACUGUACCUGCUCCCUUAUUGGAAAGUAGUUCAUCACAGAAAUCUGUUUCUGUGACUCCUACACCAAUUAGUGAGGAAACUAAUGAUGAUGAUCAUGUAACUUCAGAUCAAGUUAUUACCAAACCUCUUAGGUCAACCAGAGUGAGAUCCGCACCAGAGUGGUACGGUAAUCCUGUUCUGGAGGUCACGUUAAUUGACCAUGACGAACCUACGAACUAUGAGGAAGCGAUGAUGAGCCCAGAUUCCGCGAAAUGGCUUGAGGCAUGAAAUCUAAUAUGGGAUCCAUGUAUGAGAACAAAGUGUGGACUUUGGUUAACUUGCCCGAUGAUCGGCAAGCCAUAGAAAAUAAAUGGAUCUUCAAGAGGAAGACGGACAGUGAUAGUAGUGUUGCUAUCUACAAAGCUCGAAUUGUCGCAAAAUGUUUUCGACAAGUUCAAGGUGUUGACUACGAUGAGAUUUUCUCACUCGUAUCGAUGCUUAAGUCCGUCCGAAUCAUGUUAGCAAUUGCCGCAUUUUAUGAUUAUGAAAUUUGGCAAAUGGAUGUAAAGACUGCAUUCCUGAAUGGAUUUCUGGAAGAAGAGUUGUAUAUGAUGCAACCUGAAGGUUUUGUCGAUCCUAAAGGUGCUAACAAAGUGAGCAACCUCCAGCGAUCCAUCAAUGGACUGGUGCAAGCUUCUCGAAGUUGGAAUAAACGUUUUGAUAGUGUGAUCAAAGCAUAUGGUUUUAUACAGACUUGCGGUGAAGCCUGUAUUUACAAGAAAGUGAGUGGGAGCACUACAACAUUUCUAAUAAGAAGUGUGAAUGACAUAUUGUUGAUCGGAAAUAAUGUAGAAUUUUCUGGAAAGCAUAAAGAAGUAUUUGAAAUGAGUUUCUCAAAUAAAGACCUCGAUGAAGCUACUUACAUAUUGAGCAUCAAGAUCUAUAGAGAUAGAUCAAGACGCUUGAUAAGUUUUUUCAAUGAGUGCAUACCUUGACAAGAUUUUGAAGUAGUUCAAAAUGGAACAGUCAAAGAAAGAGAUCUUACCUGUGUUACAAGGUGUGAAAUUGAGUAAGACUCAAAGCCCGACCACGGCAGAAGAUAGAAAGAGAAUGAAAGUCAUUCCCUAUGCCUCAACCAUAGUUUCUAUAAAGUAUGCCAUGCUGUGUACCAGAUCUAUUGUAUACCCUACACUGAGUUUAGCAAUGGAAUACAAUAGUGAUCUAGGAGUAGAUCACUGGAUAGCGGUCAAAAUUAUCCUUAGUGGAAUAAGGAAAUAUUUCUCGACUAUGGAGGUGAUAAAAGAGUUCGUCGUAAAGAGUUACGUCGAUGCAAGCUUUUUACAUCGAUCUAGAUGACUCUAAGUCUCGAUCUGGAUACAUAUUAAAAGUGGGAGCAAUUAGCUAGAGUAGCUCCAUGCAAAGCAUUGUUGACACAGAAAUUUUCAAAAUACAUAUGGAUCUGAAUGUGGCAGACCCGUAGACUAAACUUCUCUCACAAGUAAAACAUGAUCACACCUUAGUACUCUUUGGGUGUUAAUCGCAUAGCGAUGUGAACUAGAUUAUUGACUCUAGUAAACCCUUUGGGUGUUGAUCACAUGACGAUGUGAACUAUGGGUGUUAAUCACAUGGUGAUGUGAACUAUUGGUGUUAAAUCACAUGGCGAUGUGAACUAGAUUAUUGACUCUAGUGCAAGUGGGAGACUGAAGGAAAUAUGCCCUAGAGCCAAUAAUAAAGUUAUUAUUUAUUUCCUUAUUUCAUGAUAAAUGUUUAUUAUUCAUGCUAGAUUUGUAUUAACCGGAAACAUAAUACAUGUGUGAAUACAUAGACAAACAUAGUGUCACUAGUAUGCCUCUACUUGACUAGCUCGCUAAUCAAAGAUGGUUAAGUUUCCUAACCAUAGACAUGAGUUGUCAUUUGAUUAACGGGAUCACAUCAUUAGGAGAAUGAUAUGAUUGACUUGACCCAUUCCGUUAGCUUAGCACUUGAUCGUUUAGUAUUCUGCUAUUGCUUUCUUCAUGACUUAUACAUGUUCCUAUGACUAUGAGAUUAUGCAACUCCCGUUUACCAGAGGAACACUUUGUGUGCUACCAAACGUCACAACGUAACAGGGUGAUUAUAAAGGUGCUCUACAGGUGUCUCCGAAGUUACUUGUUGGGUUGGCGUAUUUCGAGAUUAGGAUUUGUCACUCCGAUUGUCGGAGAGGUAUCUCUGGCCCCUCGGUAAUACACAUCACUUAAGCCUUGCAAGCAUUGCAACUAAUGAGUUAGUUGCGGGAUAAUGUGUUAUGGAACGAGUAAAGAGACUUGCCAGUAACGAGAUUGAACUAGGUAUUGAGAUACCGACGAUCGAAUCUCGGGCAAGUAACAUACCGAUGGCAAAGGGAACAACGUAUGUUGUUAUGCGGUUUGACCGAUAAAGAUCUUCGUAGAAUAUGUAGGAGCUAAUAUGAGCAUCCAUGUUCCGCUAUUGGUUAUUGAACGGAGACGUGUCUCAGUCAUGUCUACAUAGUUCUCGAACCCGUAGGGUCCGCACGCUUAAAGUUCGAUGACGGCUAUAUUUUGAGUUUAUGGUUUUUGAUGAACCGAAGGUAAUUCAGAGUCCUGGAUGUGAUCACGGACAAGACGAGGAGUCUCGAAAUGUUCGAGACGUAAAGAUCGAUAUAUUGGACGACUAUAUUUGGAUACCAGAAUGGUUCCGGGUGAGAUCGGGAUAAUACCGGAGCACCGGGAGGUUAUCGGACCCCCCCGGAGGUAUAUGGGCCUUAAUGGGCUUUAGUGGAAAGGAGGUAAAAGGAGAAAGGGAGGGGGCGCCCCCCCCCCCCCAAGCCCAACCCGAACUGGGAAGCCCCCCCCCUUUCCUUCCUCCCUCCUUCCUCUUCCUUCCCUCUCCCUCUCCAAAUAGGAAAAGGAGGAGUCCUACUCCCGGUGGGAGUAGGACUCCCCCCUUGGGCGCACCUCCUCCCCUUGGCCGGCCCUCUCCUCCCCUCCUUUAUAUACGGAGGAGAGGGGCACCCCAUAGACACAACAAUUUAUCUCUUGGAUCUUUUUGCUGUGUGCGGUGCCCCUCUCCACCAUAGUCCACCUCGAUAAUAUUGUAGCGGUACUUAGGCGAAGCCCUGUGACGGUAGAACAUCAACAUCGUCACCACGCCGUUGUGCUGAAGGAACUCUCCCUCAAAGCUCGGCUGGAUCGGAGUUUGAGGGACGUCAUCGAGUUGAACGUGUGCAGAACUCAGAGGUGCCGUGCGUUCGGUACUUGAUCGGUCGGAUCGUGAAGACAUACGACUACAUCAACCGCAUUGUGCUAAUGCUUUCGCUUGCGGUCUACAAGGGUACACGGACACACUCUCCCCUCUCGUUGUUAUGCAUCACCAUGAUCUUGCGUGUGCGUAGGAUUUCUUUUUAAAUUACUAUGUUACCCAACAUUAGACUCCUCCACUUUAUCUUACUCCUCACAUUCCCAUCAUCCGACAUAGUAUGACGACAUCUCAGCCCCUUGUAUUCACAUCACACGGUGUUCAAAUCGCACGAGCCACGAGGCCUUGUUUUUUAAACAGAAGUGGUGUACCCAAGCACCCCUAAUGAAAUUGGCGUUCCCUUGAUCCAAAGAAAAAAAGAGUAAAAAGAAACCAAACACUCCCCCCCCCACAUACACCUCCAGCGUUCCUAUGCACCGAAUUGUACACAACCAAUAGUUUCUACAUUGCUACACAUGAAUGAUGCUUACAGUUGAAAUAAAAGGCAACUCAUUGUCGCUUACAACUAAAUAGCAAAAGGAUACUAGGAGUAGAGUUUGACAUAGGCUAGAGUAAGUGCAUUAUAUAUCCUUAUUUCUGUUUCGCAAUUUUUUUUCCUUAUUUCUAGUGUGUGAUUGCCACCCAAGAUUGCAAUAGAACACCAGGUCAACUGACAAUCCAAUCCCUGGUGUUCUAUUAUAUGUCGAGUUAAAUACUAAAAAGUGCUACUAGGAGUAGAGUAUGAGAUGAACGAGAGUAAGUGCAUUAUGUAUAUCCUCAAUUAUAGUGUGCGGUCACCACCCAAGAUUGCAACAGAACACCAAUUUGGCUGACGAAACCAAUCUAGUCCAAUCGCUUAUUGAACUAAAAGUCGGUAUAUGUACUUAGGAGUUGCCUAACUAAAGCAUGCGGUUCAACUUGAUAGAUCUAGUAAGAUUCAACUCGAUAAUCGUUUAAUUCCUAAUGGUUUCUAUAAAAAAUAGUUACAAUAACUAACUCAAACGAAAUAUAAGCGAACAAUCAAACAUCGACCGGCUCACAUGGCUUCCAAAUAAAACUAAUUAACAGAUCGAGUAAUACAUUGUUUAUUCCUUGCUCUUAAUAUGAGGUUAUACAUAACAUAUUUUGGUCCAUCCUGAAGUAAGUAUUACGUAACAAGUACUAGCUAGUAUUUCAGUCUCUACUAGCAAAUGUUGCAAUAGCAAACAGCCUUGAUGGCGUUCUUCUUAUCACAGUGGUAGUCCUUGAGGCUGCCCUUCCUAUCACGUGCAAACACGUCACACGUGGCCUUGCAUAGAGGCUUGGUGCAGAAAAACUCCCCGCCGUCGUCAACGACCGCGAAAUUGUGCUGCACAACACCAAGAAAACACAAACCAUUAUAUUAGAAUAUUAGCGACAAACCCCCAUUAGAUUAGAUUAUACGUAUUUGACAAACACAAUUAAACACACCUGCAGAAAUAGGAGUACCCACAAGUGUUAGCACCACGAGGAAGCAAACAAUAGCAGCCCGUGUGUCCAUCCCAAGAGUUCUCUCCUUUUUUGAACUAGAAGGAAAAAUAUGUGUUCUCUUCGUCUAUUUUAAUUUGGCUAUGGGACUAAUGUUUAUGUCUUGAAGUGCUUGGAGUGUUGUCUUAUAUAGACUUAUUGAAAGGGACAAAAAUAAAAGCAUUUAAAUGAUUGUUAAACUUAGCAAAAGAGAUAGAGGUGAGUCACACCCCAAAAAUGGAAGCACUUAAUGCUGGGUGAGAAAUUAAAUGACGAAGGCAAAGAAUAUAUGAGUGAUGUUUAUCCAAUAAUCAAGGCUUUAAUUUUCGACUACAAAAUAAGCAUGACCAUUCAAAAAAUGGAGUCAUCUUUUUGUCGCUGGUGACAUUGAUCAAACAUGGUUUUUUAUAAAAAAAAAUGUAUAGCCACUUUAAUUGCAAACACCAUUGUGCAUUGAAAUUCAGUUGACUUCAACAAAACAAUCAAUAUGAAUUGCAUGCUUGAUAUGUAACCAACUAAAACUAAAAUUGUAUGUUGUCUCGAGUUGACUAAAUCACCAUUUUUGGCUAGACAAUGUUUAAAACUGUGUCAACUGUGUCAAUUUGCACGGCGCCUGGGACAAUGCAAUGUCAAAUCUUGCACUAUUUUAAACCACCACAAGAUAAGCAAGCUGAGUUGGCCCGGGCCUCUUGCCAGACGCUGGCAUCCACCUCGAAAUCUAUAUCAAUAUAUUUUUUGUAUCACAUGAAUCAUAUAGUAUUGGUCUAAAAUAUAUUUUCUCUUGUUGCAAAAUAUGAAAGAAAAAUCGGCACAACAAUAUUAUAUAGACCCAUCGCAACAAUAGCAUGCUUCACAGUCGGUGGGUCCCAUGUAAAGACAUUUGGAAAUACCUCAAAAAUGCAUAUGUGUACUAUUUAUUAUUGUCCAAGAAUUUCACAUGCUCACUCACAACAAACUGUUGAAGAAUUCCGUGCAACUUAGAAACUAACGUAUGCAACAACGCGAGCACAACAUUUGUGUUAGGACUAACAAAAUUACAUUACAUUGUAGCAUGUCACACAUGUGUAUGUAGUAUGACGCAAAUGAGUUCACAGCAUACCAAAACAACGAAUGGUAACUACAAAAAAUUCCCAUAAAUCUAACAUUUUACAACCAAAAAAUUUGGUGGGCACUGACCUCACCUCAUCAAACUUGCUCUAAUAUUCUAGUUAGUGUAGAGUUUUGGAUUAAGCUAAAGUUGCUCUAGUAUUAUGCCACAACAAAAAGGAAAGAAAUGGGGGAAAACAAAGAAGAGCGGAGCAGGGUGGCUUACUCGGAUCUAAGUCGGCCAAUAUCAAUCGCAUUGCCCUCCUAAAUCCUGAUUACUCAAGCCAGCCCAAAAUUGAGGGGCUACUAAAAUAGAAGUUGAGCCUAUGGUGCAAGAACAGAAAAGCCAUUGGAUUGGAUAUGGAUAGCACAUGAUCUGGUGGAGCGAUCUCAGGCCACUUUUUGUAUAUUUUAUGAAAAAACCCUAUUAACAGUUAGGUACAAAACAAAACAUUCGCAGUGACCACCUUAAGUAUCUCAUCUCCCAAUCCAAUAGUGGAGUUAACGACCAUUUACAGAUUUCAGGUUUUUUCCAGCGACCAUUUAUAGAAUUUGCACAACCUCAUAUCCUAUCAGUUUUAUAAAAUAUAUUUUCACAUACCGAGCACAAAUAUAUGGUUGUAAGAAUGAAGAACUCAUACUCAUGCUUGUUUUAAUUCUAGUAUUUACACCCCUAAGGUUGUUAAGGUCCGGUUACAAAAACUCGAAUUUAAUUCUCUUAUAAGAACUUGUUAGAGUCCUGUCAUAGUGCACAUCCUCUCGUGGAUUCGAUAACUCAAGGUUGCUCCUUCGGGAAAAGGGAGGGAAACCUUUGUUGUCCAAACCGGAUCUCAAAGAGCACCACCCAUCUCUCACCCUACUCGAUGAUACAACAUCGACGACCAGGUACGUGUGUAACCAACCGUCUGCUCCCUCGCUCUGUCACUGUGGUGCUAUUCAUUACAUCAAGUCGGGACCCAUUUCCUUCCUUUUGAGGUUAACAAUUAAGGUUUCUAGUCUAUAUGAGGGCCUUCGGAUUCAACUUAUAAGAAUGUUAGUUCAAAUUUAAUGAUGAUUAUUUCAAGUGGAUGGUUAUGUGAACUAGGUUGGUAGAGUGGUGGCCGACCACUGUUGCGGCGGACUUCAGGGAUGUUUGAUCUAUCCACCUGGCUUGAUCAAGCAGCGUCGACAUUUGUGCAUCAUUAUUUUGUUGAAUAUGUUCGUUCGAUUUGCUUGUUGCAGGGGUGAUAGCCUCUGGUCCGACGUUUGGUUACACGAGACAAUAAGCUCCCCUUGCAAAAGUGUAUGAUGUGGGAAUUACGUGUUGUACUCCUCAGGUGCAAACGCACGUAUAUAUGAUGUACAGGAGUAGGCCACGACCUCAAUUAUACAAGGCAACUAGGAGGUGGGCCCAAUACACAAAUAUGCACAACAAAGACUGGACCGGAACUCCUCAAAAUGAUGCCGUAGGCAAGUCCUUGGUCAUGGUAUAUGCAAAUUGUUGGGAAGUAGGGACGUGUAAAACACGAAUAUGGCCAAGGGCCACCUAUUCCCGAACAAAAUGAAUAUCCAACUCAAUAUGCUUGGUCCGUCGAUGAUGCACCGGGUUAGCGGAGAGGUAGACUGCCGAGACGUUGUCGCAAUAGACCACCGUGGCACGGUCAACAGGGAAAGAGAGCUCCUGAAGCAGCUGGCGAAGCCACGAACACUCGGCGACGGUGUUGGCCACCGCAGGAUACUCAGCCUCAGCGUUGGAACGAGAGACCGUAGGCUGCCGCGUGGAUGACCACGAGAUAAGUGAGGGUCCAAGGUAGACACAAUAGCCCGAGGUGGAGCGACGAGUUUUAGGGCAGCCCGCCCAGUCUGCAUUGAAGUAGGCGGCGAGGGCAGUGUCGGCGGAGGCAUGAAGCGUGACACCAAGAUCCAUAGUGCCACAGACAUAGCGGAGAAUCCGUUUGACAACGGCCCAGUGCAUCUCGAGGAGCAUGCAUAUGAAGACACACCUGCUGCACGACAUACUGGAUCUCUGGUUGAGUUAAAGUGAGGUACUGAAGAGCACCAACAAUAGACCGAUAAAAAGCAGCAUCCGAAGCAGGAGAACCAUCCGUGGCAGAAAGCUUGGCCUUUGUAUAAACAGGCGUAGCAGCGGGCUUGUAGUUAAGCAUGUUGGCCCGCUCCAGGAGCUCAUGAGCAUACUUCCGCUGAUGAAAGAAGAAGCCAUCCGGACGGCACACCACCUCGACACCGAGGAAGUUGUGCAAAGGACCCAAGUCCUUGAUGGCAAACUCAGCGCGAAGACGAGCCAUGAGCUGACCGAGGAGACCAACCAUACAUGCCGUCAGGAUGACGUCGUCGACAUAGAGCAGAAAGUAGGCCGUGUUAGAGCCCUGAUGAUAGACGAAGAGCGAGGCGUCCGAGCGGGUGGAGCGGAACCCAAGCUGGUGGAGAAACGCUGCGAUGCGCUGGUACCAAGCACGCAGAGCCUUCUUAAGUUCAUACAAGGACCGCGAAAGCAGGCACACGUGGUCGGGAAGCGCCGGGUCAACAAACCCGGUGUGCUGCUGGCAGAAGACCUGCUACUCCAGGUGACCAUGGAGCAAGGCGUUGGAGACGUCCAUCUGGUGCACCGGCCAAGCACGGGAGACUGCAAGGUGGAGAACCGUGUGUAUCGUGUCGGGCUUGACGACCAGAGCGAAGGUGUCGAUGAAGUCGAUGCCAGCACGCUGUCGGAAGCCACGAACGACCCAACGCGGUUUGUAGCGAUCAAAGGUACCAUCGGGACGGAGGUUGUGUUUGAAGACCCACUUCCCGGUAAUCACGUUGGCGUGCUGAGGACAGGAAACAAACAUAGAAGAUUUGACUUUAGAAAAAAAAUAGUACAACUUAUCUAUACCUAAUAUUAAAGGACGGAGAUUUUUAUAGUUCUCCAUACAUCUAACUUUAUUAAUAGUCUUCAUCGGCCCACCGGAGCAAGACAAUAAGUAGGCCUGGAAACACUCGAUUCAAUGGGCCUGAAAAAUAAACGGGCAUGCAUCCUCUCUCGCUCAUCUCUCUCCUCUCGAACCCCUCAUAAAAAAUUUCUCUCCUCUCGAUCCCUUCGCUCUCUACUACGAGCGCUCCUGGGGCAGACAUGUUCUCCCUUCUCUCUACCGCUGCGGAUGGCCCAACUUGACUCCGAGACGAACUCUGCUCGAGCACGCACCCAUAGGGUGUCCCGACAGGUUCUUUGCGGUUCCGCAGGCUGGUCUAGGAACAUAUAGAAACAAAUUGACGCCAUCAAACGAAGCCCCAGCUCAAUUGCCUGGUUGCGGAGUGCGGCGGCAUGUCGAGCCGAACGCCGGCAAGAUCAUACAGGAUGAGGCAGUAGAUGCCAACGAUAGUGUGCGUCACCCAACUCGACGCAGGCGAGGAAGAUGAGCAGGACGGCGUUGGAGCUCAGCAGGGCGCCGACGAGAACGUACGGGAAGAGGCGGUAGACGCCGAUGGCGGUGUAGGUAACCCACCCAGCUCGACGAAGGUGAGGAAGAUGAGUAGGACGGGGGGUAGCCGGGGAUUUGAAGAGGACUCGGAAGGGCUACACGAGCAUGACCAGGUCGUCACUGAAUCGGAUCCGUCACCUCAUGCGGCUGAGCUGUUAGAGGACGAUGCAGAGGCUCUGGUCAAAGGCGACCAUGAUGGAUGUGUCACCGCCGGCCACGCGAUAGAGGAAGAAGGUGAGGCUCAAGAGCCGGCCAGCCGAGUGGACGUGCCGGUGCAGUUGUGACCGCUCGGGAGGUUGAAGGCAAGCGAGGGAGCUCAUGCGGCGACGUCGGCAAGGCUCGGUGGCGAGAUAGCGCAGAAGAGCGGUGCAGCGGAGCGACAACCACGAUGCUAGGGCGUUGCGGAGAGAAAGGAUGAAGAGAGAUAGGGCAAGGGAGUCCUACUGCUGGUGGAGGCACGCAGGAGGAGCUCGAGCAUCAGUUGGCGGGCGAAGCAAGGAGUCGCAGGGCUUUCCAGCGACUAUGAUGGUGCGGGUUGAUCUGGGGAGGCUGGGAGAGCUGCCUCCUAGGGGCGCUGGUUCGGGUUGACGUGUGCGUCAUGUGCACUGCUACAAAAUUGCUGGAUAUGUGUAUCUAUAUGUGUGCGGCUGCGAUUUGAAAGUCGUAGCAAUGCACAGGCUUAUAAUUAAAUAAUUAUAUAUCUUUACUUGUUCAGUAGCAACACAUGCUAGCAAGCAGCAGAGACAGUAUACUAUGUUGGCGAUCAUUUGGCGAGCGAGCAGUUGAAUUGCUGCUGGCAUGCAUUGUGCAGGGGCAUGUUCGCUUGGGUCUUGGGACGAAAUCGACUGAGUCAAUAAAUAAUUUUUUAAAAGGAUAUUAGACCCUCGGCCUCUGCAUCAUUCAUUAUGAUGCACACAAAUAUUUUUAGCAAAGUUAGCCAUGGGUCGAACCAUUAGAUAUCAAAUAGACAUCUACAACUAAGUCGACUUCUGCUGCAACAUCUCUUCAAGAAGGGAUAAACUUUCUCGCCAUCGACCGAAACAAUCCGUAAGAAGAAGAAAAUGAUCACACAUGUGAAACAUAAUUGUCAAUACAAAUACAUGACACAUGGUGGUACGAACACACAUCACGAUGGAAGAAUACCAGCAACUUAAAAGCAAGCCUACAUCAAAUCUAUAUUUCAUUAGUAUUUAGUCCAUAUUUUUAUUUCUAUCAACCUAAACUCCAAUUACGUUAAAAUUUAGGUUUGAACUGCAGAUAUGAGAUUUCGAAUUUAAAGAUUGAACGUAUAUUUAAAGUUCUCAUAGUAUGUGUCUAUUUUUUGGGGUGUCUUUUUACUCGAUAGGAAUCCAAUUCAAUGCUCAAAAUCAAAUAACAAGAUUAUUGCUACAUAUUUUGAUAAAGCUAAAUUUUACUUGAAUUUUGGAUGUAGUUUAGACAAAUAAUUCUCACUAAAUCUUACUAUGGGCCAAUUUUUCUCUACCGUUGCAACACACCGGAUCGAGAGUUUCCAAGAAAACAUUGUCAGUCAGAUGCAUUUACUCCAGAUCAUAACUCAUGUCCUAAGCUUCACGUCGUGAUCCUCAAAUCAUGCAUCUUUUUAUUUUCUCAUCAUCAACCGUUGUGACAUGACACAGUUCCUCGACCUGGCCAACCAUGGUUCAUAGGAACUGGUAUAUUUCUCCCGCUGCAACGCACGGGCAUUCGUGCUAGUAUUUUGAAACGGGAGUUAGUAGGUACACCAAUAAUUCGAUAUACCCACAAAAUGCUGGCUCUAGUUCCUUUCAUGGCUCCUUUGAUGUAAGAAAGAUGCUAGUAGUGACUAGAGACAAAGGGAAUCAAAUUAUGGGAGGAGGCGGCCCUAUCUAUAUUCCUCUUCUCCAAGCGGUAGCUCCCGUCCAUCCUUUGCCAAAAGUGGAGCAUCUCUCAUUUCCUUCUUCAUCUUCUCCUCCUCCUCCUUUCUUGAUGCUCACUCGCCUAUAAAUAGCUCUCGCUGCCUGCCAUUGUUACUCAAGCUAGCAAGCAAGAAGCACAAAAGAAGCCAACACCAAUCAAGGCCUCCAUCCAAUCCCAAGCAACCUCGAAGAUGUCUUGCUGCGGAGGAAGCUGCGGCAGCGCCUGCAAGUGCGGCAACGGCUGCGGCGGCUGCAACAUGUACCCCGAGGUCGAGGCCGCCGGCGCCACCCUCCUCGUCGCCGCCACCGCCACCCACAAGGCGUACGUCCCUUCUCUUUCCUCAUACAUCAUGCGCCUCGCUGUAAUAUGACUAUAUAUGUUGAUCUUGCUAUGGGACUAAGGAUGGAUGGAUGGGUGCAGGAGCUCCGGCGGGAUGGAGAUGGCGGCGGAGAAUGGCGGCUGCGGCUGCACCCAGUGCAAGUGCGGCACCAGCUGCGGCUGCUCCUGCUGCAGCUGCUAGAUCAUUGAUCAUCGAUCAUGCAUGCACCGCGCGCAUGCAUCAUAUCUAUGAUCGAUCCAUCCAUCCAUCUAGUACCAUGUAACGCUACCUGAUCGAGGGUCUUUGUAUGUAUGUAAGCACCUGCCAGCAUGAGCAGAGCAGGUGCACUCCCAUGCAUGUAAACCGACCCCUAAAUAAAAUCUCCCGUGGUUUAACCUAUACAUGUGUUUGUGUUAUAGACCAGCUUCUGGCCCAUGUUUACUAUCAACUUGCGAGGUGCCUGGGUUGCUAAUAGACCAGCUGAAUGCUCUCUUAAAGCAACGUAUGCACCGCUUGGAAUCGGUGUAUCUUUCUUUAUACACAUGUAUUUAUUUUACAGGUGUAUAUCAUCGGCCACACCUGGGAAAAACGAUGGAUGGAGAAGGGUAAAUUUACAGGGGUAUUGCUCUGUGAAACGAGGGUCGAAUCAGGGUCGUAAGGGUGUUUGAUACGUGUGAAUAUUACUGGCCGAAGUUGAGUAUGAGAUACAUACAAUACAAACUUGACACUUUUGAAAGUCGUGCUAUCAAUCAUGAGACACAUAGUUUAGCCAAAUUCUCGCUUAAUCUUUGUCAAAGGGUGUCACGUACUCACGUCUGGUUUGGCCAACCCCAUGAUCCGAUAUGUAUCCCACUCUUUGUGGUUUUCGAUGAAUAAAAUUUGGUUAAACCCUAAAAAAAACUUAUUUUGCGCGCCUUAGUUUUUUUUUCAAGAAUUUUUUUUAAUCUAUUCAUCAAUCAUGGCCGUACAAAAAUUAUAACCAGGUCCAUGAACCACCUAUCGACGACUACACUCACUGGAGCGAGCCGAACGUGCGUCACCGUUAUCGCCCCUCCCUUACCGGAGUCAGGCAAACCUUAUUGUAGUAGACAGUCGGUAAGUCAUCGUGCUAAGACUCUAAAAGACCAUCGCACUAGUGUAGCAACCAUCGCCGAUGAAAAGAGUUGUAGAUUGGAAAGAUCAAACCUAUAACCACACAAACGAAGACAAACAAAAAUGGAUCCAAUAGAUCCACCAAAGUCCAGCACGACAGAAUCAUGUGAGAUCCGGCAGGGACGCACCUCCACAUGUCCUCCUCCAAUGUUAUUCGCACCACCGGGACGAGGAUCGGAUGUGGGAGACAUUAUUCCUACCCAGGGACAUCGCUACCGUCACACAGCCCCAACCAAGACGUUAAACCUAACAAAAACGAGAACGGGUCCCUCCCACUGCCGGGGGGCCAAGAUCCUCCGCAUUCCGGGGAAUCGGCGCCGGCGGCAGCGGGAUGAGAAAGGAAACUUUUCUUGAGAAGGAGGAAAGACAGACACGUGCUGUUGUGUCUAAAUUACCGUGUCUUAGUUUGAUGUACUAUUUGCACCAGCUACUUCAUAACUAGAUUGCCAUGGUUGACGAUGGGUGUGUUCCCCUCUACUAAUAGUGCAGCAGUGCCCUAGCGGCGACAACUAUAUCAUGAACAAUUAAAACUUGAUGAAAUUGGUGGCCUGGUGACUUAUGCCGUGGUGCCUAUAUCGCACGCUCUUUUGUGAUGUCAAAGAAACAAAUUAUCAUUUUCGGAGGUUAAAUGGAAACGGAGGGAGUGAACCUCAUGUAUGUUGUACCAGUAAAACAAUAUUUAAAAGGAUUCGCUGAUGAUUUCCUUGAUAUAAAAUUUGAGGUGUGCUCUACAACACCCCACCCUACCCCCGGAGCUCCUAUUUGGCACGCUAAGCGCUAGCGGUCAAGCCAGUGCGCAUCCCCUUCCCUUGCACACCCAUUUGAGUCGGCCCAUGCGCGGGGCGGGACACGCCUUUUUUAUUUAUUUAUUUUUAUUUUUCGUUUAUUUCUUUUUUAAAUAAUUCAGGAUUUCAAAAAAUUUCAAAUUUCAAAAAACGUCAAUUUUGAAAGAAAUAAACAAAGAAAUCAUAAAAUGUUCAUGUAUUCAAAAAAGAUCUUGAUUUCCAAAGACAUGUUCGCAUAUUCCAAAAAUGUUCAAGAAUUUGAACAAAAUGUUCACAAAUUAAAACAACUGUUCAAAAAACUAAAUAAAUGAUUCUCAAUUACGAAAAUAUUCAUAAAUCAAAAAAUGUUUGUUGAUUCAAAAAAUGUUAAUUAAUUUCGAAAAAUAUUUGUCAAACAAAUAGUAUUCAUGAGUGUCAAAAAUUGUUCCCAGAUUUCAAAAAAUAUUUAUAUUCAAAAAUUAUUCAGCGAUUCAAAUGUCCAUGAGUUUCAAAAGAGUGUUUACAAUUUUAAAAAAUUGUUCUCAGAUAUAAAAAAAUAUUUGUGAAUUCAAAAAAUAUUCAAGAUUAAAUUAAAUUCAUGAACUUUUAAACAUGUUCGUGAAUUUGAAAGAUAAUCACAAUAAAACAAGGUUCAUGAAAUUGGAAAAUGCUCAGAAUUUCAAAUAAUGUUAAAAAAUCCUUAAAAAGUUCAUAAAUUUGAAAAGAAGUUCAAAAAAAGAAAGAGUGAAAAAAGAAAAUAAAAAAUGACAUGAAAAUAGGAAAAAUAUAAAUAAGGUAAAAACAAAAAAGAAAAAUAGAAAUGAAAUAAUCAAAAUGAAGAAACAAAAAUAACCCGAAAGGAAAAAAACUGGUCUGGAAAGGUUCUAGAACGUUCCCAAAACCGAAAAUGAGGUACUUGGGCCGGCCCAAAAUGUGUGCCUAGUGGGAGGGGGUAUGUGAUGAAGCUAUGUACCUAGGGUAGGGUCAUGCACCUGUCCUAACUGCCCCACCCAAGGACAUCUCUAGAAGAAGUCACCUUUCAAUCGACUUGGAGGUGUUCCACUCGACAGACUCGAAGACACUCGACCAAGAAGCAAUCACUCGACCAAGAUCCAACCACUCGACGGCCAGGAGACCUAAAGUCACUCCGCACGCUAACGGUCGGUCAUUAAGUAGCUUUUAUGGUCAUCAUAGCACUUUAUUAGGGGCGUUACCAGUAACGCCCGACCUUAAUGUAUUUGAAACCCUGCAUAACUAAGGGCCAGAGGGGUCUGGCGAACUCUAUAUAAGCCACCCCCUCCUCAGUGUAAAGGGUUCGCACCCCUGUAAUUCAUACACACAUAAUCCAGUCGACCGCCUCCGGGCUCCGAGACGUAUGGCUAUUACUUCCUCCGAGAAGGGCCUGAACUCGUAAACCUCGUGUGCUUACAACUACUCCAUAGCUAAGAUCUUGCCUCUCCAUACCUACCCCCCCUACAUUACUGUCAGACUUAGAACCACGACAGUUGGCGCCCACCUUGGGGAAGGUGUCUUGGCGAUUUGUUGGAGGAGUUGCGAUCUUUUCCGAUCCAAAUCAUCAUGGUUUCUGGCGGAGUUUUGGUGGAGGGCCGCGAGAUCCGUCUCGGCGCGCUCACGUUCAUCGCCGACGACUCCGCUUGGCUUCAGGAGGCUCCGCUCAACGUCGACGCACUCCUUGUCCGUGGGGAAACACACUUUCGCGGGUGCGUUCGCGGCGUUCUCUUGCGUCAACCGUCGACCCGUUAUCGGUCGGCCCCUGUGUUGUCCUCCCUCCCUGUUUCCCGCCGGCGCAAGCGCUCCGGUCGGUCGAGACUUCGGCGGUGGGUGAGACACGUGGUGGCACGCCAGUCGGCCACCCCUCAAGUCACGGCGAUCGAGCCCGACGAAUCCCUCUACGGCCUGCUCGACCUAUCGACUGGCUCUGCAGAGACCGCAUCCGAGUGCGACAACAGUGAUCUGGCGGCGAAGGUUCUGAUGGUCGAUGGACCGCGCAGUCCUCCGGAGAUUUCCCCGCACCGACGGAGGCGCAGGUGGAGGCGACCCGUCGCAUCCCCAUGAGGAAUAUCUCCCCGAGCCUUUCACGUCGCUGCAGAGAGAAGAACUUCGUCGCCGGAACAUGGAUGCACUACACACUCUUAUCGUUGGAGAAACACCCGAAGCUCGUGCCUUGGAGGACGCGCGCCUGGCAAACUUGGCUGAGCGCACUCGACUGGAGAACCUCCAGCGAGCACUUGACGAGCGUGCGCGACAACGGGUUCCAGAAUCCAGUCGACGUCAGCUCUUUCCGCCCUCGCAGGUAUAUCGAACUCCGAUUCAGAAUUUAGCAGCUGCAGCCCGUAUAGCAGAGUCGAUCAAGCCUUCCCAAUCAGAGGCUGGCAGAGGCUUGCUGCAGAAAAGAGCGUUACUCCGGGCAGCAGGAGACCAGAAUUCCGCUGUUUCUCAGUCGCGGAACAGGAUUCAUAGCAGAUCCAUUGCUGCAGACACAGUCCAGUCGGCUCAUAGUCCAAGAUCGCCCCCGAGGCGUGAGGGACGUGGGGACCGGCGUGAUCAGUACGGAAACCGUGAGCAGUAUGAUCACCGAUUCGAUCGUGACGACCGACGUUGAGUGCCCACCCCUUCCCCGAGGAGUGGAUCGUAUGUGCCUCGACAGCAGGAUGACAGGCGCCCUCAUAGUGUUGGGCGAAGGAUUCCAGUCGACCCCAGGGAACCAGGCUUUGAUGCGAGAUCCAUUCUCGUUCAAGGUUUGGUCGACAGGAACAGAGCUCGCCGAGAAGGUCACGACAGAGAUGCACCUACCAGCAGCAGAGUACAUGUUUCAGGGCCAGAGUGCUUUAGUAGAGCCAUCAGGGCCGCUGUGAUUCCUCCCAACUUCAGGUUGGCGACUGGAGUCAGUAAGUUCACUGGUGAGUCCAAACCCGAUACUUGGCUUGAAGACUACCGAGUGGCUGUCCAGAUUGGCGGUGGCAAUGAUGAAGUGGCCAUGAAGCACCUGCCUCUCAUGUUGGAGGGCUCGGCCAGAGCGUGGCUGAAUCAGUUAGCACCCAGCAGCAUUUACACUUGGGAAGAUCUCGCCCGAGUGUUUGUCACUACAUUUCAAGGAACAUGCAAGCGAUCGGCAGGACUGACGGAACUGCGGUCUUGCAUGCAGAAGCCGAAUGAAACCUUGAGGGAUUACAUCCAGAGAUGGAUCACGUUACAUCACACGGUAGAGAAUGUGCCUGAUCACCAAGUAGUCUGUGCCUUCAAAGAAGGCGUCAAGUAGAGAGAACUGAAUCUGAAAUUCGGUCUAACCGGAGACAUGUCUCUGAAUCGGAUGAUGGAGAUUGCCACCAAGUACGCUAAUGGUGAAGAUGAGGAUCAACUCCGGAGUGGCAAGCACAAGUCAGUCGCCCAAGAAACCGAAGGAGGAAAUUCCAAUCGGAAACAGAAGCGGAAAGCCGAGCCAGCUACUCCUGGGGAAGCCUUGGCUGUAACUCAAGGAAAGUUUAAGGGGAAACCCAAAAAGCCUUGGAACCCCAAGAAAGUUAAAGAUCAAGACGGAAAUGAUGUGUUGGAUUUGCCAUGUCACAUCCACACCAAGAAAGAUGAAGAGGGUAAGCUCAUUUACCCGAAACAUACCACUCGACAGUGUCGGCUCUUGAUCCAGCAGUUCCAGGGCAAACAACCCAAAGAUAAGGAAAAGGAGUCGGACAAAGUUGAGUACAAGGAAGACAGUGAUGAUGGAUACCCCCCAGGUCAAUUCCACCUUGAUGAUUUUUGCUGAUGUUGAAAGCAAAAGUUGACUGAAAGUUAUCAACCGUGAGGUGAAUAUGGUUGCUCCGGUGACACCCAGUUAUCUGAAGUGGUCUUAGACUGCCAUCACAUUCGACCAGUCCGAUCACCCAACGCACAUUGCCACCCCUGGGAGGCAAGCUUUGGUGGUCGACCCAGUUGUUGAAGGCACUCGACUGACCAAAGUCUUGAUGGAUGGUGGCAGUGGUUUGAACAUACUGUAUGCUGAGACGUUGAAAGGGAUGUGCAUUCCGAUGUCCAGACUCAGUACCAGCAAACAUGAGUUUCCAUGGAGUCAUUCCUAGGAAGAAGGCUGAGUCACUCGGCCAAAUUGCUCUUGAUGUGGUUUUUGGUGAUUCCAAGAAUUGCCGCAAAGAAAAGUUGACAUUCGAAGUUGUGGAUUUCCAGAGUGCUUAUCAUGCUAUUUUGGGCAGGCCAGCUUACGCACGCUUCAUGGCUCGACCAUGUUAUGUGUAUCUCAAAUUGAAGAUGCCUGGUCCCAAAGGUGUGAUCACUGUUACGGGCAAUCGGAAGAAAGUAGAAGAGUGUUUUCAGAAAGGCUCAAAGAUCGCUGAUGCUCAGAUGGCAGUGGUGGGGCUGCAGGAGUACCAGAAGACUACAGACCCGAGUGAUUUGUUGCGAGCCAAGAAGCCCGCUACAGAAUCAGCUUUUCAGUCGUCUGGUGAAACGAAGCCGGUUCACAUUCACCCGACUGAUCCCAGUGCUGCACCGACUCAUAUCUCAGCAACACUCGACUCCAAAUAGGAAGAAGCGCUCAUCUAGUUCCUCCGUGAGAACUGGGACAUCUUCGCAUGGAAGCCUUCUGACAUGCCGGGUGUUCCCAGGGGGCUGGCUGAGCACCGCCUACGAGUCGACUCAAAAGUGAAACCCGUCAAAGAACAUCUCCGACGGUCCGCCGUCUAGAAGAGAAAGGCUAUUGGUGAGGAGGUGGCUCGGCUCUUAGCAGCGGAGUUCAUCCGAGAGAUUUACCACUCUGAGUGGCUCGCCAACGUUGUCAUGGUCCCCAAGAAGGACAAGUCACUUCGCAUGUGCAUUGACUUUAAACAUAUCAAUCGGGCCUGCCCGAAAGAUCAUUUUCCUCUCCCUCGCAUCGACCAAAUAGUCGACUUGACUGCGGGAUGUGAGCGACUGUCUUUUUUAGACGCCUAUUCCGAGUACCAUCAGAUCCGUCUGUAUGGACCUGACGAGAUCAAAUCAGCUUUCAUCACUCCAUUCGGGUGCUUCCGUUACGUUACCAUGCCAUUCGGCCUCAAGAAUGCCGGAGCCACAUUCAUGAGGAUGAUUCAGAAGUGUUUGCUCACUCAAAUCAGUCGGAAUGUGGAAGCAUACAUGGAUGAUAUUGUGGUCAAGUCACGGAAGGGUUCCGACCUGCUGACUGACCUUGCUGAAACCUUUGCCAACCUCAGGAGGUAUGAUAUCAAGCUUAAUCCAUCAAAGUAAACAUUCGGAGUUCCUGGCGGAAAGUUACUCGGUUUUCUCAUUUUCGAACGGGGAAUCGACGCCAAUCUAGAAAAAGUCGGUACUAUACUCCGGAUGAAACGUCCCGUGCGAGUGCACGACGUCCAGAAGCUUACUGGUUGCUUGGCCGCUUUAAGUCGAUUCAUCUCUCGUCUCGGUGAAAAGGCAUUGCCUCUUUAUCGAUUGAUGAAGAAGUCAGACAAGUUCGAGUGGACUCCUGAAGCUGAUGCAACGUUUGCAGAGCUCAAAGCUCUGCCCUCCAUCCAGCCGGUGCUUGCUGCUCCAAUCAGCAAAGAGCCUUUGUUGCUUUACAUCACAGCCACGGGACAAGUCGUUAGUACGGUACUUACGGUCGAGCGGGAAGAAAAAGGAAAAGCCUCCAAAGUUCAGCGCCCAGUAUAUUAUGUUUCUGAAGUUUUGACCCCGUCAAAGAAAAGAUAUCCUCAUUAUCAGAAGCUUGUAUAUGGGAUUUAUAUGACCACAAAGAAGGUUGCUCACUACUUCUCUGGUCAUUCCAUUACGGUCGUCAGCGACGCUCCAUUGUCAGAGAUCCUGCACAACAGAGAUGCAACUGGUCGAGUGGAAAAAUGGGCAAUUGAACUCCUUCCUCUAGAUAUCAAGUUUGAGGCAAAGAAAGCUAUCAAGUCCCAAGCAAUAGCAGAUUUCGUCGUCAAGUGGAUUGAACAACAACUGCCGACUCAGGUUCACUCGGAGCAUUGGACCAUGUUCUUCGACAGUUCCAAAAUGCUGAAUGGUUCCAGUGCCGGAGUAGUAUUGGUCUCCCCCCGAGGAGAUAAGCUCAGAUAUGUUCUUCAAAUCCACUUUGAUUCCUCCAAUAACGAAGCAGAAUACGAAGCACUUUUAUAUGGGUUGCGCAUGGCCAUUUCACUCGGCGUCCGUCGCCUCAUGGUCUAUGGCGACUCAGAUUUGGUGCUUAAUCAAGUUAUGAAAGAGUGGGACGUCAGAAGUCCGGCCAUGACUGGUUAUUGCAAUGCAGUGAGAAAGUUGGAGAAGAAAUUCGAGGGGUUAGAACUUCAUCACAUACCCCGACUGAAAAAUCAAGCAGCUGAUGAUUUGGCAAAAAUUGGUUCCAAAAGAGAAGCCAUUCCCAGCAACGUGUUUUUGGAACACAUCCACACACCAUCAGUUCAGGAGGAUCCCUUCACUGAAGAAGCCCCGCAGCUAAAAAGUGCCACGGAUCCGAUUGAAGUUGAAGUUCCAGCUGUGGUCGACCUGAUCAUGGAAGUUUUGGUCAUCACUCCCGACUGGACAGUACCGUACAUCGCGUACAUCCUAAGGAAAGAACUCCCAGAGGACGAAGAAGAGGAUCGAUAGAUCGUCCGUCGAUCCAAGGCCUUUACAGUCAUAAAGGGACAGUUGUAUAGAGAAAGCGCGACUGGAGUCAGUCAGAGGUGUAUAACACCAGAAGAAGGUCAAAUAAUCCUUGAUGAUAUCCACUCGGGGACCUAUGGUCAUCAUGCGUCCUCUCGGACCAUUGUGGCUAAAGCAUACCGAGCGGGAUUCUACUGGCCAAGAGCGAAUGAAAUGGCGAAAGAGAUAGUCGACAAAUGUGAAGGAUGUCAGUUUUACUCCAAUAUGUCGCACAAACCCGCGUCAGCCCUGAAAACCAUUACACUUGUCUGGCCCUUCGCUGUUUGGGGACUGGAGAUGGUUGGACCACUGAGAACGGGCAGGAGCGGCUUCACUCAUGUGCUAGUAGCAGUCCACAAGUUCACCAAAUGGAUUGAAGCUAAGCCUAUCAAGAAUCUUGAUGCUUGCACUGCUAUCAGUUUCAUCAGAGAGUUGAUAUUCAGAUAUGGAGUUUCGCACAGCAUCAUCACUGACAAUGGGUCAAACUUCGAUUCCGACAAAUUCAGAGCCUUUUGCGCCUCUCAAGGCACACGAGUCGACUAUGCUUCAGUCGCUCACCCCCAGUCGAAUGGACAAGCGAAAAGAGCAAACGGCUUAAUUCUCAAAGGACUGAAACCCUGACUGAUGCGCGAUCUCAAGCACACAGCAGGUGCAUGGGUCGACGAGCUUCCAUCAGUUCUUUGCGGAUUGAGGACAACCCCGAACCGAUCGACUGGAAGAACCCCAUUCUUUCUAGUCUACGGAGCCGAAGCAGUUCUGCCGAGUGACCUGCUUCACAACGCACCCCGAGUCGAGCUCUACUCUGAAGAUGAAGCAGAACAAGCCCGCAGGACGCAGUCGACCUCCUAGAAGAAGAAAGAGAAAUUGCCAUGAUCCGAUCGACCAUCUAUCAGCAAGACUUGCAUCGAUUCCAUGCCAGAAAUGUGAAGAGUCGAGCCUCCCAAGAAGGAGACUUGGUCCUCCGAGUGGAUCAACAGAAACCACACAAACUCGCUCCUACUUGGGAAGGUCCCUUCAUAUUUACCAGAGUCCUCCACAAUGGAGCGUACCACCUUUAUAAUGUCGAUCGCCAGAUUGAUGAGCCACGAGCCUGGAAUGCGGAGCUGCUCUACCCCUUUUAUACUUGAAUUCUUACUCAGAUGAGAUGUAAUAAGAAAAACUUCUGAAGUUUAUUUAUCAAAGACAAGAGCGUUAUAAUUUUCCCAGUGAUUGAUAUUGUUUUUGUUUGCAUGAGAAAUCCCCCAGUGGGUGGCUUAGCUGCGAAUCCGUUUCGCUUAAGUUUGUAAAAAUAAUUUCCUACCGAGUGGUGAGCCAGCCUCCCACUCGGGGGCUUAGCUGCGAACCCGUUUCGCCUAAGUGUUUGAAAAUCCUACCGAGUGGUGAGCCAGCCUCACUCUCGGGGGCUUAGCUGUAGUCAAGUACUCGCCUAAGUAUUUGAAAAUCCUACCGAGUGGUGAGCCAGCCUCCCACUCGGGGGCUUAGCUGCAGUCCAGUACUUGCCUAAGUAUUUGAAAAUCCUACCGAGUGGUGAGCCAGCCUCCCACUCGGGGGCUUAGCUGCAGUCCAGUACUCGCCUAAGUAUUUGAAAAUCCUACCGAGUGGUGAGCCUGCCUCCCACUCGGGGGCUUAGCUACAGUCCAGUACUCGCCUAAGUAUUUGAAAAUCCUACCGAGUGGGGAGCCAGCCUCCCACUCGGGGGCUUAGCUGCAGUCCAGUACUCACCUAAGUUUGAAAAAUCCUACCAAGUGGAGAGCGACCCUCCCACUCGNNNNNNNNNNNNNNNNNNNNNNNNNNNNNNNNNNNNNNNNNNNNNNNNNNNNNNNNNNNNNNNNNNNNNNNNNNNNNNNNNNNNNNNNNNNNNNNNNNNNNNNNNNNNNNNNNNNNNNNNNNNNNNNNNNNNNNNNNNNNNNNNNNNNNNNNNNNNNNNNNNNNNNNNNNNNNNNNNNNNNNNNNNNNNNNNNNNNNNNNNNNNNNNNNNNNNNNNNNNNNNNNNNNNNNNNNNNNNNNNNNNNNNNNNNNNNNNNNNNNNNNNNNNNNNNNNNNNNNNNNNNNNNNNNNACACAUCCCAAUCCGCAGGGACGACGAGGUGUAGGUCGACUGCCACCUUCUCCUUCGGAGCUUCGCCACAAAUACAACAUGCGCUCCAUCCCAAUCCGCAGGGACGACAAGGUGCAGGUCGACUGCCACCUUCUCCUUCGGAGCUUCGCCACAAAUACAAUGUGCGCUCCAUCCCAAUCCGCAAGGACGACGAGGUGCAGGUCGACUGCCACCUUCUACUUUGGAGCUUCGCCACAAAUACAACAUGUGCUCCAUCCCGACCCGCAAGGACGACGAGGUGCAGGUCGACUGCUACCUUCUCCUUCGGAGCUGCGCCACAAAUACAAAAGUUGUCUCGAGUGAAGAACGAGUUCNNNNNNNNNNNNNNNNNNNNNNNNNNNNNNNNNNNNNNNNNNNNNNNNNNNNNNNNNNNNNNNNNNNNNNNNNNNNNNNNNNNNNNNNNNNNNNNNNNNNNNNNNNNNNNNNNNNNNNNNNNNNNNNCAGGUCGACUGCCACCUUCUCAUUCGGAGCUUCGCCACAAACACAACGUGCGCUCCAUCCCGACCCGCAAGGACGACGAGGUGCAGGUCGACUACUACCUUCUCCUUCGGAGCUGCGCCACAAAUACAAAAAUUGUCUCGAGUGAAGAACGAGUUCCACUCGACGGAGAAUUCAUGAAGAUAUUCAACGAUAAACCAAGUUCAGAUAAAUCCUAAAGGUUCCAGACCGCAGAUCGAAGUGCUCGGGCAUUCAGCCCGAAAGAUUUUAAUGGUUACAAAAACCACUCGGCAUUCCGAGGCAAAUUUAAGGUGGGGCACAAAAGUUAGUUCACUCCACAGGAGGAGGACUGGCAGGCUCGACGAACUCGUCCAGGUCGACGCCAUCGGUGAUCCGAGUGGCUGCAGCAAUAGAAGUCUCCAUAAAAGAUCAGAAGUCAUGCCUCUGGGUGUUGGCGACCUUGAUUGCUGCUAGCUUAUCUUGUCGCACCUCCUUGCAGUGGACACGAACCAAAGACAGAGCCACAUCAGCACCACACCGGGCAAAAGAUUUCUUCCACUCCUGCACUCGGCCAGGGAUCUCGUUAAGUCGAGUCAUCAGAGACUUGAGAUCAUUCUGGAGCGUGGCCCCUGGCCAAAGUGCCGUGUCGAUCCGUGACAUGGCGACCUUCAGUCGAGCCAAGUAGUCCAUAACACCGUCGAUGUGGGAUUCUAGUCGGAGCAGAUUCAUGGCAGUUUCAUCUUUCAUGGGAGAGUUGAUGGGGUCCAAACCUGGCUCAAUCCGCCCAGUCUCCUCCUCGAAGUUCUGGCAAAACUCUGCAUUCAUGAUCCAAGGAUAAGUCAAUUUUCGUAUGCUGAGUCGACAAAAAGAACAUCAGUCGGAACAAAAUGUAUACCUUCAAGCUUGAUGAACAACUUCUUGGCAAGGCUCCUUAGAUAACUCUCCAGAUCGUCCCUCCUGCGAGUGAUGCCUUCCAUCUUCUCGUACAGGUUGACAUUGUUUUUCUUCAAGCGCGUGCACUCCUUGUUGGCUUCGUUCAUGGCAGAUUUCAUCUUGGCGUUCUCUUCUUCCAAUUGGCCGGCUGAAGCCAGUUUCUGUUCAGCCAGAGAGGUUCUAUCGUCAGCUUUCUUUUGAGCAGCAGCCAAAUCCUGAUCCUUCUUCGCCAGAGCUUCGUUCAGUUUUUCUGUAAAGAAAUGGUGCUUGAUUUAGAAAGAGCAGAAGGGUACUCAAGCCUAAGACAAACCAGUCUACAAGCUCGUCUUACCAUUGGCGUCGUCCUUGGCCUUUUGCAGCUCUGUCUUGGCCAAUUCCAAGUCAAGGUUUAGCUGGAUCUGCUGUUUCUCCAAGUCAGCAAAGCGAGCUCCAAGAUCGCAAGAUUUCUGCAAACAGGGAGGGGAAGUUAUUUUACAGCGAAAAACGACAAAGACAAUCAAUACUAAGACUACGGUCGACUGCCCGCAGUCCACCAUAGUCUCGGGGACUACACCCAGUAGGUGCACUUUGCGUGCCCCCACCGGUUCGGUUUACACUCGACAUGGCCAGACCAGAUCGAGCGAAAGAAUCAAAAUACAAAGACUACAGUCGACUGCCAGCAGUCCACCGUAGACUCAGGGACUACACCCAGUGGGUGCACUCAGCGUGCCCCCGCUAGUCCAAAAAUUCAAUCGACGCACCCAGUGGGUGUACAGAUGCAAAGAUUUUCGGAAAGAGAGUCUCCAGAUAGCAUAUCCUAACAAAACAAGCGGUGACCAGCUAACCUGAACAUUGCUUUGGAGAGCCGAGCUGGCGUCAUAGGCGGCCUGACUGGCGUCCCUCACCAUCUUCACCUUCUCCAUCAUAAUGCCCGCCUGGCAUAUGGCUUCCUUGGCAGCAUUCACUUCGUCCUCUGGGACAUGAUGGAUUGCAAAAACUGAAGGUGGGUCGGCAGGAGCUUGAGCAGUCGACGAAGAAGGCAGGGCACUCGACAAUGGUACGGCGAAGGUAAGAGAACCCCGAUUGGCAUCACCAGCGUCCUGAACGACUGGUUCCGCCAUCGGCGUCGAAUGUGGCACCUUGCUUGCAGGAGCUUUCCUAUUUUUCCUCGUCAAAGGCCUCUCAGGCUCCUCAUCAUUAUCAUCGGGGAGGUCAAUAGUAUUAGGAGCUGUUCAAAGAUCAAUCGCCAAAAUCACAUCACCCAAUGGUACACAUUGCAGUUGAGUCGACCAAAUAAAGACAGAAUGACAGAAAUCAUACCCAGAUUGGAAGUGACUACAUCCUCCAUUACCUCGUCCUCAUCUCUGUAAGCUAAGGUCCCGGAAGUAGCAGCGCUGCCAGUUCCAAAGUUCGUCUGGUUAAAUCAAGAAAAAAUAAACAGCACGGAGCGUUGAGUGAAUACAAAGGGAGACACUCACGCAGAAGCGACGGGGAUGUCAAUCUUAAUCUUCGGCAACGCCUUCCGAGGCUUCUGCUCUGCAACUUUGAGAUGCUUUGACACUUUUUCAGUUGGGGUUGGUGAAGAUGUCCGAGGACGCUUUGAAGACUGACCAGUCUGAGCAAUCGCCUUUUCACGGGCGCUCGGUCGUUCUUGGUCAAGCUUGGAUCGCCUCUCCCUGCGAGGAGGCGACUCGACUUCUUCUUCGUCACUUGAGUCGUCGCUUUCUUCAUCCUCUUCUCCGUCAGAAUGCCAUUUGCCACUGUCGCCGCCGCUCGCCUCUCCUUCCAGAUCUUGCUCUUGCUCUCCGUUGGGCACUGAGUACAUUUCGAUAAGGGCCUGAAAGAAAGCAGGAAGAAUAAAGUCAGUCGACGCAGUAUAGACAGCUGCGCUAGUGGAUUCAGAUUAUAAUCAAAGGCUCAGAACCGGACCUUUUCUGGUUCGUGGGACUGGUCGAAUGGAGGAACUCUCCUGGCUCCCCUGGGGUUGUCCUUGUUUCCGGUGAUGCCCGACAGCCACCCCUCCAGUGUGUCGUCAUCAACCUCCUCCGGGUGAAUCCGAGUGGUGUCAUCAAGACCCGAAUACAUCCACAUCGGAUGGUCUCGAGCUUGAAGAGGCUGGAUGCGCCGCCGAAGGAAAACCUCCAAGAGAUCCAUACCAGUGACCCCGUCACAGAUAAGCUGGACCACUCGUUUGACCAGCACCCUAACUUGCGCCUUCUCCUCCGGGAGCACCUUCAAAGAGGAGGGUUUCCUCACUCGGUCCAUGGUAAAAGGAGGGAGGCCAGUCGACUGCCCUGGCGUCGGCUGGUCUUUGCAGUAAAACCAGGUCAACUGCCACCCGCGGACCUAGUCGGGAAGAAUCAUGGCUGGAAAGGAACUUUUCCCUCUCAUCUGAACACCAAGACCCCCACACAUCUGAAUCACUUGUGUUCUCUCGUCACUCGGAUUGGCCUUUUUCACCGUCUGAGAACAACAGGUGAAAAUGUGCUUGAAAAGACCCCAGUGAGGCCGACAACCCAAGAAAUUCUCGCACAAAGACACGAAAGCAGCGAGAUACAUGAUUGUGCUGGGAGUGAAGUGGUGGAGUUGUGCCCCAAAGAAAUUCAGAAAUCCCCGAAAUAAAGGGUGAGGAGGCAAGGAAAAUCCAUGGUUGACGUGGGUGGCAAGGAGAACGCGCUCACCCUCCCGAGGUUGCGGCUCGGAUUCCUUCCCCGGAAGUCGCGCCGAUCCAUGGGGGGUCAGUCCUCCAUCGGCUAGAUCAUCGAGGUCUUCUUGGCAGAUCGCCGAGCGGAUCCAGUCGCCCUGGAUCCAGCCCUUCGGCAGGCUGGCUCAUGAGGAAGAUCCACCCCGACUGGUCGCCUUCCCCUUCGCCUUUGCCGUUGCCUUCUUCGCCCGCUCUAGAGCCGCCGUCUUCUCCUUCCCCAUCGUCGCCGGCGAGAUGCGUACGGAGCGGCGCGCUGGGGCGAGAGCGAGCGCGACGAAGAAGCCUGAAGAGGAGAAGAGGAAAUGAGAACGCACUGUUCAAGAAACCCCGGUCCGACGCCUUAUAUGAGGUCGCUUCUGAGUGGCUGGCUGGUAGGCCCGGACGAUCCUGUCAAAUCCCGUAACAAUCGCGCGCGUGAUACGUGGCGAAAAAGGUGGCGCGGGGAUCAAGGCGGCUCCACCCUAUCCCAUCCGAUUACUGCGGCCUCCCCCGUCCCGCGCGCUUCCCAAAAUUCGAAUCCCGCGAAACCUGCGAGCAGCAGAACAACUUGUCAGACGGAAGAUCUCCUCCACACCGUCACUCGGAGCUUUUUGAGUAAAGAAACUCACUCGACAAAAAACUAAGAAUGGAUCAAUGCGACUGAAAAGGAAGUUGCUGUCAUCACUCAGGUUCAUUGAUCCGAAACAAGAUAUGCUCAUGGCAUGAAAAAUGAGUCGGAGAAGUUCUCAACUCCUUCCCCACUCAAACCUCGAUCCAUUCAGGGGCUAAUGAUGAAGCUAUGUACCUAGGGUAGGGUCAUGGACCUGUCCUAACUGCCCUACCCAAGGACAUCUCUAGAAGAAAUCACCUUUCCAUCGACUUGGAGGUGUUCCACUCGACAGACUCGAAGACACUCGACCAAGAAGCAAUCACUCGACCAAGAUCCAACCACUCGACGGCCGGGAGACCUAAAGUCACUCCGCAUGCUAACGGUCGGUCAUUAAGUAGCUUUUAUGGUCAUCAUAGCACUUUAUUAGGGGCGUUACCAGUAAUGCUCGACCUUAAUGUAUUUGAAACCCUGCAUAACUGAGGGCCGGAGGGGUCUAGCGAACUCUAUAUAAGCCACCCCCUCCUCAGUGUAAAGGGUUCGCACCCCUGUAAUUCAUACACACAUAAUCCAGUCGACCGCCUCUGGGCUCCGAGACGUAGGGCUAUUACUUCCUCCGAGAAGGGCCUGAACUCGUAAACCUCGUGUGCUUACAACUACUCCAUAGCUAAGAUCUUACCUCUCCAUACCUACCCCCCUACAUUACUGUCAGACUUAGAACCAUGACAGUAUGCGCUAGGAUUCCCCCCCUAAAAAGCUUCACAACUUUUGAGCAGAUCAUGGUCUAGAUUAAAACAUGUCCUUUACUUAUGAAGGGGUAAUAUAGAAAAUUCACAUUAUAAAAACACUUGAAAUAAAAAAUAUAACGAGCGCUCUAGAAACCCAUGGCGGCUAGUGCGACUUGUUUGGAGGUAUUCGUAUCCUUCCCAACCCUAAUCCACUACCCCGGUCGUCCAUGUAUCUGUCAGAAGUGUUAGACUCCUCCACUUUAUCUUACUCCUCACAUUACCAUCAUCCGACAUAGUAUGACGACAUCUUAGCCCCUUGUAUUCACAUCACGCGGUGUUCAAACCGCACAAGCCACGAGGCCUUUUUUUAACGAGAGUGGUGUACCCAAGCACCCCUACUGAAAUUGGCAUUCCCUUGAUCCAAAGAAAGAAAGAGUAAAAAAACCAAACACUCCCCCCCACACACACCUCCAGUGUUCCUAUGCACCGAAUUGUACACAACCAAUAGUUUCUACAUUACUACAUAUGAAUGAUGCUUACAGUUGAAAUAAAAGGCAACUCAUUGUCGCUUACAACUAAAUAGAAAAAGGCUACUAGGAGUAGAGUUUGACAUGGGCCAAAGUAAGUGCAUUAUAUAUCCUUAUUUCUAGUGCGUGAUUGCCACCCAAGAUUGCAAUAGAACACCGGGUCAACUGACAAUCCAAUCCCUGGUGUUCUAUUAUAUCUCAAGUUAAAUACUAAAAAGAGCUACUAUGAGUAGAGUAUGAGAUGAACCAGAGUAAGUGCAUUAUGUAUAUCCUCAAUUAUAGUGUGCGGUCACCACCCAAGAUUGCAACAGAACACCAAGUUGGUUGAUGAAACCAAUCUAGUCCAAUCCCUUAUUGAACUAAAAGUCGGUAUAUGUACUUAGGAGUUGCCUAACUAAAGCAUGCAGUUCAACUUGAUAGAUCUAGUAAGAUUCAACUCGAUAAUCGUUUAAUUCCUAAUGGUUUUUAGAAAAAAAAUAGUUACAAUAACUAACUCAAACGAAAUAUAAGUGAACAAUCAAACAUCGAACGGCUCCACAUGGCUUCCAAAUAAAAGUAAUUAUCAGAUCGAGUAAUAAAUUGUUUAUUCCUUGCUCUCAAUAUGAGGUUAUACAUAACAUAUUUUGGUCUAUCGUAACAAGUACUAGCUAGUAUUUCAGUCUCUACUAGCAAAUGUUGCAAUAGCAAACAGCCUUCAUGGCGUUCUUCUUCUCACAGUGGUAGUCCUUGAGGCUGCCCUUCCUAUCACGUGCAAACACCUCACACGUGGCCUUGCACAGCGGCUUGGUGCAGAAAAACUCCCCGCCGUCGUCAACGACCGCGCAAUUCUCUGCACAACACCAACAAAACAGAAACCACUAUAUUAGAAUAUUAGCGACAAACCCCCCAUUAGAUUAGAUUAUACGUGUUUGACAAACACAAUUAAACACACCUGCAGAAAUAGGAGUACCCACAAGUGCUAGCACCACGAGGAAGCAAACAAUAGCAGCCCGUGUGUCCAUCCCAAGAGUUCUCUCUUUUUUUGAACUAGGAAGGAAAAAUAUGUGUUCUCUUCGUCUAUUUUAAUUUGGCUAUGGGGCUAAUGUUUAUGUCUUGGAGUGCUUGGAGUGUUGUCUUAUAUAGACUUAUUGAAAGGGACAAAAAUAAAAGCAUUUAAAUCCUUGUUAAACUUAGAAAAAGAGAUAGAGGUGAGUCACACCCCAAAAAUGGAAGCACUUAAUGCUGGGUGAGAAAUUAAAUGAAAAAGGCAAAGAAUAUAUGAGUGAUGUUUAUCUAAUAAUUAAGGCUAUAAUUUUCGACUACAAAAUAAGCAUGACCAUUCAAAAAAAUGGAGUCAUCGUUUUGUGGCUGGUGACAUUGAUCAAAAAUGUUUUUGUUAUAAAAAAUGUCUAGCCACUUUAAUUGCAAGCACCAUUGUGCACUGAAAUUCAAUUGACUUCAACAAAACAAUCAAUAUGAAUUGCAUCUUGAUAUGUAAUCAGCUAAAACUAAGAUUGUAUGUUGUCUCGAGUUGACUAAAUCUCCAUGUUUGGCUAGACAAUGUUUCAAACUGUGUCAAUUUGCACGGCACCUGGGACAAUGCAAUGUCAAAUCUUGCACUAUUUUAAACCACCACAAGAUAAGCAACCUGAGUUGGGCCCAUGCCUCUUGCCACCCGCUGGCGUCCACCUCGAAAUCUAUACCAAUAUAAUUUUUGUGUCACAUGAAUCAUAUAGUAUUGGUCUAAAAUAUCUUUUCUCUCGUUGCAAAAUAUAAAAGAAAAAUCGGCACAACAAUAUUAUAUAGACCCAUCGCAACACUAGCAUGCUUCACAGUGGGUGGGUCCCAUGUAAAUACAUUUGGAAAUACCUCAAAAAUGCAUAUGUGUAUUAUUUAUUAUUGUCCAAGAAUUCCACAUGCUCACUCACAACAAACUGUUGAAGAAUUCCGUGCAACUUAGAAACUAACGUAUGCAACAAUGUGAUCACAACAUUUGUGUUAGGACUUACAAAACUACAUUACAUUGUAGCAUGUCACACAUGUGUAUGUAGUAUAACGCAAAUGAGUUCACAGCAGACCAAAACAACAAAUGGUAACUACAAAAAAAUUCCAUAAAUCUAACAUUUUACAACCAAAAAAUUUGGUGGGCACUGACCUCACCUCAUCAAACUUGCUCUAAUAUUCUAGUUAGUGUAAAGUUUUGGUUUAAGCUAAAGUUGCUCUAGUAUUAUACCACAACAAAAAGGAAAGAAAUGGGGGAAAACAAAGAAGAGCAGAGCAGGGUGGGUUACUUGGAUCUAAGCCGACCAAUAUAAAUCGCAUUGCCCUCCUAAAUCCUGAUUACUCAAGCCGGCCCAAAAUUGAGGGGCCACUAAAAUAGAAGUUGAGCCUAUGGUGCAAGAACAGAAAACCCGCCUAAGCCAUUGGAUUGGAUAUGGAUGGCACAUGAUCUGGUUGAGCGAUCUCAGGCCACUUAAUGUAUAUUUUAUGAAAAAAACCUAUUAACAGUUAGGUAUAAAACAAAACAUUGGCGGUGACCACCUUAAGUAUCUCAUCUCCCAAUCCAAUAGUGGAGUUAACGACCAUUUACAGAUUUCAGGUUUUUUCCAGCGACCAUUUAUAGAAUUUGCACAUCCUCAUAUCCUAUAAGUUUUAUAAAAUAUAUUUUCACAUAUCGAGCACAAAUAUAUGGUUGUAAGAAUGAAGAACUCAUACUCAUGCUUGUUUUAAUUCUAGUAUUUACACCCCUAAGGUUGUUAAGGUCCGGUUACAAAAACUCAAAUUUAAUUCUCUUAUAAGAACUUGGUAGAGCCCUGUCAUAGUGCACAUCCUCUCAUGGAUUCGAUAACUCAGGUUUGCUCCUUCGGGAAAAGGCAGGGAAACCUUUGCUAUCCAAACCGGAUCUCAAAGAGCACCACCCAUCUCUCACCCUACUCGAUGAUACAACAUCGACAACAAGGUACGUGUGUAACAAACCGUCUGCUCCCUCGCUCUGUCACUAUGGUGCUAUUCAUCACAUCAAGUCGGGACCCAUUUCCUUCCUUUUGAGGUUAAAAAUUAAGGUUUCUAGUCUAUAUGAGGGCCUUCGGAUUCAACUUAUAAGAAUGUUAGUUCAAAUAUAAUGAUGAUUAUUUCAAGUGGAUGGUUAUGUGAACUAUGUUGGUAGAGUGGUGGGCGAUGACUGUUGCGGCGGACUUCAGGGAUGUUUGAUCUAUCCACCUGGCUUGAUCAAGCAGCAUCGACAUUCGUGCAUCAUUGUUUUGUUGAAUGUGUUGGUUCGAUUUGCUUGUUGCAGGGGUGAUAGCCUCUGGUCCGACGUUUGGUUACACGAGACAAUAAGCUCCCCUUGUAAAGGUGUAUGAUGUGGGAAUUAUGUGUUGUACUCCUCAGGUGCAAACGCACGUAUAUGUGAUGUACAGGAGUAGGCCACGACCUCAACUAUACAAGGCAGCUAGGAGGUGGGCCCAAUACACAAAUAUGCACAACACAUAUACUCAACACCCCCCCCCCCACGCAGUCGAAGCGGCACUGCGCUGACGCAAAGACUGGACCAGAACUCCUCAAAUGACGCCGUAGGCAAGUUGUUGGUCAUGAUAUCUGCAAAUUGUUGGGAAGUAGGGACGUGUAAAACACGAAUAUGGUCGAGGGCCACCUGUUCCCAAACAAAAUGAAUAUCCAACUCAAUAUGCUUGGUCCGUCGAUGAUGCACCGGGUUAGCGGAGAGGUAGACCGCUGAGACGUUGUCACAAUAGACCACCGUGGCACGGUCAAUAGGGAAAGAGAGCUCCUGAAGCAGCUAGCGAAGCCACGAACACUCAGCGACGGUGUUGGCCAACGCACGAUACUCAACUCAGCACUGGAACGAGAGACCGUAAGCUGUCGCAUGGAUGACCACGAGAUAAGUGAGGGUCCAAGGUAGACACAAUAGCCCGAGGUGGAGCGACGAGUGUCAGGGCAGCCCGCCCAGUCUGCAUUGGAGUAGGCGGUGAGGGCUGUGUCGGCAGAGGCAUGAAGCGUGACACCAAGAUCCAUAGUGCCACAGACAUAGCGGAGAAUCCGUUUGACAACAGCCUAGUGAACAUCUCGAGGAGCAUGCAUAUGAAGACACACCUACUGCACGACAUACUGGAUCUCCGGUCGAGUUAAAGUGAGGUACUGAAGAGCACCAACAAUAGACCAAUAAAAAGCAGCAUCCGAAGCAGGAGAACCAUCCGUGAAGAAAGCUUGGCCUUCGUAUCAACAGGCAUAGCAGCAGGCAUGCAGUUAAGCAUGUUGGCCCGCUCCAGGAGCUCACAAGCAUACUUCCGCUUAUGAAGGAAGAAUCCAUCCAGACGGCACAGCACCUCAACACUGAGGAAGUUGUGCAAAGGACCCAAGUCCUUGAUGGCAAACUCAGCGCGAAGACGAGCCGUGAGCUGACUGAGGAGACCAGCCGUACAUGCCGUCAGGAUGAUGUCGUCGACAUAGAGCAAAAAGUAGGCCAUGUCAGAGCCCUAAUGAUAGACGAAGAGCGAGGCAUCCGAGCGGGUGGAGCGGAACCCAAGCUGGUGGAGAAACGCUGCGAUGCGGUGGUACCAAGCACGCAGAGCCUGCUUGAGUCCAUACAAGGACCGCGAAAGCAGGCACACGUGGUCGGGAAGCGUCGGGUCAACAAACCCAGUGUGCUGCUGGCAGAAGACCUGCUACUCUAGCUGACCAUGGAGGAAGGCAUUGGAGACAUCCGUCUAGUGCACCGGCCAAGCACGGGAGACCGCAACGUGAAGAACCGUGUGUAUCGUGCUGGGCUUGACGACCGGAGUGAAUGUGUCGAUGAAGUCGAUGCCAGCAUGCUGUCGGAAGCCACGGACGACCUAGCGCGGUUUGUAGCGAUCAAGGGUACCAUCGGGACGGAGCUUGUGUUUGAAGACCCACUUCCCGGUAAUCACGUUGGCGUGCUGGGGAUGGUUAACAAGCUGCCACGUUCAGUUGUGCAUGUAACAUCCCAAAUUUUCAAUUUGGAAUGUUAUACACUAGAUCAUCAUUGCAUAUCAUAUUUAUUGCAUUUUGGUUGGUCCUAGAAAUUUUUCUCAACUCAAGGACCAUCGGAGAGAGUUGGGGAUUUCGUUAUUUUCAUAUUUGAGUUGUCUCUAAUUUUGAAAAUAGGGUCAUUUGAUUUUAUUUAUUUUAUCUUCAAUAAAUUUCUAUCACAAAAAUAUGAGAGAGGGAAUAAAAUGACUUUCCCAAAAUAAAGAAAUAUUGAGGAUUUAAUAAAAAAUCAAAUAAGAUUUUAUUUGGUUUUAUUUGCUAUUUAUUUGAAUUAGGAAAAAAUGCGCGUUUUUCAAAAUUGUAUUUAGGCCCCAAAUAAAUGUUCAUCCUGUGCGGCUUGAUUUUAGAAGCCGGAGAAAAUUUAUUUCGGGAUUUUUGGAGUCCGUUUAGUAUUUCUUUUAUUUUUUUUUCUGCGCGUUAUUAUUAAAAAAACGCGAACUGACUCCGGGCCGUACCCGAGCGGGACUCCGCCCGGGGCAGCCCUUAUAAGCCGCCGCCCGGGGCCCGAGUCAGCCCACCCGGGCCGAAACCCUAGCCCCGAUGCCGCCAGCGCCGCCGCCCGCCGCCGCCUCGCCGCUCGCCGGACCCGCCGCCCGGUUUUUUUUAAUCCGCGGUUUAUUUUUCAGAUUCGUUUUUUUAUUAAAACGGUUUUUUCGGUUUAGACUAAUUAGCGAGCUUUCGCUCGUUCGUUCGUUUUAACGAACAUGUUCGUCGUUUAGAUCCAGUUAACGAACGUUCGUUCGUUAGACUGUUCGUCGUUUUUCUUUUUCUCGGAUUAAAUCCACGAUUUUUCUGAUCGCGAUUUCUGAUCCGAUUUUUGUUUUAGUAUAACUUUUCGCUCGUUUAUCGGAAUCAGGCGAUUCAAGCGCCUGGAGUUUCGUCUCAAAACGCUCUUUCCGUUUAACCAACUUAAACAAGUUUUUGCCACUGUAAAAAUUGCCCUAGACCCAGAAUAGUAAACGAAGUCUGUUUCUUUUGCCGUUUGUCUUUCGUUGCUUCGUUCGAUUUGAUUCUUUUUGCCAGCCGGAGUUCUUAAGUUGAACUUUCUGGUUAGAUCUCUUAUUUGAGUUUUACUUGUGCAUUAGUUGAGUACUUAUUGUAUGCUUGUUUGUUUGCGAUAGAGUACCCGGAGUGCACCGCUUGUUACAUCGAAUCACUAAGUUUCGCGGAUCAUCAGCAAGGCAAGUAACACUUUGAUCAUACCCUCUACUACCCAGUUUUAUUGCAUUAGAUUAACCCUUAUACAUUGCAUGAUUAGGAUCUAAUUAAAUUGUGGGUUUGGGAAGUAGUUGAGGUAGUACCUAUUACCUAUUUAUUAUCAAACCUUUGGGAGUUACUUCUACGUUUGUUUAUUUUUGCUAUGAUAUGCUAGUAGACGUGGAUUGGGUGAGUGAUAUCCAUGACAGAUGUGAGAUUUUUAAAUCAAUGGUUUAUCUAUGGUGGCAACUUAAAUACACAUCUGGGUGGAUUGAGGUACCUGGGUAUUCCAGGAUUGCCUGUUUUCUUUUGGACCGCCACCCAGGCUCAAAGGGAUCAUGAGAUUUUUCAUGCUAGAAACUUCCGUGUGCAGCCACAAGCUAUUACGGGCUCUAGCAUAGUUGACUAAGUUGUGCAAACUCUUACAGUGGUAGACUAGCAGAUGUAGGGGAUGUAGGUGGUACGGUCUACCCAUCGUAAGGUGCUAGCGCUUCUGAAAGACUAUGUCUCGGUCAUCCGUUUCUCAAACACCGUGUAGUGCGAGAAUCCAAACGGAGGUGAUCGAGUCUUGUGGGGAAAAUUGCGCAAACCUCUGCAGAGUGUAUAAACUAAUCAUGAUUAGUCGUGUCCCCGGUUAUGGACAUCUUGAGUAUCUAGUACCUGGAUUAUCAUGUGAAUCUCAACAUGUUACUAUAAAUUUUAAUUUGAUGGGUUUGUUUAAUGAUGUUACUUAAUUGGGAUUGAGGAUGCUGUCAACCAUUCUCAAUGUUGAACAACCACCAUAAUAGUUAAAUAAAAAUUUAUUCCUUUGCAGUAGGGAAAAAUUGGCUUUACGCAAAACUGUAACCAUAGAGCUUUCCACCAGCCAAAUAUGCAUAUAGUAUAGCUGUUUCAUUCCAUUACUCUCUACGUGUUACAUUGCCAGCAUAUUCCAUGUGCUGACCCGUUUUCGGGCUGCAACGUUAAUGUUGCAGACUUUUCAGACGAUGAUUAAGGAGUUUUAGGUCGUGGUUCUAUACUCAGUGAUGCCGUUGGAGUUGAUGGACUCACGUAUCUUCCAAGCCUUCCGCUGUUAUCGUUAUUAGAUGGACUUAAGCCAUAUUUAUUGUAAUAAGUUCUCUAUUGAGACACUCGAUGUAAUAAGUGUGCGAUUGCUACUCUGUUAUUUUUCCUUUCAAGUACUGUGUGGUGUCAGCAUUACUGAUCCAGGGAUGACACCAGAGCAUAGAGAUUGGACCGUUUGAGGUCUGGUCGCUACAAGAUGGUAUCAGAGCACACGCUGACUGUAGGACACGACCACUAAGCUAAAGACCUAGAUCACUACUCACUCUUCUCUUCUGGCCUCUCCUCUUUUCUAUUCUUUAGGAUGGCGGAUGCAAGGAACAAGUUCACACAACCGGACGAAGAUACACCCUUUGGACGUCACUUGAAGGAAGUCACUAGAUACCUGAACAUAGGAGUACCAAGCUUCACCGGAACCUACAAUGCCACUUUACCUGAAGAAGAGCGCUGGAUGAUUCAAGUUCAAGUUCCAGGAAGGACGUUCAUGCCAGUCAGAGCCCAUAGAGUUUUCUUUUGAUGCACCAACUUGGAGUCUAGCAAAGAGCAUGGCAGCUCACAUCGCCAUGGGACGCAUUGGAGAAUCCUACCGCAAUGAUCUCAAGGAUACUAUCUACCAGAUUUGUGGGCGCCGAGAUGAGCACUGGGAGAUGAUUAGCACCAGAAAGGAUAGAUCAAUUGCAGCUUUUAUCCAGGAGUUAAACCAGCACAUUCGACGUCAUGAGAUUCAGAUGUGCGCCGACAUGAUAGACCUGAAGAAGGCAAGGACAAGAAUCAAGGAACUGGAGGAAGAACUCAAGGCUACACGUGAAGAUUAUGAAGAGGAAAUCGAAGUAUUAGUGGGGAAGAAUGACGAUCUGAUCAAGAAGAUUGUAAUAUUUAUGGGAGGCCCUACGCCAGUAGAUGAAGACGAAGAACCCAAGGAGAUUCGCCCGGAAGAUUACAUCAUCAUCAAUGACACCGACUGGGAUAUAGAUGAUAGCGAUGAUGACUAUGUUGAUGAAGCUGGAGCAGAUAUCAUGGAGUCUGCAACCGAAGAAUAUUUCUAGUAGACCACCUGAUCAGUAGUAGUAGUCCACCAUGUAAAUAUAGUAGUCCGAGCACUUUUGCGAUAGUUAGAUCGAUUGUAUGCCCUUGUUUGAUUGAAUGAAGUGAAUUGUUUGCUUUUGCCUCAUGUGCAUAUGGGUAGGGUUUUCUCUUUAGACCCCCUCUAUUCUUAAAUCUCAUCUUUUCUAAACCCUCAGAUGCCUCCGAGACAUGACCCCAGAUUUACCUUUCCACCGGAGCUCACCCAGUUGAUCCAGCAGCAGAACACAUUGAUGUAGUUGCUAGUCCAGAAUCAGAAUCAGGGGAACAACAACAACAACCCACCACCACCACCACCACCACCUGUUGAUCACUUAGCCCGUUUUCUUAGGAUGAAUCCCCCGGUGUUUUCCAGUAGCACCGAGCCGAUAGUAGAAGAUGAUUGGCUCCUCAAGACAGCUAGAGAGUUGACCACAGCAGGAUGCACGGAUGCAGAGAAGGUGAAGGUUGCCGCACAUCAGCUUAAAGGACCCGCAGCAUCAUGGUGGGAGAAUUUCACAGCCACUUUCCCUGUUAGUACUGUCACAUGGGACCAGUUUCAGCAGGCUUUUUGAACUGCCCAUGUUUCAGCAGGAGCUAUGGCCAUGAAGAAGCGAGAGUUUCGCAACUUGCGCCAAGGAGAACGGACAGUUGGCCAGUAUGUGGAGGACUUUAGUAAGCUAGCACGUUAUGCCCCAGAUGACGUUGCUACGGAUGCCGCUAAGCAGGAGAAGUUUCUGGAAGGACUGAAUGAUGAGUUGAGCAUGCAGUUGAUGGUAGCAACCUUCAACAACUACCAGGAGUUGGUAGAUUGCGCUCUUAUGAUUGAAGGGAAGCAGCAGCAAAUUGAAAAUCGCAAGAGGAAGUAUGCACAAGGAAAGUACAGUUCAGGAGCUUAGCAGAAGCCACGAUUUACCCCUAGACCGGGAGGACAUUUUCAGCAUACCCAUAGAGGAGGAAGCUUGCACAAUCACAAUGGCCCCAGGAAUGGUAAUGGGAAUGGAGGAAGCAAUGGCCAAAACCGCACCAACCCAUCAACCCCAGCCAAGAAAGACCUGAGCCAAGUCACUUGCUUUAAAUGCCAGAAGACCAGACAUUAUGCCAAUGAAUGUCCUGAAUCACAGAAUGGAAAUGGCAAUGGAAGCUCUGGGAAGAAGCCGAACCCUUUUAACAGGGGACAGGUGAACCACGUUAACGUGGAGGAGGUUGAAGAGCAGCCGGAUGCAGUAAUCGUUAAGUUUUUGGUUAAGUCAUUUACUACACUCGUUCUUUUCGAUACUAGUGUAUCGCAUUCAUACAUAUCAAGGGGAUUUGUGGAUAAGUAUAAACUGCCAACCCAAGCCCUUAGGUCACCCAUGUUAGUAAUCUCGCCUGGAGCAGAAUAUAUGGCUAGUCUAUGGUGUGAUCGAUUACCAUUAAGGAUUGGUAACUAUGUUUUUCCCUCAGACCUAAUAUUAUUGGAAUCCCAAGGAUUGGAUGUGAUAUUAGGCAUUGAUUGGUUAUCAAAGUAUGAUGGGAAUAUUGAAUGUGCUAGUAAGUCAAUUUUUCUUACCACCCCAGAAGGGAGAAGGAUCAAGUAUGUAUCCCGACAUGUGCCAAAGAGGACUCAAGUAAAUUGCUUAACAGGAGUUGUGCAGGAAGAAGUACCAGUAGUGAAGGAUUUCCCUGAAGUAUUUCCAGAAGAGUUGCCAGGCAUGCCACCGGAUAGAGAUAUUGAAUUUUUGAUUGAGCUAUUGCCAGGCAUAGGGCCAAUAUCAAAGAGACCAUAUAGGAUUCCUGCAAAGGAUUUGGUGGAAAUUAAGAAGCAAAUUAAGGAGUUACUAGAUAAAGGUUAUAUUCGCCCAAGUUCUUCACCUUGGGGAUCGCCAGUACUUCUAGUGGAGAAGAAGGAUGGAUCGUUAAGGAUGGUUGUCGAUUAUCGAGGAUUGAAUGAAGUAACCAUCAAGAACAAGUACCCACUACCGAUGAUCAAUGAUCUGUUUGAUCGAUUGCAAGGAGCUAAGGUAUUUUCCAAGAUCGAUCUGCGAUCAGGAUACCACCAGUUGAAGAUUCGGGAACAUGAUAUACCCAAGACGGCUUUUACCACCAGUUAUGGGCUGUACGAGUAUACCGUUAUGUCAUUUGGUCUGACUAACGCACCUGCAUAUUUUAUGAACAUGAUGAACAAUGUGUUUAUGGAGUUCUUGGAUAAGUUCGUCGUAGUGUUCAUUGAUGAUAUCCUGGUUUACUCAAAGAACGAAGAAGAGCAUAAGGAACAUUUGCGUUUGGUUCUUGGAAAGCUCAGGGAACAUCAACUAUAUGCCAAGUUUAGCAAAUGUGAAUUUUGGUUGAAGGAAGUUGGAUUUCUCAGACAUGUUAUAUCCGGAGAAGGUAUAGCAGUAGAUCCCACUAAAGUUGAAACCGUGACCAAGUGGGAAGCACCAACCACCGUGGGAGAGAUCCGGAGUUUUCUUGGACUCGCAGGAUACUAACGGAGGUUUAUUGAGAAUUUCUCAAAGAUUGCGAAGCCUAUGACUGAGUUGUUGAAGAAGGAUACCAAGUUCUUAUGGACAGAGGAAUGUGAGGCUAGUUUUCAGGAGUUGAAGAAACAUUUGGUUACUUCACCAGUGUUGAUUUUGCCAGACCAGACCAAGGAUUAUGAGGUAUAUUACGACGCUUCACGUCGAGGACUUGGAGCAGUGCUUACGCAGGAAGGGAGAGUUGUUUCAUAUGCCUCACGACAGCUUAAGCCUCAUGAGUUGAAUUAUGCUACGCAUGAUUUGGAGUUAGCAGCCGUAGUGCAUGCACUGAAGACUUGGAGACAUUUUCUGAUUGGAAACCAUUGCGAAGUGUACACGGAUCAUAAGAGUCUGAAGUAUAUUUUCACACAGAAGGAGUUGAACCUCAGACAAAGGAGAUGGUUGGAGCUCAUCAAGGGUUAUGAUAUGAAAUUGCAUUAUCACCCCGGAAAGGCUAAUGUAGUAGCUGACGCAUUAAGGCGUAAGAGCCAUGUCAACACCCUAAUGACGGGAGAAUUACCAAAGGAUUUAGCCGAAAAUCUUCGAGAGUUAUGUUUAGAAAUAGUCCCGAGAGGCUAUGUAGCAGCAUUGGAGAUUCAGUCUACUUUGAUGGAUAAAAUCAGAGAAGCCCAAAGGACUAACAAGGAGAUUGCUUCUAUCAAAGAGAAAAUUUGCAAAGGAAAAGCUAAGGGAUUUCGUGAGGAUGAGCACGAUACCUUAUGGUUUGAAGACCGUGUCUAUGUACCAAAUGAUUUGGAGAUCAGGAAACUAAUUCUGCAAGAGGCCCAUGACUCACCAUACUCAAUUCACCCAGAAAAUACCAAGAUGUAUUUGGAUUUGAAGGAUAUUUUCUAGUGGACCGGAAUGAAGAAGGAUAUUGCGGAGUACGUAGCAGUUUGUGAUGUAUGUCAGAGAGUGAAGGCAGAGCAUCAUAAGCCAGCAGGAUUGCUACAACCAUUGCCGAUACCCGAAUGGAAGUGGGAUAAGCUAGGCAUGGAUUUUAUUACAGGAUUUCCCAGAACACGUUCAGGCUAUGACUCGAUAUGGGUUGUAGUCGAUCGUUUGACAAAGGUAGCUCAUUUCAUUCCAGUGAAGACUACCUAUACCAGUGCGAAGUUGGCAAAGAUAUGCAUGACCAGGAUCGUAUGUCUGCAUGGAGUUCCAAGGAGCAUUGUAUCGGAUAGAGGGACCCAGUUUACUUCAAAGUUCUGGAAUCAGUUGCAUGAGACUUUGGGAACCAGACUAGAGUUUAGCACAGCUUUCCACCCACAAACAGAUGGACAGACUGAGAGAGUCAACCAGAUCUUGGAGGAUAUGCUAAGAGCUUGUGCGCUAGAUUACGGAUCUAGUUGGGAUGAGAAUUUGCCAUAUGCAGAGUUCUCUUACAACAACAGCUAUCAAUCUAGUUUGAAGAUGGCCCCUUUCGAAGCCCUGUACGGAAGGAGGUGCAGGACCCCAUUGACCUGGGAUGAAGUUGGAGAUCGCCAGUUGUUUGGACCGGAUCUGAUAAAGGAAUAUGAACAGAAGUGAAAUUAAUUCGCGACAGGCUAAAGGUAGCUCAAUCCAGGCAGAAGAGUUAUGCGGAUUCUAAAUGCAAGGAGACCGAGUUUAUCUUCGAGUAUCACCACUUCGAGGAGUUAAGCGCUUUGGAGCUAAGGGAAAGUUAGCGCCACGUUUUGUAGGCCCAUACAAAGUAUUGGAACGUAUGGGAGAAGUAGCCUACAAGUUGGAAUUGCCUGAAGGAUUGUUAGGAGUUCACGACGUAUUUCAUGUAUCCCAGUUGAAGAAGUGCCACGCGGAGAUGGCUGACAUACCACUGAGAGAUACGGUACCACUGGAAGCAAUUCAGUUGGACAGUGAUUUGACUUAUGAGGAGGAACCAGUUAAGAUUCUAGAGUAUGCCAGUCGAGUCACCCGCAGCAAGGUUAUCAAGUUUUGCAAGGUUCAGUGGAGCCACCACACGGAGGAUGAAGCCACCUGGGAACGAGAGGAAGAUUUGCUGAAGGACCACCCUCACCUAUUUUCUAGCCAACCCGAAUCUCGAGGGCGAGAUUCAUCUUAAGGGGGGUAGGUUUGUAACAUCCCAAAUUUCCAAUUUGCAAUGUUAUACACUAGACCAUCAUUGCAUAUCAUAUUUAUUGCAUUUUGGUUGAUCCUAGAAAUUUUUCUCAACUCAAGGACCAUCGGAGAGAGUUGGGGAUUUCGUUAUUUUCAUAUUUGAGUUGUCUCAAAUUUUGAAAAUAGGGUCAUUUGAUUUUGUUUAUUUUAUCUUCAAUAAAUUUCUAUCACAAAAAUAUGAGAGAGGGAAUAAAAUGACUUUCCCAAAAUAAAGAAAUAUUGAGGAUUUAAUUAAAAAUCAAAUAAGAUUUUAUUUGGUUUUAUUUGCUAUUUUAUUUGAAUUAGGAAAAAAUGUGCGUUUUUCAAAAUUGCAUUUGGGCCCCAAAUAAAUGUUCAUCCUGUGCGGCUUGAUUUUAGAAGCCGGGGAAAAUUUAUUUCAGGAUUUUUGGAGUCCGUUUAGUAUUUCUUUUAUUUGUUUUUUGCGUGUUAUUAUUAAAAAAACGCGAACCGACUCUGGGCCGUACCCGAGCGGGACUCCGCCCGGGGCAGCCCUUAUAAGCCGCCGCCCGGGGCCUGAGUCAGCCCACCCGGGCCGAAACCCUAGCCCCGAUGCCGCCCGUGCCACCGCCCGCCGCCGCCUCGCCGCUCGCCGGACCCGUCGCCUGGUUUUUUUUAAAUCCGCGGUUUAUUUUUUUAGAUUCAUUUUUUUAUUAGAAUGGUUUUUUCAGUUUAGACAAAUUAGCGAGCGUUCGCUCGUUCGUUCGUUUUAACGAACGUGUUCGUCGUUUAGAUCCAGUUAACGAACGUUCGUUCGUUAGACUGUUCGUCGUUUUUCUUUUUCUUGGAUUAAAUCCGCGAUUUUUCUGAUCGCGAUUUCUGAUCCGAUUUUCAUUUUAGUAUAACUUUUCGCUCGUUUGUCGGAAUCAGGCGAUUCAAGCGCCUGGAGUUUUGUAUCGAAACCCUCUUUCCGUUUAACCAACUUAAACAAGUUUUUGCCACUGUAAAAAUUGCCCUAGAUCCAGAAUAGUAAACGAAGUCUGUUUCUUUUGCCGUUUGUCUUUCGUUGCUUCGUUCAAUUUGAUUCUUUUUGCCAGCCGGAGUUCUUAAGUUGAACUUUCUGGUGAGAUCUCUUAUUUGAGUUUUACCUGUGCAUUAGUUGAGUACUUAUUGUUUGCUUGUUUGUUUGCGAUAGAGUACCCGGAGUGCGCCGCUUGUUACUUCGAAUCACUAAGUUUCGCGGAUCAUCAGCAAGGCAAGUAACACUUUGAUCAUACCCUCUACUACCCAGUUUUAUUGCAUUAGAUCAACCCUUAUACAUUGCAUGAUUAGGAUCUAAUUAAAUUGUGGGUUUGGGAAGUAGUUGAGGUAGUACCUAUUACCUGUUUAUUAUCAAACCUUUGGGAGUUACUUCUACGUUUGCUUAUUUUUGCUAUGCUAUGCUAGUAGACGUGGAUUGGGUGAGUGACAUCCAUGACAGAUGUGAGAUUUUUAAAUCAAUGGUUUAUCUAAGGUGGCAACUUAAAUACACAUCUGGGUGGAUUGAGGUACCUGGGUAUUCCAGGAUUGCCUGUUUUCUUUUGGACCACCACCCAGGCUCAAAGGGAUCAUGAGAUUUUUCAUGCUAGAAACUUCUAUGUGCAGCCACAAGCUAUUAUGGGCUCUAGCAUAGUUGACUAAGUCGUGCGAACUCUUACAGUGGUAGACUAGAAGAUGUAGGGGAUAUAGGUGGUACGGUCUACCCAUCGUAAGGUGCUAGCGCUUCUAAAAGACUAUGUCUCGGUCAUCCGUUUCUCAAACACUGUGUAGUGCGAGAAUCCAAACGGAGGCGAUCGAGUCUUGUGGGGAAAAUUGCGGAAACCUCUGCAGAGUGUAUAAACUAAUCAUGAUUAGCCAUGUCCCCGGUUAUGGACAUCUUGAGUAUCCAGUACCUGGAUUAUCAUGUGAAUGUCAACAUGUUACUAUAAAUUUUAAUUUGAUGGGUUUGUUUAAUGAUGUUACUUAAUUGGGAUUGAGGAUGUUGUCAACCAUUCUCAAUGUUGAACAACCACCAUAAUAGUUAAAUAAAAAUUUAUUCCUUUGCAGUAGGGAAAAAUUGGCUUUACGCAAAACUGUAACCAUAGAGCUUUCCACCAUCCGAAUAUGCAUAUAGUAUAGCUGUUUCAUUCCAUUACUCUCUACGUGUUACAUUGCCAGCAUAUUCCAUGUGCUGACCCGUUUUCGGGCUGCAACGUUAAUGUUGCAGACUUUUUCAGACGACGAUUAAGGAGUUUUAGGUCGUGGUUCUAUACUCAAUGAUGCCGUUGGAGUUGAUGGACUCACGUAUCUUCUAAGCCUUCCGCCGUUAUCGUUAUUAGAUGGCCUUAAGCCAUAUUUAUUGUAAUAAGUUCUCUAUUGAGACACUCGAUGUAAUAAGUGUGUGAUUGCUACUCUGUUAUAAACCCUUCAAGUACUGUGUGGUGUCAGCAUUACUGAUCCAGGGAUGACACCGGAGCACAGAGAUUGCACCGUUUGAGGUCUGGUCGCUAUAGUGCAACAGGACGUGAAACUCCUCUUGCAUCGCAGCCAUCCAGAGCGGGUCACGAAGAGAGGCUCGAACGGAGGACGGCAACAGCAACGGCUCAGAGGUGGACGCCGCAUGGACGUAGUCAUCCGAGGCCUAGCGCAAGCUCAGGAGAAAAAUGCCCGUAUGGCCGCGGGUGACCGGACCGGCCACAUGCGCCGAAGGGGCCGCGGGCACCGGGGGCACCGGGGUCGCCGGGGGCGCCAGCAUGGGGGUUGUAGGAGGCGCCACAUGCAGGGGGCGCGCCUCAAAGCCAGGGGCUGAAGGAAAUAUGCCCUAGAAGCAAUAAUAAAGUUAUUAUUUAUUUCCUUAUUUCAUGAUAAAUGUUUAUUAUUCAUGCUAGAAUUGUAUUAACCGGAAACAUGAUACAUGUGUGAAUACAUAAACAACCAUAGUGUCACUACUAUGCCUCUACUUGACUAGCUCGUUGAUCAAAGAUGGUUAUGUUUCCUAACCAUAGACAUGAGUUUUCAUUUGAUUAAACGGGAUCACAUCAUUAGGAUAAUGAUGUGAUUGACUUGACCCAUUCUGUUAGCUUAGCACUUGAUCGUUUAGUUUGUUGCUAUUGCUUUCUUCAUGACUUAUACAUGUUCCUAUGACUAUGAGAUUAUGCAACUCCCGUUUACCGGAGGAACAUUUUGUGUGCUACCAAAUGUCACAACGUAACUGGGUGAUUAUAAAGGUGCUCUACAGGAGUCUCCGAAGGUACUUGUUGAGUUGGCGUAUUUCGAGAUUAGGAUUUGUCACUCCGAUUGUCAGAGAGGUAUCUCUGGGCCCACUCUAUAAUGCACAUCACUAUAAGCCUUACAAGCAUUUGUAACUAAUAAGUUAGUUGCAGGAUGAUGUAUAGCGGAACGAGUAAAGAGACUUGCCGGUAACGAGAUUGAACUAGGUAUUGAGAUACCGAUGAUCGAAUCUCGGGCAAGUAACAUAUCGAUGACAAAGGGAACAAUGUAUGUUGUUAUGCGGUUCGACCGAUAAACAUCUUCGUAGAAUAUUUAGGAGCCAAUAUGGGCAUCCAGGUUCCGCUAUUGGUUAUUAACCAGACAAAUGUCUCGGUUAUGUCUACAUAGUUCUCGAACCCAUAGGGUCCGCAUGCUUAACGUUCGUCGACGAUAUAGUAUUUAUGAGUUAUGUAUGUUGGUAACCGAAUGUUGUUCGGAGUUCUGGAUAAGAUCGCAGACAUGACGAGGAACUCCGGAAUGGUCCAGAGAUAAAGUUUGAUAUAUGGGAUAAUAGUGUUUGGUCUCCGGAAGGGGUUCUGGAUGUUUCUCGAAAUGUUUGGGUACGAGAACACUUUAUUUGGGCCAAAGGGGAAAGCCCACAAGGUUUUUGGAAAGCGCAAAAGGAAGUUUUGCGAAGUCCAGGGGCCAGACGCCAGGGUCCCUGGCGUCUGGGUCCAGACGCCGGGAACCCUGGUGUCUGGCCCUGGAGUCUGGGAAGGACUCUUGCCUUUCGGGUGAAACCGACUUUGUGGAGGCUUUUACUCCAAGUUUCGACCCCAAGGCUCAACAUAUAAAUAGAGGGGUAGGGCUAGCACCCAAGACACAGCAAGAAACACCAAACCGUGUGCCGGCUACCCCGUCCCAUCUAGUUUAUCCUCCGUCAUAGUUUUCGCAGUGCUUAGGCGAAGCCCUGCGGAGAUUGUUCUUCACCAACAUCGUCACCAUGCCGUCAUGCUAGCGGAACUCGUCUACUACUUCGCCCCUCUUGCUGGAUCGAGAAGGCGAGGACAUCAUCGAGCUGAACGUGUGCUGAACGCGGAGGUGUCGUACAUUCGGUACUUGAUCGGGACGGAUCUUGAAGGUGUACGACCACAUCAACCGCGUUGAUAAACGCUUCCGCUUACGGUCUACGAGGGUACGUAGACAACACUCUCCCCUGUCAUUGCUAUGCAUCACCAUGAUCCUGUGUGUGCGUAGAAUUUUUUUUGAAAUUACUACGUUCCCCGACAGUGGCAUCCGAGCCUGGUUUAUGCGUAGAUGUUAUAUGCACGAGUAGAACACAAGUGAGUUGUGGGCGAUACAAGUCAUACUGCUUACCAGCAUGUCAUACUUUGGUUCAGCGGUAUUGUUGGAUGAAGCGGCCCGGACUGACAUUACGUGUACGGUUACGCGAGACUAGUUCUACCGACGUGCUUUGCACAUAGGUGGUUGGCGGGUGUCAGUUUCUCCAACUUUCGUUGAACCGAGUGUGGCUACGCCCGGUCCUUGAGAAGGUUAAAACAGCACUAACUUGACGAACUAUCGUUGUGGUUUUGAUGCGUAGGUAAGAAUGGUUCUUGCUCAGCCCAUAGCAGCCACGUAAAACUUGCAACAACAAAGUAGAGGACAUCUAACUUGUUUUUGCAGGGCAUGUUGUGAUGUGAUAUGGUCAAGACAUUAUGCUAUAUUUAUUGUAUGAGAUGAUCAUGUUUUGUAACGGAGUUAUCGGCAACUGGCAGGAGCCAUAUGGUUGUCGCUUUAUUGUAUGCAAUGCAAUCGCCCUGUAAUUGCUUUACUUUAUCACUAAGCGGUAGCAAUAGUCGUACAAGCAAUAGUUGGCGAGACGACAACGAUGCUACGAUGGAGAUCAAGGUGUCGCACUGGUGACGAUGGUGAUCAUGACGGUGCUUCAGAGAUGGAGAUCACAAGCACAAGAUGAGGAUGGCCAUAUCAUAUCACUUAUAUUGAUUGCAUGUGACGUUUAUCCUUUAUGCAUCUUAUUUUUCUUUGUUUGAAUAGCAUUAUAAGAUGAUCUCUCACUAAAUUCAAGAUAAAAGUGUUCUCCCUGAGUAUGCACCGUUGCCAAAGUUCGUCGUGCCGAGACACCACGUGAUGAUCGGGUGUGAUAAGCUCUACGUCCAUCUACAACGGGUGCAAGCCAGUUUUGCACACGCAGAAUACUCGGGUUAAACUUGACGAGCCUAGCAUAUGCAGAUAUGGCCUCGGAACACUGAGACCGAAAGGUCGAGCGUGAAUCAUAUAGUAGAUAUGAUCAACAUAAUGAUGUUCACCAUUGAAAACUACUCCAUUUCACGUGAUGAUCGGUUAUGGUUUAGUUGAUAUGGAUCACGUGAUCACUUAGAUGAUUAGAGGGAUGUCUAUCUAAGUGGGAGUUCUUAAGUAAUAUGAUUAAUUGAACUUAAAUUUACCAUGAACUUAGUACAUGAUAGUAUUUUGCUUAUCUAUGUUGUUGUAGAUAGAUGGCCCGUGUUGUUGUUCUGUUGAAUUUUAAUGUGUUCCUUGAGAAAGCAAAGUUGAAAGAUGAUGGUCGAAAUUACACGGACUGGGUCCGUAACUUGAGGAUUAUCCUCAUUGCUGCAUAGAAGAAUUACGUCCUGGAAGCACCGCUAAGUGCCAAACCUGCUGCAGGAGCAACACUAGAUGUUAUGAACGUCUGAAGAGCAAAGCUGAUGACUACUCGAUAGUUCAGUGUGCCAUGCUUUACGGCUUAGAACCAGGACUUCAACGACGUUUUGAACGUCAUGGAGCAUAUGAGAUGUUCCAGGAGUUGAAGUUAAUAUUUCAAGCAAAUGCCCGGAUUGAGAGAUAUAAAGUCUCCAAUAAGUUCUAUAGCUGCAAGAUGGAGGAGAAUAGUUCUGUCAAUGAGCAUAUACUCAAAAUGUCUGGGUAUCAUAAUCACUUGACUCAACUGGGAGUUAAUCUUCUUGUUGAUUGUGUCAUUGACGGAGUUCUUCAAUCACUGCCACCAAGCUACAAAAGCUUCGUGAUGAACUAUAAUAUGCAAGGGAUGAAUAAGACAAUUCAUGAGCUCUUCGCGAUGCUAAAGGCUGCGGAGGUAGAAAUCAAAAAGGAGCAUCAAGUGUUGAUGGUUAACAAAACCACCAAUUUUAAGAAAAAGGAUAAAGGGAAGAAGAAGAGGAACUUCAAGAAGAAUGGCAAACAAGUUGCUGCUCAGGAGAAGAAACCCAAGUCUGAACCUAAGCCUGAGACUGAGUGCUUCUACUGCAAACAGACUGGUCAGUAGAAGCGGAACUGCCCCAAGUAUUUGGCGGAUAAGAAGGAUGGCAAGGUGAACAAAGGUAUAUGUGAUAUACAUGUUAUUGAUGUGUACCUUACCAGAGCUCGCAGUAGCACCUGGGUAUUUGAUACUGGUUUUGUUGCUAAUAUUUGCAACUCGAAACAGGGACUACGGAUUAAGCGAAGACUGGCUAAGGACGAGGUGACGAUGCGCGUGGGAAAUGGUUCCAAAGUCGAUGUGAUCGCCGUCGGCACGCUACCUCUACAUCUACCUUCGGGAUUAGUUUUAGACCUAAAUAAUUGUUAUUUGGUGACAACAUUAAGCAUGAACAUUAUAUCUGGAUCUUGUUUGAUGCGAGACGGUUAUUCAUUUAAAUAUGAGAAUAAUGGUUGUUCUAUUUAUAUGAGUAAUAUCUUUUAUGGUCAUGCACCUUUGAAGAGUGGUCUAUUUUUGUUAAAUCUCGAUAGUAGUGAUACACAUAUUCAUAACGUUGAAGCCAAAAGAUGCAGAGUUGAUAAUGAUAGUGCAACUUAUUUGUGGCACUACCGUUUGGGUCAUAUUGGUAUAAAGCGCAUGAAGAAACUCCAUACUGAUGGACUUUUGGAAUUACUUGAUUAUGAAUCACUUGGUACUUGCGAACCGUGCCUUAUGGGCAAGAUCACUAAAAUGUCGUUCUCCGGAACUAUGGACCGAGCAAUAGAUUUGUUGGAAAUCAUACAUACUGAUGUAUGUGGUCCGAUGAAUAUUGAGGCUCGCGGCGGGUAUCGUUAUUUUCUCACCUUCACAGAUGAUUUGAGCAGAUAUGGGUAUAUCUACUUAAUGAAACAGAAGUCUGAAACAUUCGAAAAGUUCAAAGAAUUUCAGAGUAAAGUGGAAAAUCAUCGUAACAAGAAAAUAAAGUUUCUACGAUCUGAUCGUGGAGGAGAAUAUUUGAGUUAUGAGUUUGGCCUACAUUUGAAACAAUGCGGAAUAGUUUCGCAACUCACGCCACCCGGAACACCACAGCGUAAUGGUGUGUCCGAACAUCGUAAUCGUACUUUACUAGAUAUGGUGCGAUCUAUGAUGUCUCUUACUGAUUUACCACUAUCGUUUUGGGGUUAUGCUUUAGAGACGGCUGCAUUCACGUUAAAUAAGGCACCAUCAAAAUCUGUUGAGACGACGCCUUAUGAACUAUGGUUUGGCAAGAAACCAAAGUUGUCAUUUCUUAAAGUUUGGGGCUGCGAUGCUUAUGUGAAAAAUCUUCAACCUGAUAAGCUCGAACCCAAAUCGGAGAAAUGUGUCUUCAUGGGAUACCCAAAGGAAACUGUUGGGUACACCUUCUAUCACAGAUCCGAAGGCAAGACAUUCAUUGCUAAGAAUGGAUCAUUUCUAGAGAAGGAGUUUCUCUCGGAAGAAGUGAGUGGGAGGAAAGUAGAACUUGAUGAGGUAAUUGUACCUGCUCCCUUAUUGGAAAGUAGUUCAUCACAGAAACCGGUUCCUGUGACAUCUACACCAAUUAGUGUGGAAGCUAAUGAUGAUGAUCAUGAAACUUCAGAUCAAGGUACUACCAAACCUCGUAGGUCAACCAGAGUAAGAUCCGCACCAGAGUGGUACGGUAAUCCUGUUUCGGAGGUCAUGUUACUUGACCAUGACGAACCUACGAACUAUGAGGAAGCGAUGAUGAGCCCAGAUUCCACAAAAUGGCUUGAGGCCAUGAAAUCUAAGAUGGGAUCCAUGUAUGAGAACAAAGUGUGGACUUUGGUUGACUUGCCCGAUGAUCGACAAGCCAUUGAGAAUAAAUGGAUCUUCAAGAAGAAGACUGACGCUGACGGUAAUGUUACUGUCUAUAAAGCUCGACUUGUUGCGAAAGGUUUUCGAUAAGUUCAAGGAGUUGACUACGAUGAGACCUUCUCACCUGUAGUAAUGCUUAAGUCCGUCCGAAUCAUGUUAGCUAUUGCCGCAUUUUAUGAUUAUGAAAUUUGGCAAAUGGAUGUAAAGACUGCAUUCCUGAAUGGAUUUCUGGAAGAAGAGUUGUAUAUGAUGCAACCUGAAGGUUUUAUCGAUCCAAAGGGUACUAACAAAGUGUGCAAGCUCCAGCGAUCCAUUUAUGGACUGGUGCAAGCAUCUCGGAGUUGGAAUAAACUUUUUGAUAGUGUGAUCAAAGCAUAUGGUUUUAUACAGACUUUUGGAGAAGCCUGUGUUUACAAAAAAGUGAGUGGGAGCUCUGCAGCAUUUCUAAUAUUAUAUGUGGAUGACAUAUUAUUGAUUGGAAAUGAUAUAGAAUUUCUGGAUAGCAUAAAAGGAUACUUGAAUAAGAGGUUUUCAAUGAAAGACCUCGGUGAAGCUGCUUACAUAUUACGCAUCAAGAUCUAUAGAGAUAGAUCAAGACGCUUAAUUGGACUUUCACAAAGCACAUACCUUGACAAAGUUUUGAAGAAGUUCAAAAUGGAUCAGACAAAGAAAGGGUUCUUGCUUGUGUUACAAGGUGUGAAGUUGAGUAAGACUCAAUGCCCGACCACUGCAGAAGAUAGAGAGAAAAUGAAAGAUGUUCCCUAUGCUUCAGCCAUAGGCUCUAUCAUGUAUGCAAUGAUGUGUGCCUUGCUAUUAGUCUAGCAGGGAGGUACCAAAGUAAUCCAAGAGUGGGUCACUGGACAGCGGUCAAGAACAUCCUAAAAUACCUGAAAAGGACUAAGGAUAUGUUUCUCGUUUAUGGAGGUGACAAAGAGCUCAUCAUAAAUGGUUACGUUGAUGCAAGCUUUGACACUGAUCCGGACGAUUCUAAAUCGCAAACCGGAUACGUGUUUUUAUUGAACGGUGGAGCUGUCAGUUGGAGCAGUUCUAAAUAGAGCGCCGUGGCGGGAUCUACAUGUGAAGCGGAAUACAUUGCUGCUUCGGAAGCAGCGAAUGAAGGACUCUGGAUGAAGGAGUUCAUAUCCGAUCUAGGUGUCAUACCUAGUGCAUCGGGUCCAAUGAAAAUCUUUUGUGACAAUACUGGUGCAAUUGCCUUGGCAAAGGAAUCCAGAUUUCACAAGAGAACCAAGCACAUCAAGAGACGCUUCAACUCCAUCCGGGAUCAAGUUCAGGUAGGAGACAUAGAAAUUUGCAAGAUACAUACAGAUCUAAGUGUUGCAGACCCGUUGACUAAGCCUCUUCCACGAGCAAAACAUGAUCAGCACCAAGGCUCCAUGGGUGUUAGAAUCAUUCCUGUGUAAUCCAUAUUAUUGACUCCAGUGCAAGUGGGAGACUGAAGGAAAUAUGCCCUAGAGGAAAUAAUAAAGUUAUUAUUUAUUUCCUUAUUUUAUGAUAAAUGUUUAUUAUUCAUGCUAGAAUUGUAUUAACCGGAAACAUGAUACAUGUGUGAAUACAUAGACAAACAUAGUGUCACUAGUAUGCCUCUACUUGACUAGCUUGUUGAUCAAAGAUGGUUAUGUUUCCUAACCAUAGACAUGAGUUGUCAUUUGAUUAAACAGGAUCACAUCAUUAGGAGAAUGAUGUGAUUGACUUGACCCAUUCCGUUAGCUUAGCACUUGAUCAUUUAGUUUGUUGCUAUUGCUUUCUUCAUGACUUAUACAUGUUCCUAUGACUAUGAGAUUAUGCAACUCCCGUUUACCGGAGGAACACUUUGUGUGCUAUUCCCAACGUAACUGGGUGAUUAUAAAGGUGCUCUACAAGUGUCUCUGAAGGUACUUGUUGAGUUGGCGUAUUUCGGGAUUAGGAUUUGUCACUCCGAUUAUCGCAGAGGUAUCUCCGGGCCCACUCGGUAAUGCACAUCACUAUAAGCCUUGCAAGCAUUGUAACUAAUGAGUUACUUGCGGGAUGAUGUAUUGCGGAACGAGUAAAGAGACUUGCCGCUAACGAGAUUGAACUAAGUAUUGAGAUACCGACGAUCGAAUCUUGGGCAAGUAACAUACCGAUGACAAAGGGAGCAAUGUAUGUUGUUAUGCGGUUCGACCGAUAAAGAUCUUCAUAGAAUAUGUAGGAGCCAAUAUGGGCAUCUAGGUUCCGCUAUAGGUUAUUGACCAAAGAAAUGUCUCGGUCAUGUCUACAUAGUUCUCGAACCCGUAGGGUCCUCACGCUUAACGUUCGUUGAUGAUAUAGUAUUUAUGAGUUAUGUAUGUUGGUAACCGAAUGUUGUUUGGAGUUCCGGAUAAGAUCACGGACAUGACGAGGAACUCCGGAAUGGUCCGAGAGGUAAAGUUUGAUAUAUGGGAUAAUAGUGUUUGGUCUCCGGAAGGGUUCCGGAAUUCACCGGAAGGGGUUCCGGAUGUUUCCCAAAAUGUUUGGGUACGAGAACACUUUAUUUGGGCCAAAGGGGAAAAGCCCACAAGGUUUUUGGAAAGCGCAAAAGGAAGUUUUGCGGAGUCCAGGGGCCAGACGCCAGGGUCCCUGGCGUCUGGGUCCAGACGCCGGGAGCCCUCGCGCCUGGCCCUGGAGUCCAAGAAGGACUAUUGCCUUUCGGGUUAAACCGACUUUGUGGAAGAUUUUACUCCAAGUUUCGACCCCAAGGCUCAACAUAUAAAUAGAGGGGUAGGGCUAGCACCCAAGACACAUCAAGAAACACCAAGCCGUGUGCCGGCUACCCCGUCCCCUCUAGUUUAUCCUCCGUCAUAGUUUUCGUAGUGCUUAGGCGAAGCCCUACGGAGAUUGUUCUUCACCAACACCGUCACCACGCCGUCGUGCUGCCGGAACUCAUCUACUACUUCGCCCCUCUUGAUGGAUCGAGAAGGCGAGGACGUCAUCAAGCUGAACGUGUGCUGAACGCGGAGGUGCCAUACUGCUACUUCUUGAGCAUUGCGUUGGUUUUUCCCCGAAGAGGAAGGGAUGAUGGAGCAAAGUAGCGUAAGUAUUUCCCUCAGUUUUUGAGAACCAAGCUAUCAAUCCAGUAGGAGGCUACGUGUGAGUCCCUCGUACCUGCACAAAACAAAUAAAUCCUCGCAACCAACGCGAUAAGGGGUUGUCAAUCCCUACACGGCCACUUACGAGAGUGAGAUCUGAUAGAUAUGACAAGAUAAUAUUUUUGGUAUUUCUAUGAUAAAGAUGCAAAGUAAAAUAAAAGCAAAGGAAAAAAGCAAAGGAAAUAACUAAGUAUUGGAAGAUUAAUAUGAUGAAGUUAGACCCGGGGGCCAUAGGUUUCACUAGUGGCUUCUCUCAAGAGCAUAAGUAUUCUACGGUGGGUGAACGAAUUACUGUUGAGAAAUUGACAUAAUUGAGCAUAGUUAUGAGAAUAUCUAGGUAUGAUCAUGUAUAUGGGCAUCACGUCCGAGACAAGUAGACCGACUCCUGCCUGCAUCUACUACUAUUACUCCACUCAUCGACCGCUAUCCAGCAUGCAUCUAGAGUAUUAAGUUAAUGAAAACAGAGUAACGCCUUAAGCAAGAUGACAUGAUGUAGAGGGAUAAACUCAUGCAAUAUGAUGAGAACCCCAUCGUGUUAUCCUCGAUGGCAACAAUACAAUACGUGCCUUGCUGCCCCUACUGUCACUGGGAAAGGACACCGCAAGAUUGGACCCAAAGCUAAGCACUUCUCCCAUUGCAAGAAAGAUCAAUCUAGUAGGCCAAACCAAACUGAUAAUUCGAAGAGACUUGCAAAGAUAACCAAUCAUACAUAAAACAAUUCAGAGAAGAUUCCAAUAUUGUUCAUAGAUAGACUUGAUCACAAACCCACAAUUCAUCGAUCUCAACAAACACACCACAAAAAGAAGAUUACAUCGAAUAGAUCUCCAUGAGAGAGGGGGAGAACAUUGUAUUGAGAUCCAAAAAGAGAGAAGAAGCCAUCUAGCUAAUAACUAUGGACCCGUAGGUUUGAGGUAAACUACUCACACUUCAUCGGAAGGGCUAUGGUGAUGAUGUAGAAGCCCUCCGUAAUGGAUACCCACUCCGGCGGAGCUCUGGAAUAGGCCCCAAGAUGGGAUCUCGUAGCUACAGAAAGUUGUGGCGGUGGAAUUAGGGUUUUGGCUCCGUAUCUGAUCGUUUGGGGGUACGUAGGUAUAUAUAGGAGGAAGGAGUACGUCGGUGGAACAACAGGGGGGCCACGAGGGUGGAGGGCGUGCCUGGGGGGUAGGCGCGCCCCCUACCUCGUGGCCUCCUCCUUUGUUUCUUGACGUAGGGUCCAAGUCUCCUGGGUCAUGUUCGGCGAGAAAAUCACGUUCCCGAAGGUUUCAUUUCGUUUGGACUCUGUUUGAUAUUCCUUUUCUUUGAAACCCUAAAAUAGGCAAAAAAAACAGCAAUUCUGGGCUGGGCCUCCGGUUAAUAGGUUAGUCCCAAAAAUAAUAUAAAAGUGGAUAAUAAAGCCCAAUAAUGUCCAAAACAGUAGAUAAUAUGGCAUGGAGCAAUCAAAAAUUAUAGAUACGUUGGAGACGUAUCAAGCAUCCCCAAGCUUAAUUCCUGCUCGUCCUCGAGUAGGUAAAUGAUAAAAACAGAAUUUUUGAUGCGGAGUGCUACUUGGCAUAAUUUUAAUGUAAUUCUUCUUAAUUGUGGUAUGAAUAUUAAGAUCCGAAAGAUUCAAGAUAAAAGUUCAUAUUGACAUAAAAAUAAUAAUACUUCAAGCAUACUAACUAAGCAAUUAUGUCCUCUCAAAAUAACAUGGCCAAAGAAAUUUCAUCCCUACAAAAUCAUAUAGUUUAGUCAUGCUCCAUUUUCGUCACACAAGAAUGCUCUCAUCAUGCACAACCCCGAUGACAAGCCAAGCAAUUGUUUCAUACUUUAGUAAUCUCAAACCUAUAAAAUUUCACGCAAUAUAUGAGCGCGAGACAUGGAUAUAGCACAAUGGGCGAAAUAGAAUAUGAUGAUGGGGGUUAUGUGGAGAAGACAAAAAAAGGAGAAAGUCUCACAUCAACGAGGCUAAUCAAUGGGCUAUGGAGAUGCCCAUCGAUUGACGUUAAUGCAAGGAGUAGGGAUUGCCAUGCAACUGAUGCACUAGAGCUAUAAAUGUAUGAAAGCUCAACAAAAGAAACUAAGUGGGUGUGCAUCCAACUUGCUUGCUCACGAAGACCUAGGGCACUUGAGGAGGCCCAUUGUUGGAAUAUACAAGCCAAGUUCUAUAAUGAAAAAUUCCCACUAGUAUAUGAAAGUGACAAAACAAAAGACUCUCUAUCAUGAAGAUUAUGGUGCUACUUUGAAGCACGAGUGUGGAAAAAGGAUAGUAGUAUUGUCCCUUGUUUAUAUUAUUUUUUAUUUGGCCUUUCUUUUUUUUGGCCUUUUUUGGACAAUGCUCUAUGAAUGAUGGUCAUCACACUUCUAUUUACUUACAACUCAAGAAUUACAACUCGAUACUUAGAACAAGAUAUGACUCUAUAUGAAUGCAUCCGGCGGUGUACCGGGAUAUGCAAUGAACCAAGAGUGACAUGUAUGAAAGAAUUAUGAACGGUGGCUUUGCCACAAAUACUAUGUCAACUACAUGAUCAUGCUAAGCAGUAUGGCAAUGAUGCAUGUGUCAUGAUGAACGGAAUGGUGGAAAGUUGCAUGGCAAUAUAUCUCGGAAUGGCUAUGGAAAUGCCAUACUAGGUAGGUAUGGUGGCUGUUUUGAGGAAGAUAUAAGGAGGUUUAUGUGUGAAAGAGCGUAUCAUAUCACGGGGUUUGGAUGCACCGGCGAAGUUUGCACCAACUCUCAAUGUGAGAAAGGGCAAUGCAUGGUACCGAAGAGGCUAGCAAUGAUGGAAGGGUGAGAGUGCGUAUAAUCCAUGGACUCAACAUUAGUCAUAAAGAACUCACAUACUUAUUGCAAAAAUCUACAAGUCAUCAAAAACCAAGCACUAUGCACAUGCUCCUAGGGGGAUAGAUUGGUAGGAAAAUACCAUCGCUCGUCCCCGACCGCCACUCAUAAGGAAGACAAUCAAAUAACACCUCAUGCUUAAAAUUUGUUACAUAACAUUUACCAUACGUGCAUGCUACGGGACUUGCAAACUUCAACACAAGCAUUUGUCAAAUUCACAACUAAUCAACUAGCACGACUUUGAUAUUAUUACCUCCAUAUCUCAAAACAAUCAUCAAGCAUCAAACUUCUCUUAGUAUUCAAAACACUCAUAAGAAAAAUUUUAUUAAUCUUGAACACCUAGAAUAUUAGGAUUAUUUAAGCAAAUUACCAUGCUAUUUAAGACUCUCAAAAUAAUCUAAGUGAAGCAUGAGAGAUCAAUAGUUUCUAUAAAACAAAUCCACCACCGUGCUCUAAAAGAUAUAAGUGAAGUACUAGAGCAAAACUAUAUAACUCAAAUGAUAUAAGCGAAGCACAUAGAGUAUUCUAACAAAUUCCAAAUCAUGUAUGGCUCUCUCAAAAGGUGUGUACAGCAAGGAUGACUGUGUUAAAAUAAAAAUCAAAGACUCAAAUCAUAAAAGACGCUCCAAGGAAAACACAUAUCAUGUGGUGAAUAAAAAUAUAGCUCCAAGUAAAGUUACCGAUAGAAGUAGACGAAAAGAGGGGAUGCCCUCCGGGGCAUCCCCAAGCUUGGCUUUUAGGUGUCCUUAGAUUAUCUUGGGGGUGCCAUGGGCAUCCCCAAGCUUAGGCUCUUGCCACUCCUUGCUCCAUAAUCCAUCAAAUCUUUACCCAAAACUUGUAAACUUCACAACACAAAACUUAAAGUAGAAAAUCUCGUGAGCUCCGUUAGCGAAAGAAAACAAAAUACCACUUCAAGGUACUGUAAUGAACUCAUUCUUUAUUUAUAUUGCUGUUAAACUUACUGUAUUCUAACUUCUCUAUGGUUUAUAAACUAUUUUACUAGCCAUAGAUUCAUCAAAAUAAGCAAACAACACACGAAAAACAGAAUCUGUCAAAAACAGAACAGUCUGUAGUAAUCUGUAGCUAGCGCAAGAUCUGGAACCCCAAAAAUUCUAAAAUAAAUUUCUGGACGUGAGGAAUUUAUCUAAUCAUCUGCAAAAAUAAUUAACUAAAUAUCACCUUCCAAAUAAAAAUGGCAGCAGUUCUCGUGAGCACUAAAGUUUCUGUUUUUUACAGCAAGAUAUCAAGACUUUCCCCAAGUCUUCCCAACGGUUCUACUUGGCACAAACACUAAUUAAACACAAAAACACAACCUAAACAGAGGCUAGAUAAAUUAUUUAUUACUAAACAGGAGCAAAAAGCAAGGAAUAAAAAUAAAAUUGGGUUGCCUCCCAACAAGCGCUAUCGUUUAACGCCCCUAGCUAGGCAUAAAAAGCAAGGAUAGACCUAGGUAUUUCCAUCUUUGGUUUUUCAACUUUUUAGCGUAAUCAAGCUCGAAUCCGGGGGGUUCUUUACGUUUCCCUUCAUAUUCUUAAAUUUUUAGAUCUAACGAAUCCAACCGCUUAUUGCAAAGGGUAAUCAACAUAUUCAUGCGGUGGAGAUUCCCGCUAACGCAUUUAAGAGGUUCAAGAGACUUUUGUAAAAUCUUGGUUACUUCGCAAAUUUUCUCAAAAACUUGCGUUUUCUCUUGGGUAUGAUGAGGCCCCUUUUGUUGAGGUAGAGUUCCUACUAUACCUUCUAUAAUUUCAUGCGCAAUACUGGGAUCAAUUUCAAUAAAAUUGCCUUUGGCAACGCAAUCCAAAAGUUGUCUAUGAGACAUAUUUAGUCCAACAUAGAAGUUGCGAAGCAAAAUUCUAAAAUUCACCUCUAGGGUACAAUUACGAUAAGAUUCCAUCAUUAUAAACCAAGCAUCUUUUAAAUUUUUUACUUGCCUUUGUUUGAAGUGAAGAACCUCAAACUCGGGAGACAAAGGAGCAGAUAAGGGACUAGCCAUAACGACAAGCAAAUGGAAAAGAGGCGAACGGAAAAAGAGAGGGAGAAUAGAGAGAGAGGGCGAAUAAAACGGAAAGGGUGAAGUGGGGGAGAGGAAAACGAGAGGCAAAUGGAAAAUAAUGUAAUGCGGGAGAUAAGGAUUGUGAUGGGUACUUGGUAUAUUGCCUUUUGCGUAGACUCCCCGGCAACGGCGCCAGAAAUCCUUUUUCCUGCCUCUUUAGCACUACGUUGGUUUAUCCCCAAAGAGGAAGGGAUGAUGCAGCAAAGUAGCGUAAGUAUUUCCCUCAGUUUUUUCGAACCAAGGUAUCAGUCCAGUAGGAGGCUACGCGCGAGUCCCUCGUACCUGCACAAAACAAAUAAAUCCUCGCAACCAACGUGAUAAGGGGUUGUCAAUCCCUACACGGCCACUUACGAGAGUGAGAUCUGAUAGAUAUGAUAAGAUAAUAUUUUUUGUAUUUCUAUGAUAAAGAUGCAAAGUAAAAUGAAAGCAAAGUAAAAUGCAAAGGAAAUAACUAAGUAUUGGAAGAUUAAUAUGAUGAAGAUACACCUAGGGGCCAUAGGUUUCACUAGUGGCUUCUCUCAAGAGCAUACGUAUUCUACGGUGGGUGAACGAACUACUGUUGAGCAAUUGACAGAAUUGAGCAUAGUUAUGAGAAUAUCUAGGUAUGAUCAUGUAUAUAGGCAUCACGUCCGAGAGAAGUAGACCGACUCCUGCCUGCAUCUACUACUAUUACUCCACUCAUCGACCGCUAUCCAGCAUGCAUCUAGAGUAUUAAGUUAAUGAAAACAAAGUAACGCCUUAAGCAAGAUGACAUGAUGUAGAGGGAUAAACUCAUGCAAUAUGAUGAAAACCCCAUCUUGUUAUCCUCGAUGGCAACAAUACAAUACGUGCCUUGCUGCCCCUACUGUCACUGGGAAAGGACACCGCAAGAUUGAACCCAAAGCUAAGCACUUCUCCCAUUGCAAGAAAGAUCAAUCUAGUAGGCCAAACCAAACUGAUAAUUGAUGUCUACUACACAACCUUCUUCUUGUAGACGUUGUUGGGCCUCCAAGUGCAGAGGUUUGUAGGACAGUAGAAAAUUUCCCUCAAGUGGAUGACCUAAGGUUUAUCAAUCCAUAGGAGGCGUAGGAUGAAGAUGGUCUCUCUCAAGCAACCCUGCAACCAAAUAACAAAGAGUCUCUUAUGUCCCCAACACACCCAAUACAAUGGUAAAUUGUAUAGGUGCACUAGUUCGGCAAAGAGAUGGUGAUACAAGUGGUAUAUGGAUAGUAGAUAAUAGUAUUUGUAAUCUGAAAAUAUAAAAACAGCAAGGUAACAAAUGAUAAAGGUGAGCGUAAACGGUAUUGCAAUGAUGGUAAAUAAGGCCUAGGGUUCAUACUUUCGCUAGUGUAAGUUCUCUCAACAAUACUAACAUAAUUGGAUCACAUAACUAUCCCUCAACAUGCAACUAAGAGUCACUCCAAAGUCACUAAUAGCGGAGAACGAACGAAGAGAUUGUGGUAGGGUACGAAACCACAUCAAAGUUAUUCUUUCCAAUCAAUCCGUUGGGCUAUUCCUAUAGGUGUCACAAACAGCCCUAGAGUUCGUACUAGAAUAACACCUUAAGACACAAAUCAAUCAAAACCCUAAUGUCACCUAGAUACUCUAAUGUCACCUCAAGUAUCCGUGUGUAUGAUUAUACGAUAUGCAUCACACAAUCUCAAUUCAUCUAUUCAACCAACACAUAGAACCUCAAAGAGUGCCCCAAAGUUCCUACCGGAGAAUCACGACGAAAACGUGUGCCAACCCCUAUGCAUAGGUUCCCAAUGUCACGAAACCCGCAAGUUGAUCACCCUAACAUACAUCAAGUGGCACGUGGUAUCCCAUUGUCACCACAGAUAUCCACGGCAAGACAUACAUCAAGUGUUCUCAAGUCUUUAAAGACUCAAUCCGAUAAGAUAACUCCAAAGGGGAAACUCAAUUCAUUACAAGAGAGAAGAGGGGCAGGAGAAACAUAAGAUCCAACUAUAAUAGCAAAGCUUGCGAUACAUCAAGAUCGUGCCAAAUCAAGAACACGAGAGAGAGAGAGAGAUCAAACACAUAGCUACUGGCACAUACCCUCAGCCUCGAGGGAGAACUACUCCCUCCUCGUCAUGGAGAGCGCCGGGAUGAUGAAGAUGGCCACCGGUGAGGGUUCCCCCCUCUGGCAGGGUGCCGGAACGGGUCUAGAUUAGUUUUCGGUGGCUACGGAGGCUUCUGGCAGCGGAACUCCCGAUCUAUGUUGCGUUCUGGAAGUUCUAGGUCACGUAGGUAUAUAUGGGUGCAGGAGGUACGGCAGGGGACCCACGAGGGUCCCACGAGACAAGGGGUGCGCCCCCGAACCUCGUGAACACCUUGUUCCUUCCUUGACGUAGGGUCCAAGUCCAUCGAGUGUGUUUCCUUCCAAAAAUAACUUCUCUAGUUGAUUUCGUUCCGUUUCGACUCCGUCUGAUAUUCCUUUUCUUCAAAACACUGAAAUAGGCAUAAAAUAGCAAAUCUGGGCUGGGCCUUCGGUUAAUAGGUUAGUCCCAAAAAUAAUAUAAAAGUGGAUAAUAAAGCCCAAUAUUGCCCAAAAUAGUAGAUAAUAUAGCAUGGAGCAAUAAAAAAUUAUAGAUACGUUGGAGACGUAUCAAGCAUCCCCAAGCUUAAUUCCUGCUCGUCCUCGAGUAGGUAAAUGAUAAAAAAGAUUUUUUGAUGCGGAGUGCUACUUGGCAUAAUUUCAAUGUAAUUCUUCCUACUUGUGAUAUGAAUAUUCAGAUCCAUAAGAUUCAAGAAAAAAGUUCAUAUUGACAUGAAAACAAUAAUAAUUCAAGCAUACUAACUAAGCAAUUAUGUCUUCUCAAAAUAACAUGGCCAAAGAAAGCUAUCCCUACAAAAUCAUAUAGUCUGGCUAUGCUCCAUCUUCACCACACAAAAUAUUUAAAUCAUGCACAACCCCGAUGACAAGCCAAGCAAUUGUUUCAUACUUUUGAUGUUCUCAAACUUUUUCAAUCUUCACGCAAUACAUGAGCGUGAGCCAUGGAUAUAGCACUAUAGGUGGAAUAGAAUGGUGGUUGUGGAGAAGACAAAACGGGAGAAGAUAGUCUCACAUCAACUAGGCAUAUCAACAGGCUAUGGAGAUGCCCAUCAAUAGAUAUCAAUGUGAGUGAGUAGGGAUUGCCAUGCAACGGAUGCACUAGAGCUAUAAGUAUAUGAAAGCUCAAGAAAAGAAACUAGUGGGUGUGCAUCCAACUUGCUUGCUCACGAAGACCUAGGGCAUUUUGAGGAAGCCCAUCAUUGGAAUAUACAAGCCAAGUUCUAUAAUGUAAAAUUCCCACUAGUAUAUGAAAGUGACAACAUAUGAGACUCUCUAUAUGAAGAACAUGGUGCUACUUUGAAGCACAAUAUAUGAGACUUGCUAUAUCAUGGUGCUACUUUGAAGCACAAGUGUGGAAAAAGGAUAGUAGCAUUGCCCCUUUUUAUUUAUUUUCUCUUUUUUGGGGGGGCUUUUUUUUUUCUUUGGCCUUUCUCUUUUUUUAUUGGGACAAUGCUCUAUUGAAUGAUGAUCAUCACACUUCUAUUUAUUUACAAUUCAAUGAUUACAACUCGAUACUAGAACAAAGUAUGACUCUAUAUGAAUGCCUCCGGCGGUGUACCGGGAUAUGCAAUAAAUCAAGAGUGGCAUGUAUGAAAGAAUUAUGAAUGGUGUCUUUGCCACAAAUACUAUGUCAACUACAUGAUCAUGCUAAGCAAUAUGACAAUGAUGAAUGUGUCAUUAUGAACGGAAUGGUGGAAAGUUGCAUGGCAAUAUAUCUCGGAAUGGCUAUGGAAAUGCCAUAAUAGGUAGGUAUGGUGGCUGUUUUGAGGAAGGUAUAUGGUGGGUUUAUGGUACCGGCGAAAGUUGCACGGUACUAGAGAGGCUAGCAAUUGUGGAAGGGUGAGAGUGCGUAUAAGCCAUGGACUCAACAUUAGUCAUAAAGAACUCAUAUACUUAUUGCAAAAAUCUAUUAGUUAUCGAAGCAAAGUACUACGCGCAUGCUCCUAGGGGGAUAGAUUGGUAGGAAAAGACCAUCGCUCAUCCCCGACCGCCACUCAUAAGGAAGAUAAUCAAUAAAUAAAUCAUGCUCCGACUUCGUAACAUAACGGUUCACCAUACAUGCAUGCUAUGGGAAUCACAAACUUCAACACAAGUAUUUCUCAAAUUCAUAACCACUCAACUAGCAUGACUCUAGUAUCACCAUCUCCAUAUCUCAAAACAAUCAUCAAGCAUCAAACUUCUCUUAGUAUUCAACACACUCAUAAGAGAAUUUUUAUUAUUCUUGAAUACCUAGCAUAUUAGGAUUUUAAGCAAAUUACCAUGUUAUUUAAGACUCUCAAAAUAAUAUAAGUGAAGCAUGAGAGUUCAUCUAUUUCUUCAGAAUAAAACUACCACCAUGCUCUAAAACAUAUAAGUGAAGCACUAGAGCAAACAACAAACUACUCCAAAAGAUAUAAGUGAAGAUCAAUGAGUAGUUGAAUAAUUAUGCAACCAUGUGAAGACUCUCUAACAUUUAAUAAUUUCAGAUCUUGGUAUUAUAUUCAAACAGCAAGCAAAGCAAAAUAAAAUUACAUUCUAAGAAUGGAAACAUCAUGUGAAGAAGCAAAAACUUAGGAUCAACUGAUACUAACCGAUAAUUGUUGAAGAAGAAAGGUGGGAUGCCAACCGGGGCAUCCCCAAGCUUACACGCUUGAGAAUUCUUGAAAUAUUAUCUUGGGGUGCCUUGUGCAUCCCCAAUCUUGAGCUUUUGUGUCUCCUUAAUUCCUCUCAUAUCACGGUCUCCCUAAAUCUCAAAAGCUUGAUCCACAUAAAACUCAACAAGGACUCGUGAGAUAAGUUAGUAUAAACCAUUGCAAAAACCUUAUCAUACUCUACUGUAGCAAAUCACUAAAAUUAUUAUUCAACAUUGCAUACUAAAUGUAUCUGCAUAUUUAAUAGUCCUAUCCUCAAAUAGAAUCAUUAAAGAAGCAAACAUAUGCUAACAAUGCAAACAUAACAGCAAUCUGCCUAAACAGGAUAGUCUGUAAAGAAUGCUGCAACAUCCAUACUUCCCUAGCUCCAAAAAUUAUACAAUAAAAUUCCCACUGUAGUAAAUUUAUCAGAGCUUCAUAUGCAGAAGGUUUCAACACUUUAUCACAUUCUGACUUUUCUAGGGAAUUAUUGCAACAGCGGUAAACUUUCUGUUUUCAAACAGCAACAUGUAUACUUGUAACAUAGGCAUAUUAAAGGCUAUCAAUGCCACUUUUAUUGAAAUAAAAGAUGCAAAACAUUAUUCUAAAUAACAUAAAGCAAAUCCUAACAAAAUAAAUUGACGCUCCAAGCAAAACACAUAUCAUGUGGCGAAUAAAAAUAUGGCUCCAAGUAAAGUUACCGAUGAACGAAGUUUAAAGAGGGGAUGCCUUCCGGGGCAUCCCCAAGCUUAGGCUCUUGGUUGUCCUUGAAUAUUACCUUUAUUUUCCAUGGGCAUCCCCAAGCUUAGGCUCUUGCCACUCCUUAUUCCAUAGUCCAUCGAAUCCUUACCCAAAACUUGAAAACUUCACAACACAAAACUUAACAGAAAACUCGUAAGCUCCGUUAGUAUAAGAAAAUAAAUCACCACUUCAAGGUACUGUAAUGAACUCAUUAUUUAUUUAUAUUGGUUUUAAACCUACUGUAUUCCAACUUCUCUAUGGUUUAUAAACUAUUUUACUAGCCAUAGAUUCAUCAAAAUAAGUAAACAACACAUGAAACACAGAAUCUGUCAAAAACAGAAUAGUCUAUAGUAAUGUGGAUCAAACGUAUACUUCUGGAACUCAUAAAAUUCUCAACUAAAUUUCUGGACCUGAGGAAUUUAUCUAUUAAUCAUCUUCAAAAAUAAUUAACUAAAUAUCACUCUCCAAAUAAAAAUGGCAGCAAUUAUCGUGAGCGCUAAAGUUUCUGUUUUUUACAGCAUGAUCAACAAGACUUUCCGCAAGUCUUCCCAAAGGUUCUACUUGGCACAAACACUAAUUAAAACAAUAAAACCACAUCUAAACAGAGUCUCUAUGAAUUAUUUAUUACUAAACAGGAGCAAAAAUCAAGGAAUAAAAAUAAAAUUGGGUUGCCUCCCAACAAGCGCUAUCGUUUAACGCCCCUAGCUAGGCAUGAUGGUUUCAAUGAUGCUCAUAUAAGGAUAAGAAUUGAAACAUAAAGAGAGCAUCCUGAAGAAUAUGACUAGCACAUUUAAGCCUAACCCACUUCCUAUGCAUAGGGAUUUUGUGAGCAAACAAAUUGUGGGAAGAAUAAUCAACUACCAUAGGAAGGCAAAACAAGCAUAACUUCAAAACUUUAAGCACAUAGAGAGGAAACUUGAUAUUAUUGCAAUUCCUACAAGCAUAUAUUCCUCCCUCAUAAUAGUUUUUAGUAGCACCAUGAAUGAAUUCAACAAUAUAACCAGCACCUAAAGUAUUCUUUUCAUGAUCUACAAGCAUAGAAAAUUUACUACUCUCCACACAAGCAAAAUUCUUCUCAUGGAUAAUAGUGGGAGCAAACUCAACAAAAUAACUAUCAUGUGAUUGAAAAUUAAGAUCAAGAUGACAAGGUUCAAUGUUAUUAUCAUUCUUUAAAGCAUAAGUGUCAUCACAAUAAUCAUCAUAGAUAGGAGGCAUGCUUUCAUCAUAAUAAAUUUGCUCCUCAAAACUUGGGGGACAAAAAAUAUCAUCUUCAUCAAACAUAGCUUCCCCAAGCUUGUGGCUUUGCAUAUCAUUAGCAUUAUGGAUAUUCAAGGAAUUCAUACUAACAACAUUGCAAUCAUGCUCAUCAUUCAAAGAUUUAAUGCCAAACAUUUUAUAGAUUUCUUCUUCUAGCACUUGAGCACAAUUAUCCUUUCCAUCAUACUCACGAAAGAUAUUAAAAAGGUGAAGCGUAUGAGGUAGACUCAAUUCCAUUUUUUUAUAGUUUUCUUUUAUAAACUAAACUAGUGAUAAAACAAGAAACUAAAAGACUCGAUUGCAAGAUCUAAAGAUAUACCUUUAAGCACUCACCUCCCCGGCAACGGUGCCAGAAAAGAGCUUGAUGUCUACUACACAACCUUCUUCUUGUAGACGUUGUUGGGCCUCCAAGUGUAGACGUUUGUAGGACAGUAGCAAAUUUCCCUCAAGUGGAUGACCUAAGGUUUAUCAAUCUGUAGGAAGCGUAGGAUGAAGAUGGUCUCUCUCAAGCAACCCUGCAACCAAAUAACAAAGAGUCUCUUGUGUCCCCAACACACCCAAUACAAUGGUAAAUUGUAUAGGUGCACUAGUUCGGCGAAGAGAUGGUGAUACAAGUGGUAUAUGGAUAGUAGAUAAUAGUAUUUGUAAUCUGAAAAUAUAAAAACAGCAAGGUAACAAAUGAUAAAAGUGAGCGUAAACGGUAUUGCAAUGAUGGUAAAUAAGGCCUAGGGUUCAUACUUUUGCUAGUGUAAGUCCUCUCAACAAUACUAACAUAAUUGGAUCACAUAACUAUCCCUCAACAUGCAACUAAGAGUCACUCAAAAGUCACUAAUAGCGGAGAACGAACGAAGAGAUUAUGGUAGGGUAUGAAACCACCUCAAUGUUAUUCUUUCCAAUCAAUCCGUAGGGCUAUUCCUAUAGGUGUCACAAACAGCCCUAGAGUUCGUACUAGAAUAACACCUUAAGACACAAAUCAAUCAAAACCCUAAUGUCACCUAGAUACUCCAAUGUCACCUCAAGUAUCCGUGGGUAUGAUUAUACGAUAUGCAUCACACAAUCUCAAUUCAUCUAUUCAACCAACACAUAGAACCUCAAAGAGUGCCCCAAAGUUCCUACCGGAGAAUCACGAUGAAAACAUGUGCCAACCCCUAUGCAUAGGUUCCCAAUGUCACGAAACCCGCAAGUUGAUCACCCUAACAUACAUCAAGUGGCACGUGGUAUCCCAUUGUCACCACAGAUAUCCACGACAAGACAUACAUCAAGUGUUCUCAAGUCUUUAAAGACUCAAUCCGAUAAGAUAACUCCAAAGGGGAAACUCAAUUCAUUACAAGAGAGAAGAGGGGGAGGAGAAACAUAAGAUCCAACUAUAAUAGCAAAGCUCGCGAUACAUCAAGAUCGUGCCAAAUCAAGAACACGAGAGAGAGAGAGAGAUCAAACACAUAACUACUGGCACAUACCCUCAGCCUCGAGGGAGAACUACUCCCUCCUCGUCAUGGAGAGCGCCGGGAUGAUGAAGAUGGCCACCGGUGAGGGUUCCCCCCUCCGGCAGGGUGCCGGAACGGGUCUAGAUUGGUUUUCGGUGGCAACGGAGGCUUCUGGCGGCGGAACUCCCGAUCUAUGUUGCGUUCUGGAAGUUUUAGGUCAAGUAGGUAUAUAUGGGUGCAGGAUGUACGUCAGGGGAGCCACGAGGGUCCCACGAGACAGGGGGCGCGCCCUAGGGGCUCCCCCCACCCUCGUGAGCACCUCGUUCCUUCCUUGACGUAGGGUCCAAGUCCAUCGGGUGUGUUUCCUUCCAAAAAUAACUUCUCCAGUUGAUUUCGUUCCGUUUCGAAUCCGUCUGAUAUUCCUUUUCUUCAAAACACUGAAAUAGGCAUAAAACAGCAAAUCUGGGAUGGGCCUUCGGUUAAUAGGUGUUGGGGAACGUACUAAUUUCAAAAAAAUUCCUACGCACACUCAAGAUCAUGGUGAUGCAUAGCAACGAGAGGGGAGAGUGUGAUCUACGUACCCUUGUAGACCGACAGCGAAAGCGUUAGCACAACGCAGUUGAUGUAGUCGUACGUCUUCACGGCCCGACCGAUCAAGCACCGAAACUACGGCACCUCCGAGUUCUAGCACACGUUCAUCUCGAUGACGAUCCCCGGACUCCGAUCCAGCAAAGUGUCGGAGAAGAGUUCCGUCAGCACGACGGUGUGGUGACGAUCUUGAUGUACUACCAUUGCAGGGCUUCGCCUAAGCACCGCUACAAUAUUAUCGAGGACUAUGGUGGAAGGGGGCACCGCACACGGUUAAGAAUAUGAUCACGUGGAUCAACUUGUGUAUCUAGGGGUGCCCCCUGCCCCCGUAUAUAAAGGAUCAAGGGGGGGUGCGGCCGGCCAGGAGAAGUGCGCGCCAGGAGGAGUCCUACUCCCACCGGGAGUAGGAUUCCCCCCUUUCCUAGUUGGAAUAGGAUUCGGGAGGGGAAAGAGGAGAGAGAGAAGGAAGGGGGAGCGCCGCCCCCCUCUCCUUGUCCUAUUCGGACUAGGGGGGGAGGGGCGUGCGGCCCAGCCCUGGCCACCUCUCCUCUAUUCCACUAAAGCCCACUAAGGCCCAUAUACCUCCCGGGGGGGUUCCGGUAACCUCCCAGUACUCCGGUAAAAUCCCGAUUUCACCCGGAACACUUUCGAUAUCCAAAUAUAGGCUUCCAAUAUAUCAAUCUUUAUGUCUUGACCAUUUCGAGACUCCUCGUCAUGUCCGUGAUCACAUCCGGGACUCCGAACAACCUUCAGUACAUCAAAAUGCAUAAACUCAUAAUAUAAAUGUCAUCGAAACCUUAAGCGUGCGGACCCUGCGGGUUCGAGAAUAAUGUAGACAUGACCGAGACACGUCUCCGGUCAAUAACCAAUAGCGGAACCUAGAUGCUCAUAUUGGCUCCUACAUAUUCUACGAAGAUCUUUUAUCGGUCUGACCGCAUAACAACAUACGUUGUUCCCUUUGUCAUCGGUAUGUUACUUGCCCGAGAUUCGAUCGUCGGUAUCUCAAUACCUAGUUCAAUCUCUUUACCGGCAAGUCUCUUUACUCGUUCUAUAAUACAUCAUCUCACAACUAACUCAUUAGUUGCAAUGCUUGCAAGGCUUAUGUGAUGUGCAUUAUCGAGAGGGCUCAGAGAUACCUCUCCGACAAUCAGAGUGACAAAUCCUAAUCUCAAAAUACGCCAACCCAACAUGUACCUUUGGACACACCUGUAGAGCACCUUUAUAAUCACCCAGUUACGUUGUGACGUUUGGUAGCACACAAAGUGUUCCUCCGGCAAACGGGAGUUGCAUAAUCUCAUAGUCAUAGGAACAUGUAUAAGUCAUGAAGAAAGCAAUAGCAACAUACUAAACGAUCGGGUGCUAAGCUAAUGGAAUGGGUCAUGUCAAUCAGAUCAUUCAUCUAAUGAUGUGAUCCCGUUAAUCAAAUAACAACUCUUUGUCCAUGGUUAGGAAACAUAACCAUCUUUGAUUAACGAGCUAGUCAAGUAGAGGCAUACUAGUGACACUCUGUUUGUCUAUGUAUUCACACAUGUAUUAUGUUUCCGGUUAAUACAAUUCUAGCAUGAAUAAUAAACAUUUAUCAUGAUAUAAGGAAAUAAAUAAUAACUUUAUUAUUGCCUCUAGGGCAUAUUUCCUUCAGUCUCCCACUUGCACUAGAGUCAAUAAUCUAGAUUACACAGUAAUGAUUCUAACACCCAUGGAGCCUUGGUGCUGAUCAUGUUUUGCUCGUGGAAGAGGCUUAGUCAACGGGUCUGCUACAUGCAGAUCCGUAUGUAUCUUGCGAAUCUCUAUUUCUCCCACCUGGACUAGAUCCCAGAUGGAAUUGAAGCGUCUCUUGAUGUGGUUGGUUCUCUUGUGAAAUCUGGAUUCCUUUGCCAAGGCAAUUGCACCAGUAUUGUCACAAAAGAUUUUCAUUGCACCCGAUGCACUAGGUAUGACACCUAGAUCGGAUAUGAACUGCUUCAUCCAGACUCCUUCAUUUGUUGCUUCUGAAGCAGCAAUGUAUUCCGCUUCACAUGUAGAUCCCGCCACGACGCUUUGUUUAGAACUGCACCAACUGACAGCUCCACCGUUUAAUGUAAACACGUAUCCGGUUUGCGAUUUAGAAUCGUCUGGAUCAGUGGCAAAGCUCGCAUCAAUGUAACCAUUUACGAUGAGCUCUUUGUCACCUCCAUAAACGAGAAACAUAUCCUUAGUCCUUUUCAGGUAUUUUAGGAUGUUCUUGACCGCUGUCCAGUGAUCCACUCCCGGAUUACUUUGGUACCUCCCUGCUAGACUUAUAGCAAGGCACACAUCAGGUCUGGUACACAGCAUUGCAUACAUGAUAGAGCCUAUGGCUGAAGCAUAGGGAACAUCUUUCAUUUUCUCUCUAUCUUCUGCAGUGGUCGGGCAUUAAGUCUUACUCAACUUCACACCUUGUAACACAGGCAAGAACCCUUUCUUUGCUUGAUCCAUUUUGAUCUUCUUCAAAACUUUGUCAAGGUAUGUGCUUUGUGAAAGUCCAAUUAAGCGUCUUGAUCUAUCUCUAUAGCUCUUAAUGCCUAAUAUGUCAGCAGCUUCACCGAGGUCUUUCAUUGAAAAACUCUUAUUCAAGUAUCCCUUUAUGCUAUCCAGAAAUUCUAUAUCAUUUCCAAUUAGUAAUAUGUCAUCCACAUAUGAUAUCAGAAAUGCUACAGAGCUCCCACUCACUUUCUUGUAAAUACAGGCUUCUCCAAAAGUCUGUAUAAAACCAAAUGCUUUGAUCACACUAUCAAAGCGUUUAUUCCAACUCCGAGAGGCUUGCACCAGUCCAUAAAUGAAUCGCUGGAGCUUGCACACUUUGUUAGCUCCCUUUGGAUCGACAAAACCUUCUGGUUGCAUCAUAUACAACUCUUCUUCCAGAAAUCCAUUCAGGAAUGCAGUUUUGACAACCAUGUGCCAAAUUUCAUAAUCAUAAAAUGCGGCAAUUGCUAACAUGAUUCGGACAGACUUAAGCAUCGCUAUGGGUGAGAAGGUCUCAUCGUAGUCAAUCCCUUGAACUUGCCGAAAACCUUUUGCGACAAGUCGAGCUUUGUAGACAGUAAUAUUACCGUCAGCGUCAGUCUUCUUCUUGAAGAUCCAUUUAUUCUCAAUUGCUUGCCAAUCAUUGGCAAGUCAACCAAAGUCCAUACUUUGUUCUCAUACAUGGAUCCCAUCUCAGAUUUCAUGGCUUCAAGUCAUUUUGCGGAAUCUGGGCUCACCAUCACUUCUUCAUAGUUUGUAGGUUCAUCAUGAUCUAGUAGCAUGACUUCUAGAACAGGAUUACCAUACCACUCUGGCGCGGAUCUCACUCUGGUUGAUCUAUGAGGUUCAAUAGUAUCUUGUUCUGAAGUUUCAUGAUCAUUAUCAUUAGCUUCCUCACUAAUUGGUGUAGGUGUCACAGAAACAGGUUUCUGUGAUGUACUACUUUCCAAUAAGGGAGUAGGUACAGUUACGUCGUCAAGUUCUACUUUCCUCCCACUCACUUCUUUCGACAGAAACUCCUUCUCCAGAAAGUUUCCGAAUUUAGCGACAAAAGUAUUGCCUUCGGAUCUGUGAUAGAAGGUGUAUCCAAUAGUUUCCUUUGGAUAUCCUAUGAAGACACAUUUCUCCGAUUUGGGUUCGAGCUUAUCAGGUUGAAGCUUUUUCACAUAAGCAUCACAACCCCAAACUUUCAGAAACGACAACUUUGGUUUCUUGCCAAACCACAGUUCAUAAGGCGUCGUCUCAACAGAUUUUGAUGGUGCCCUAUUUAACAAGAAUGCGGCCGUCUCUAGAGCGUAUCCCCAAAAACGAUAGCGGUAAAUCAAUAAGAGACAUCAUAGAUCGCACCAUAUCUAGUAAAGUACGAUUACGAUGUUCGGACACACCAUUACGCUGUGGUGUUCCGGGUGGCGUGAGUUGCGAAACUAUUCCACAUUGUUUCAAAUGUACACCAAACUCGUAACUCAAAUAUUCUCCUCCACGAUCAGAUCAUAGGAAUUUUAUUUUCUUGUUACGAUGAUUUUCAACUUCACUCUGAAAUUCUUUGAACUUUUCAAAUGUUUCAGACUUGUGUUUCAUUAAGUAGAUAUACCCAUAUCUGCUUAAGUCAUCUGUGAAGGUGAGAAAAUAACGAUAUCCGCCACGAGCCUCAACAUUCAUUGGACCACAUACAUCUGUAUGUAUGAUUUCCAACAAAUCUGUUGCUCUCUCCAUAGUACCGGAGAACAGUGUUUUUGUCAUCUUACCCAUAAGGCACGGUUUGCAAAUACCAAGUGAUUCAUAAUCAAGUGGUUCCAAAAGCCCAUCAGUAUGGAGUUUCUUCAUGCGCUUUAUACCGAUAUGACCCAAACGGCAGUGCCACAAAUAAGUUGCACUAUCAUUAUCAACUCUGCAUCUUUUGGCUUCAACAGUAUGAAUAUGUGUGUCACAACUAUCGAGAUUUAAUAAGAAUAGACCACUCCUUAAGGGUGCAUGACCAUAAAAGAUAUUACUCAUGUAAAUAGAACAACCAUUAUUCUCUUAUUUAAAUGAAUAACCGUCUCACAUCAAACAAGAUCCAGAUAUAAUGUUCAUGCUUAACGCUGGCACCAAAUAACAAUUAUUUAGGUCUAAUACUAAUCCCGAAGGUAGAUGUAGAGGUAGCAUGCCGACUGCGAUCACAUCGACUUUGGAACCAUUUCCCAUGCGCAUCGUCACCUCGUCCUUAGCCAAUCUUCGCUUAAUCCGUAGUCCCUAUUUCGAGUUGCAAAUAUUAGCAACAGAACCAGUAUCAAAUACCCAGGUGCUACUGCGAGCAUUAGUAAGGUACACAUUAAUAACAUGUAUAUCUCAUAUACCUUUGUUCACCUUGCCAUCCUUCUUAUCCGCCAAAUACUUGGGGCAGUUCCGCUUCCAGUGACCAGUCUGCUUGCAGUAGAAGCACUUAGUUUCAGGCUUAGGUCCAGGUUUGGGUUUCUUCUCUUGAGUAGCAACUUGCUUGCUGUUCCUUUUGAAGUUCCCCUUCUUCUUCCCUUUGCCCUUUUUCUUGAAACUAGUGGUCUUGUUGACCAUCAACACUUGAUGCUCCUUCUUGAUUUCUACCUCCGCAGCUUUCAGCAUUGCGAAGAGCUCGGGAAUAGUCUUAUUCAUCCCUUGCAUAUUAUAGUUCAUCACGAAGCUCUUGUAGCUUGGUGGCAGUGAUUGGAGAAUUCUGUCAAUGACGCAAUCAUCUGGAAGAUUAACUCCCAAUUGAAUCAAGUGAUUAUUAUACCCAGACAUUUUGAGUAUAUGCUCACUGACAGAACUGUUCUCCUCCAUCUUGCAGCUAUAAAACUUAUUGGAGACUUCAUAUCUCUCAAUCCGGGGAUUUGCUUGAAAUAUUAACUUCAACUCCUGGAACAUCUCAUAUGCUCCAUGAUGUUCAAAACAUCGUUGAAGUCCCGAUUCUAAGCCGUAAAGCAUGGCCCACUGAACUAUCGAGUAGUCAUCAGCUUUGCUCUGCCAGACGUUCAUAACAUCUGGUGUUGCUCCAGCAGCAGGCCUGGCACCCAGCGGUGCUUCCAGGAUAAUUCUUCUAUGCAGCAAUGAGGAUAAUCCUCAAGUUACGGACCCAGUCCAUGUAAUUGCUACCAUCAUCUUUCAACUUUGCUUUCUCAAGGAACGCAUUAAAAUUCAAUGGAACAACAGCACGGGCCAUCUAUCUACAAUCAAACAUAAAUAAGCAAGAUACUAUCAGGUACUAAGUUCAUGAUAAAUUUAGGUUCAAUUAAUCAUAUUACUUAAAGAACUCCCACUUAGAUAGACAUCCCUCUAAUCCUCUAAGUGAUUACGUGAUCCAAAUCAACUAAACCAUGUCCGAUCAUCACGUGAGAUGGAGUAGUUUCAUUGGUGAACAUCACUAUGUUGAUCAUAUCUACUAUAUGAUUCAGGCUCGACCUUUCGGUCUCCGUGUUCCGAGGCCAUAUCUGUAUAUGCUUGGCUCGUCAAGUAUAACCUGAGUAUUCUGCGUGUGCAACUGUUUUGCACCCGUUGUAUUUGAAUGUAGAGCCUAUCACACCCGAUCAUCACGUGGUGUCUCAGCACGAAGAACUUUCGCAACGGUGCAUACUCAGGGAGAACACUUCUUGAUAAUUAGUGAGAGAUCAUCUUAUAAUGCUACCGUCAAUCAAAGCAAGAUAAGAUGCAUAAAAGAUAAACAUCACGUGCAAUCAAUAUAAGUGAUAUGAUAUGGCCAUCAUCUUGUGCUUGUGAUCUCCAUCUUCGAAGCACCGUCGUGAUCACCAUCGUCACCAGCGUGACACCUUGAUCUCCAUCGUAGCAUCGUUGUCGUCUCGCUAAUCUUAUGCUUCCACAACUAUCGCUACCGCUUAGUGAUAAAGUAAAGCAUUACAGCGCGAUUGCAUUGCAUACAAUAAAGCGACAACCAUAUGGCUCCUGCCAGUUGCCGAUAACUCGGUUACAAAACAUGAUCAUCUCAUACAAUAAAAUUUAGCAUCAUGUCUUGACCAUAUCACAUCACAACAUGCCCUGCAAAAACAAGUUAGACGUCCUCUACUUUGUUGUUGCAAGUUUUACGUGGCUGCUACGGGCUUAAGCAAGAACCAAUCUUACCUACGCAUCAAAACCACAAUGAUAGUUUGUCAAGUUGGUGCUGUUUUAACCUUCGCAAGGACCGGGCGUAGCCACACUUGGUUCAACUAAAGUUGGAGAAACUGUCACCCGCUAGCCACCUUUGUGCAAAGCACGUCGGGAGAACCGGUCUCGCGUAAGCGUACGCAUAAUGUCGGUCCGGGCCGCUUCGUCCAACAAUACCGCCGAACCAAAGUAUGACAUGCUGGUAAGCAGUAUGACUUAUAUCGCCCACAACUCACUUGUGUUCUACUCGUGCAUAUAACAUCAACACAUAAAACCUAGGCUCGGAUGCCAUUGUUGGGGAACGUAGUAAUUUCAAAAAAAAAUCCUACGCACACGCAAGAUCAUGGUGAUGCAUAGCAAUGAGAGGGGAGAGUGUGAUCUACGUACCCUUGUAGACCGACAGCGGAAGCGUUAGCACAACGUGGUUGAUGUAGUCGUACGUCUUCAUGGCCUGACCGAUCAAGCACCGAAACUACGGCACCUCCGAGUUCUAGCACACGUUCAGCUCGAUGACGAUCCCCGGACUCUGAUCCAGCAAAGUGUCGGAGAAGAGUUCCGUCAGCACGACGGUGUGGUGACUAUCUUGAUGUACUACCGUUGCAAGGCUUCGCCUAAGCACCGCUACAAUAUUAUCGAGGACUAUGGUGGAAGGGGGCACCGCACACUGUUAAGAAUAUGAUCACGUGGAUCAACUUGUGUAUCUAGGGGUGCCCCUGCCCCCGUAUAUAAAGGAUCAAGGGGGGGUGCGGCCGGCCAGGAGGAGGGCGCGCCAGGAGGAGUCCUACUCCCACCGGGAGUAGGAUUCCCCCCUUUCCUAGUUGGAAUAGGAUUCGGGAGGGGAAAGAGGAGAGAGAGAAGGAAGGGGGGCGCCGCCCCCCUCUCCUUGUCCUAUUCGGACUAGGGGGAGGGGCACACGGCCUAGCCUUGGCCACCUCUCCUCUAUUCCACUAAAUCCCACUAAGGCCCAUAUACCUCCCGGGGGGGAGGGUUCCGGUAACCUCCCGGUACUCCGAUAAAAUCCCGAUUUCACCCGGAACACUUCCGAUAUUCAAAUAUAGGCUUCCAAUAUAUCAAUCUUUAUGUCUCGACCAUUUCGAGACUCCUCGUCAUGUCCGUGAUCACAUCCGGGACUCCGAACAAUCUUCGGUACAUCAAAAUGCAUAAACUCAUAAUAUAAUUGCCAUCGAAACCUUAAGCGUGCGGACCCUACGGGUUCGAGAACAAUGUAGACAUGACCGAGACAUGUCUCCGGUCAAUAACCAAUAGCGGAACCUGGAUGCUCAUAUUGGCUCCUACAUAUUCUAUGAAGAUCUUUUAUCGGUCAGACCGCAUAACAACAUACGUUGUUCCCUUUGUCAUCGGUAUGUUACUUGCCCGAGAUUCGAUCGUCGGUAUCUCAAUACCUAGUUCAAUCUCGUUACCGGCAAGUCUCUUUACUCGUUCUAUAAUACAUCAUCUCAUAACUAACUCAUUAGUUGCAAUGCUUGCAAGGCUUAUGUGAUGUGCAUUACCGAGAGGGCUCAGAGAUACCUCUCCGACAAUCAGAGUGACAAAUCCUAAUCUCGAAAUACGCCAACCCAACAUGUACCUUUGGACACACCUGUAGAGCACCUUUAUAAUCACCCAGUUACGUUGUGACGUUUGGUAGCACACAAAGUGUUCCUCCGGCAAACGGGAGUUGCAUAAUCUCAUAGUCAUAGGAACAUGUAUAAGUCAUGAAGAAAGCAAUAGCAACAUACUAAACGAUCGGGUGCUAAGCUAAUGGAAUGGGUCAUGUCAAUCAGAUCAUUCAUCUAAUGAUGUGAUCCCGUUAAUCAAAUAACAACUCUUUGUCCAUGGUUAGGAAACAUAACCAUCUUUGAUUAACGAGCUAGUCAAGUAGAGGCAUACUAGUGACACUCUGUUUGUCUAUGUAUUCACACAUGUAUUAUGUUUCCGGUUAAUACAAUUCUAGCAUGAAUAAUAAACAUUUAUCAUGAUAUAAGGAAAUAAAUAAUAACUUUAUUAUUGCCUCUAGGGCAUAUUUCCUUCAAUAGGUUAGUCCCAAAAAUAAUAUAAAAGUGGAUAAUAAAGCCCAAUAUUGCCCAAAACAGUAGAUAAUAUAGCAUGGAGUAAUCAAAAAUUAUAGAUACGUUGGAUACGUAUCAAUAAUUCGAAGAGACUUGCAAAGAUAACCAAUCAUACAUAAAAGAAUUCAGAGAAGAUGCAAAUAUUGUUCAUAGAUAGACUUGAGUCAUAAACCCACAAUUCAUCGGUCUCAUCAAACACACCGCAAAAAGAAGAUUACAUCGAAUAGAUCUCCACAAGAGAGGGGGAGAACAUUGUAUUGAGAUCCAAAAAGAGAGAAGAAGCCAUCUAGCUAAUAACUAUGGACCCGUAGGUCUGAGGUAAACUACUCACACUUCAUCGGAAGGGCUAUGGUGAUGAUGUAGAAGCCCUCUGUGAUGGAUACCCCCUCCGGCGGAGCUCCAGAACAGGCCCCAAGAUGGGAUCUCGUGGAUACAGAAAGUUGCGGCGGUGGAAGUAGGGGUUUGGCUCCGUAUCUGAUUGUUUGGGGUACGUAGGUAUAUAUAGGAGGAAGGAGUACGUCGGUGGAGCAACAGGGGGCCCACGAGGAUGGAGGGCGCGCUUAGGGGGUAGGCGCGCCCCCUACCUCGUGGCCUCCUCCUUUGUUUCUUGACAUAGGGUCCAAGUCUCCUGGAUCAUGUUCGGCGAGAAAAUCAUGUUCCCGAAGGUUUCGUUCCGUUUGGACUCCGUUUGAUAUUCCUUUUCUUCGAAACCCUAAAAUAGGCAAAAAAAACAGCAAUUCUAGGUUGGGCCUCCGGUUAAUAGGUUGGUCCCAAAAAUAAUAUAAAAGUGGAUAAUAAAGCCCAAUAAUGUCCAAAACGGUAGAUAAUAUAGCAUGGAGCAAUCAAAAAUUAUAGAUACGUUGGAGACGUAUCACGUACGUUUAGUACUUGAUCGAUACGAAUCGUGAAGGUGUACGACUAAAUCAACAGCAUUGAUAAACGCUUCCGCUUACGGUCUACGAGGGUACGUAGACGACACUCUCCCCUCUCGUUGAUAUGCAUCACCAUGAUCCUACGUGUGCAUAGGAAAUUGUUUGAAAUUACUAUGUUCCCCAACAGGGCCAGGCCAAGAGAGGCGCGCGAGCGCCCUGGGAGAGGCUUCGAGGAGCCCGCGUCACCGGCGGAGGGAGGAACGGCCGGGGGUACCUGCUGAAACGAAAACACAUGCUCAUCAAAGUAAACGUGCCGGGAAGUGAACACACGGUGGAAGACGAGAUCGUAGCACCGAUAUCCCUUGGAGUUAGAGGGGUAGACGAUGAAGAUGCAAGCGACGGAACGAGGUGCGAGUUUGUGAGGAGCGGAGUCGGCAGUGCUAGGAUAGCAAAGGCACCCGAAAAUACGCAAGCCAUCAUAACAUGGGGGCGUACCGAAGAGAAGAUGGUGAGGUGCAUAGUUCCAUCGUGGGCGACAGGGGCGAAGCUUAAGGAGAAGUGAAGCAGUGGCGAGUGCGUCCGGCCAGAAACGAGGUGGCACAUUAGCAUGGAACAUGAGCGUGCGAACGCAACCAUUCAGAGUGCGAAGGACGCGUUCGGCUCUACCGUUCUGCUGUGAAGUAUACGGGCAUGUGAGAUGAAAGACUGUGCCGUGGUGCGACAGAAAAGUGCUGAAAGCAAGGUUGUCGAACUCUUUUUCAUUGUCAGUCUGAAGAGCAAGGAUGGGACACCCAAACUGCGUGCUAACAUAGGAGUAAAAAGCCGUCAAAAUGGAGAGUGCAUCUGACUUUCGUCGUAAAGGAAACGUCCACACAUUGUGAGAAUAAUCAUCAAGGAUAACCAGAUAAUAUAAAUAGCCCGAAUUACUGGGAAUCGGAGAGGUCCACACAUCACUAUGAAUCAAGUGAAAAGGAAAAGAAGCUAUGGUGGUCGAGUUAUUAAACGGGAGGCGAACAUGUUUGCCGACACGACAGGCAUGACAGGUGGGAUCCUCUAUAUUAUUACAAUUUAAGCUGAAAGUCCUAAGAAUAUGACGAAGUGUGACGGGGUUGGGAUAAACCAAAUGAACGUGCCAGAGAUCAAUGCCAGUGGAGAGAGCAACCGAUGCGGUGGUGGAGGUGGACGGCGGAUGCACCGGAUAGAGCUCAUCGAGGCUGUCACAUCGGUGAAGUACCAUCCUGGUUCGAGCGUCCUUGACACAAAAACCAAGCUCGUAAAAUUCAACAGUAACAAGAUUUUCACGAGUUAAACAACAAGCGGAAAUAAGGUUCUUAAUAAGAUGAGGUGACACAAAUAUGUUAGACAAAGUAAUAGGCAUGGAACUGGAAGGAAAAGAAGUGUGCCCGACAUGUGUGAUAGGGAGUGUGGAACCCUCGCCGACAAUGAUGCGGCGGUCGGUGGUGACGGGAGUGUAGGGGGCAAGAUUACCAGGAUGAGCAAACAUGUGAGCCGUAGCCCCGGUGUCCAUGUACCAAUCACCGCCUCCAGUGUAGUUGUUCGGCAUAGGCGCGGUGUGCAGCGCGGCGAGAAGCGUCGGAUCCCAAGGCGCCGGUGGCAGGGCCGGUGAGGGCAGAGGUGGGGCCGCAGGGAGACCGUAGGCGCCGCUCAGCUGCGGUGGUGGGUAUCCUCCAUACGUCUGCGGAGCCGCGUAGUACGCCUGGUGCGCCGGUGGGCGCGACACGGAAAGGGUCAGUGCAGGAGCCCGUGGAACCGGCAUGGUGUACGCAUGAACAACGUCGGUCCAUGGGUUGUAGCCGGAGGCCCACGAAGGGGCACCUGCUGCUGAUGGGGCGGGUCGGUGCCCUGCGACUGCUGCUGUUGACCGCCGCGGUGGCCCCCACCGUGCUAGCCCCCACGGCGUCGUUCGACGAGAGGGCGGGCGGUUCAUUGAUACGUCUCCAAUGUAUCUAUAAUUUUUAAUUGUUCCAUGCUAUUAUAUUAUCAACCUUGGAUAUUUUAUAUGAAUUUAUAUGCUAUUUUAUAUGAUUUUUGGGACUAACCUAUUAACCUAGAGCCCAGUGCCACUUUCUGUUUUUUCCUUGUUUUUGAGUAUUGCACAAAAGGAAAAACCAAAUGGAGUCCAAUUGACCUGAAAUUUCACGGAGAUCAUUUUUCGACCAGAAGAAGCCCAUGGAGUAUCGAAGAUGGGCCAGAAGAGUCCCGAGGCCACCACAAGGGUGGGGGACGCGCCCUACCCCCCUGUGCGCGCCCCCCUACCUCGUGGCCGCCUCGGGGACCCCCCUGACUUGUUCCCGACUCCAACACCUCUUAUAUAACCCCAAACUUCUAGAAAGAAACCUAGAUCGGGAGUUCCGCCGCCGCAAGCCUCUGUACCCAUCGAAAACCAAUCUAGACCCGUUUCGGCACCCUGUCAAAGGGGGGAUCCCUCUCCGGUGGCCAUCUUCAUCAUCCCGGCGCUCUUCAUGACGAGGAUGGAGUAGUUCUCCCUCGGGGCUGAGGGUAUGUACCAGUAGCUAUGUGUUUGAUCUCUCUCUCUCUCUCUCGUGUUCUUGAUUCGGCACGAUCUUGAUGUAUCGCGAGCUUUGCUAUUAUAGUUAGAUCUUAUGAUGUUUCUCCCCUCUACUCUCUUGUAAUGGGUUGAGUUUUCCCUUUGAAGUUAUCUUAUCGGAUUGAGUCUUUAAGGAUUUGAGAACACUUGACGUAUGUCUUGCAUGUGCUUAUCUGUGGUGACAAUGGGAUAUCACGUGAUCCACUUGAUGUAUGUUUUGGUGAUCAACUUGUGAGUUCCGUGACCUCGUGAACUUAUGCAUAGGGGUUGGCACACGUUUUCGUCUUGACUCUUCGGUAGAAACUUUGGGGCACUCUUUGAAGUCCUUUGUGUUGGUUGAAUAGAUGAAUCUGAGAUUGUGUGAUGCAUAUUGUAUAACCAUACCCACGGAUACUUGAGGUGACAUUGGAGUGUCUAGGUGACAUUAGGGUUUUGGUUGAUUUGUGUCUUAAGGUGUCAUUCUAGUACGAACUCUACGAUAGAUUGAACGGACAGAAUAGCUUCGUGUUAUUUUACUACGGACUCUUGAAUAGAUCGAUCAGAAAGAAUAACUUUGAGGUGGUUUCGUACCCUACAAUAAUCUCUUCGUUUGUUCUCCGCUAUUAGUGACUUUGGAGUGACUCUUUGUUGCAUGUUGAGGGAUAGUUAUAUGAUCCAAUUAUGUUAUUAUUGUUGAGAGAACUUGCACUAGUGAAAGUAUGAACCCUAGGCCUUGUUUCAACGCAUUGCAAUACCGUUUGUGCUCACUUUUAUCAUUUGUUACCUUGAUGUUUUUAUAUUUUCAGAUUACAAAAACCUAUAUCUACCAUCCAUAUUGCACGUGUAUCACCAUCUCUUCGCCGAACUAGUGCACCUAUACAAUUUACCAUUGUAUUGGGUGUGUUGGGGACACAAGAGACUCUUUGUAAUUUGGUUGCAGGGUUGCUUGAGAGAGACCAUCUUCAUCCUACGCCUCCCAUGGAUUGAUAAACCUUAGGUCAUCCACUUGAGGGAAAUGUGCUACUGUCCUACAAACCUCUGCACUUGGAGGCCCAACAACGUCUACAAGAAGAAGGUUGUGUAGUAGACAGCAAGCACUUUUCUGGCGCCGUUGCCGGGGAGGCGAGUGCUUGAAGGUAUAUCUUUAGAUCUUGCAAUCGAAUCUUUUAGUUUCUUGUUUUAUCACUAGUUUAGUCUAUAAAAGAAAACUACAAAAAAUGGAAUUAAGGGUACCUCAUAUGCUUCAUCUUUUUAAUAUCUUUCAUGGAAAUAAGGAUUCUGAUAAUUGUGCCAAAAUGCUAGAAGAAGAAUGUAUUAAAAUGUUUGGCACUAAAUCUUUGGAUGAUGAGCAUGAUUGCAAUGUUGUUAGUAUGAAUUCUUUGAAUAUCCAUAGUACUAAUGUUGAUUGCACUAGUCAUGAUGAAAAUGUCUCUUAUAAGCAUGUCAAUUUUUGUGGAGUGCAUAGGGUUUGCAAGUACACACAAAAUAGGGAAGAUUUAUUUUGCAAGAGGCAUAAGUAUUUAGAAACUAAAUGGUUGCAAGAAAGGCUAGAUGUUUGUGCUGAAAAUUUAAAUUUUCUUAGUCAUCCUUGUGAACUUUGCAAUGAACAUGGUCAUUUAAAUAUCCAAUGCCAAUUGUUUCAUGAUCGAAUCGUGUCCAAAAUUGUGAUGACUUGAUUUCCCUUGCACAUCAUAAUGAACUUAGUUUGCUUCUCGGUUAUGAAGAAAUGAAACGUAUAACUAAGGAUAUUCCAGAAUUUGCCCUUGACAAAGUUCUUGAUUUUGAUCUAGAGAAAUUUAUAUGUUUUGUGCGGUAAAUUGCAUUGAAAAUCCUUGUAUUGCCAAUUACAUAAAGACAGAAAAACAAAUAGAAUAUGAAGAUAAUACUAAUGAAAGGGAAGAGACUUCCAAAUAUCCUCCUAUUAUUUCUUAUGAUGAAUCAGGUAAUGAGGAGGAGCCUUCUAUUCAACCAAUCUCAUUAAUAAGGAGCUCCGAAAAGAGGAUUAAACCCACACAUGAUGUGAAUAAGAGAAAGAAAAGACGGAGAAGCAAAGGUAAAAAUGUAUCCCUCCCAAAUGACGUUGCUCCUAUUACUCAUUGUGAUGAUGAUAAUUGUUAUACUAUUGAUGCUAUCCAUACUAUCAAUGAUGAGAGUGAUUAUGCUUAUGAUAUGAAAAGGCCCAAGCUUGGGGAUGCUAUGUUUGAUGACAAUGACAUGUUUGAGAAUGUAUUUGGUGCAAUUAAUGUUUGUCCCAAGCUUGGGGAUGCUAUGUUUAAUGAACAUGAUAUUUUUAGUCUCUCAAGUUUUGAUGAGCAAAUUUAUUAUGAUGAUAGCAUGCCUCCUAUUUAUGAUGAUUAUUGUGAUGACACUUAUGCUAUAAAAAGUAGUGAUGAUUAUAUUUAUAAAACUUGUCAUGAUUAUGAUUACCAUUUUUCUGAACAUUGCUCUUUUAAUGUGGAAACAAUUUAUAGUAUUCGAGUUUCUUAUGAUACUCCCACUAUCCUGAACGAGAAGAAUUUUGCUUAUUUGGAGAGUAGUAAAAUUUCUAUGCUUGUAGAUCAUGAAAAGAAUGCUUUAUGUGAUGGUUAUAUUGUUGAAUUUGAUUAUGAUCCUACAUGUAAUUAUUAUGAGAGAGGAAAAUAUGGUUGUAUAAAUUUUCUUGUUACAAAAUUACCUCUCGUUAGGUUGAGAUUGUUAUUGUUUAUUUCUUCUUCCUUGCAUAUGGUGGUUUCUGCUUGUCUUAAUAAUUUGUUUGCUUACAAAAUCCCUAUGCAUAGGAAGUGGGUUAGACUUAAAUGUGCUAGUCAUAUUCUUCAUGAUAAUCUCUUUAUGUUACAAUUCUUAUCUUUUAUGUGAGCAUCAUUGAAAUCAUCAUGCCUAGCUAGGGGCAUUAAACGAUAGCGCUUGUUGAGAGGCAACCCAAGUUUAUUUUUGUUCUCUGCUUUUUGUUACUGUUUAGUAAUAAAUAAUUCAUCUAUCCUUUGUUAUGAUUGUGUUUUUUAUGUUUUAAUUAGUGUUUGUGCCAAGUAGAACCUUUGGGAAGACUUGGGUGAAAUCUUUGCGAUCUUGCUGUAAAAAAUAGAAACUUUUGCGCUCAUGAGAUUUGCUGCCAUUUUUUACUGGAGAGUGAGGUUAGGUUGAUUAUUUUUGCAUAUGAUUAAUAGACAAAUUCCUCACGUCCACCAAUUUAUUUCAGAAUUUUUGGGGUUACAGAAGUAUUCGAAACCUACAGAUUACUACAGACUGUUCUGUUUUUGACAGAUUCUGUUUUCAUUGUGUUGUUUGCUUAUUUUGAUGAAUCUAUGAGUAGUAUCGGAGGGUAUGAACUAUAGAGAAGUUGGAAUACAGUAGAUAUUACACCAAUAUGAAUAUAGAAUGAGUUCUCAACAGUACCCUAAGUGGUGAUUUAUUUUCUUAUACUAACAGAGCUUACGAGUUUUCUGUUGAGUCUUGUGUUGUGAAGUUUUCAAGUUUUGGGUAAAGAUUUGAUGGACUAUAGAAUAAGGAGUGGCAAGAGCCUAAUCUUGGGGAUGCCCAAGGCACCCCAAGGUAAUAUUCAAGGACAACCAAGAUCCUAAGCUUGGGGAUGCCCCGGCUGGCAUCCCCUCUUUCGUCUUCAUUCAUCGGUAACUUUACUUGGAGCUAUAUUUUUAUUCACCACAUGAUAUGUGUUUUUCUUGGAGCGUCAUUUUAUUUUCUUUUUCUUUGCUUGCUGUUUGAAUAAAUUACCAAUAUCUGAAAUUCUUAAAUGUUAGAGAGUCUUCAUAUAGUUACAUAAUUAUUCGACUACUCAUUGAUCUUCACUUAUAUCUUUCGGAGUAGUUUGUCAUUUGCUCUAGUGCUUCACUUAUAUCUUUUUAGAGCACGGCGGUGGUUUUAUUUUGAAGAAAUAGAUGAACCCUCAUGCUUCACUUAUAUUAUUUUGAGUCUUUUAGAACAGCAUGGUAAUUUGCUUUGGUUAUGAAUUUAGUCUUGAUAUUAUGGGCACCCAAGAUGGGUAUAAUAAAAACUUUCAUAUAAAGUGCAUUGAAUGCUAUGAGAAGUUUGAUACUUGAUGAUCGUUUUGAGAUAUGAAUGUAGCGACCCGACCCGAAUGGGUCAAGUCUCUGUGCUUAAGUGUCAUCCCUGGAUCGGUAUGCUGACACACACAGUACUCGAGGAUUUAUAACAGAGGUAAAUCACAUGUAAAAGUAACGUAAAUACGAUUACCUCAAUCCAAAAUAGUGGAAGUAACAAGGUUGUGGAUUCCCAUCAACACAAACGGCAAAGUUGAGUGUAGAAAUCGUAACCCUAACGUAUCACUUACUCGUUGUAAGAUAAUCCUGCAACAUGAGACGUUGCAGCCACAGAGGGUCAGUACAUUGAAUGUACUGGCAAAUUCACACCAUAGAGAAUGAUGAAUAAAGGCUAUCACUACAUGCAUAUUUGGCUGGUGGAAAAGCUCUAUGGUUAUAAGGUUUUUGCGAAAAGCCAACUUUUCCCUACUUCAAAGGAAUAAAUUUUAUUUAACUAUCAUGGUGGUUGUUGAACAUUGAGAAUGGUUGACAGCAUUCUCAAUCCCAAUUAAGUAACAUCAUUAAACCCAACAAUAUUCAUUUAAAGUAACGUGAUGAGAUCAACAGGAUAAUCCAAGAACUAGAUACUGAAGAUGUCCAUAACCGGGGACACGGCUAAUCAUGAUUAGUUUAUACACUCUGCAGAGGUUUGCGCACUUUUCCCCACAAGAUUUGAUCGCCUCCAUUUGUUUUCUCGCACUACAUGGUGUUUGAGAAGACGGAUGACCGAGACAUAGUCUUUUAGAAGCGCUAGCACCUUACGAUCGGGUAGACCGUACCACCUACAUCCCCUACCUCUGCUAGUCUACCACUGUAAGAGUUCGCACAACUUAAUCAACUAUGCCAGAGCCCAUAAUGGCUUGUGGCUGCACACGGAAGUUUCUAGUAUGAAUAAUCUCAUGAUCCCUUUGAGCCUGGGUGGCGUUCCAAAAGAAAACAGGCAAGUUCUGGACUACCCAGGUGCCUAGACAGGCAAUCCUAGAAUAACCAGGUGCCUCAAUCCACCCAGAUGUGUGUUUAAGUUGCCACCUUAAGUAAACCAUUAAUUAACAAUCUCACAUCUAUCAUGGAUACUCUCAAAACCCAAUCCACGUCUACUAGCAUAGCAUGGCAUAAUAAGCAAACGUAGAAGUAACUCCCAAGGGUUUGAUAAUAAACAGGUAAUAGGUACUACCUCAUCUACUUCCCAUCCCACAGUUUAAUUAGAUCCUAAUCAUGCAAUGUGUGAAGAUUGAUCUAAUGCAAAAAAACUGGGUAUGGAAGGGGAUAUGAUCAAAGUGUGAACUUGCCUGCAAUGUUGAUGAAGACGAUUCGCACUCAAAAUUCUUGAUAGUUCUACUCGUCACACUCCGGUCAAUCUAUCGUAAGCAAGCAAUAGUAACCACACAUAAGCAAUCACUCAAAAGAUCAGAAAGAACGAAGAAGACGAUUCGGAAAACAUCAAAACCAAGCAAAUAACUCUUGCAACAUAAAACAAUUUCUAACAGUACCAAAAUUAUGUGAAUUUGGCCUUAUAAGAAUGUUUAGGUCAAGAGCUUCGAUUUGCAAAAACAAUCAACUCAAACGGAGCUACGAAACUCAAGUUAUGAUCAAACGAAGUUUGAAUUCAAAUCUGAUCUAAUUCAAAUUUUAAACUUCUCAAAAACAUGUUUGAGUUGGAUUACUGGAUAGAGGAGAUCCUAACGAAGACGUGAGCAUUGGUUUCGUUGGAUUUGGAUAAACGGGUAAGAAGUUGUGCUUGUUUGAAGAACAGGGACUAUUCUGUAAAUAAAGUAUUCACAUCCAGGUCCCUGGCCGAAAUUACAGAAAAAGAAAAAGGACUAAGUAGCGAACGUUCGCUGCAGAAGCCUAUAAGACGAAAACUGUUCGCUACAAAUCCUAAACUAGCAAACGUCCACUAAUUAACCUAACUAUUAAAUAAAACUGGCUUUAGAAGAAAACCAGAGAAAACCAAAAAUAAAAUAAACCGGACCGGGCGGUUAAUUACCGGUUCGGGCAGUUUUCGUCGAAAAGACCACCGGCGGCGGUUAGCAGAUCGGCAGCGACGCCGGAUCGAGCGGCAGCGGCGGGCUCCGGCGGCAGCGAGCGGUGGCGCGGCAGCUGGCAGNNNNNNNNNNNNNNNNNNNNNNNNNNNNNNNNNNNNNNNNNNNNNNNNNNNNNNNNNNNNNNNNNNNNNNNNNNNNNNNNNNNNNNNNNNNNNNNNNNNNNNNNNNNNNNNNNNNNNNNNNNNNNNNNNNNNNNNNNNNNNNNNNNNNNNNNNNNNNNNNNNNNNNNNNNNNNNNNNNNNNNNNNNNNNNNNNNNNNNNNNNNNNNNNNNNNNNNNNNNNNNNNNNNNNNNNNNNNNNNNNNNNNNNNNNNNNNNNNNNNNNNNNNNNNNNNNNNNNNNNNNNNNNNNNNNNNNNNNNNNNNNNNNNNNNNNNNNNNNNNNNNNNNNNNNNNNNNNNNNNNNNNNNNNNNNNNNNNNNNNNNNNGUCGAGGCGGCAGCGGCGAGCUCCGGCGCGGAGGCGAUCUAUGGCGGCGGCGGCUCGGGAUGCGGGAGGGCAGGCGGCGGAUUUAUAAGAAGGGGCGGAGGCCUUGGGGAAGGGGCCAAGGAGAGGCCGGGACGGUCACGGCCGUCGAGGCCGGCGCUCGGGAGGCGUGCGGCGGCCGGUCUCCCGCUCGAUAGCUCGGGGAUGGCGGCGGCGUGGGCUGGGCCGCGGCCUGGCCUGGGAGCUGGGCCGGCCCGGUUGGCGGGAAGGGUUUUUUUUAUAAAGUUUUUUUUCAAAGAACUAAAAUAAUAAAAACAAAAUAACUAAAAAUAUUAUAUAGGCAUAUAAUAUAUCAAAAUUUUCAGAAAAAGAUUUUCUACAACAUGAACAUUAUUCUAGCAUUAAGUAAAAUACACACCAAUUCUAAUAAUUCAAAGAGUGCUACCGGUCUAAUAGAAUCCAACAAAAAUCAUUUUAAAAUUUCCAAAAAUGAUUUCAAAUAAAUUUUUCUCCAAUUUUCUAUUGUAGGGAAUCAUGUUACCCUAAUUUCCAUGUAUUUUAUUUUUGGAGAAAAAUAAUUUGAAUAAAACUCAAAAUAACUCCAAAUUGAAAAUAAAUUCAAAAGAACUUUAAAUUUAAUUCUUUGAAACUCCCAACUCAUAUUUCAUAUAAUUUGAAGAAGUCAUUUUAUCUUCUCUCAUGAAAAUCAUUGAGCUGCAUGAAGUUUAUGAAUUGAAAUAUUUCCAAAUGAAAUCCAAUUAUUUUCAAAUACCCUUUCAUUUAAUUAAAUGGAAGAAGUCAUGUCAUCUUCGCUCAAGGGUUUUGUAUUUGAAAGGAAUUUAAAUUCAUGGAGAUCAGAAAGCAAAUAUGAAAGUUUGGGAAAGUCCUUUUAUUCCCUCUCAUUUAACUUUCAAAAAGUUUUCGAAUUCACUCACUUUCACACAAUCAAUUAAUUCUAUCUAUUUAUUAUAACAUUCCAAAAUUUAGAAUUUUGGGAUGUUACAAACCUACCACCCUUAAAUGAAUCUCGCCCUCGAGAUUCGGAGAGGCUAGCAAGAAAAAGGUUAGGUUCGGGGUCUUCUCAAAAUCCUUGGAUCGUCUCCGGGGUCUCGGGUGCUACCACCCUUAAAAACAUGGUUACGGUUCCAUCAAAACUCAUAUACUCCAUCCUUAUUGUUGACAGUGUCGGUCUUGUAGAUCUCGGAAAAAUUCCAUCUCUGGCUCUUCCGGUAGCGGCAUAACCUUUUCCUCAAUUCUUAUGUCCUUUCAUCUUGGUAAGGUUAUUCCGAGACUGGGUCUUCUUAGCUGACGGUCUGGUGCCAAGACUAAACAACUAUCGAUAUCUCAUGGUGGUCAACAAUUUGUGGUUUCUCCUGCAGGAAAUGGGUCUGGGUGUUCCUCACCGUAUAACCUACGGUUGGAAAAGCUGCCUUGUACAAGGGUAAAAUACCUAUACCAUUCUAAGGCUUAAACGAGGUUUUGAUCAUCGGCACUCUACUAUAGGUAAGUCACUCAGAUUUACCAUCCCAUAUAGCAAGGCGAAUAAUGAGAGUAAUUCGGUAUGGUGAUCAAUCCAUCCCGCACCCAAAUCAUUACCAUGUAUACAGUUUAGCGAAUCUCGCAUACUAACACUCAGUCAUCCUCACAAGCAUUGCAGAAUUUCUCUCGUCUUCGAACCAAGUUCGGAAUAAUCCAUUGAUUCUGUAAGCCAAGCAAACAUCUAUCGUUCCUUCACAACUCUCAGGUUUUGCGUAAACUCCUAUAAAAUCGUCUGUCGACAAAGGUAUAUCCACUUCCAGGGUUUUUCCUUCAGCAAGAAUGUGCUUCCUUCUUGGCAGGUCCUGGGGCCUGUGGGUUAUGGCACAUCUCAUCACUUGUAGUCCUUGAACUUAUCAUCGGGCAACUUAUCAUUAUUCCAACAUCCAACUUCCAGCUUCCUAGCAUACUUAGAAUCCAUCCAAUUGUAUUGUCUUCUUCCUUCUAUUGGCACCAAACUAGGACAUGAUUACUCAGACACAUCAUGGAGUUUCCAUUGAUCCAUAUUUCCGACAUCAUACCUCCUUUAUAUCCAAUAGUAAUUCAUCUCUUCAUCCUCGUGGGAUAUCCCUCAUACCAAGAUAAAAACUUAUACUUAUGAAGUCCAUAUUCCACUUGGUGGAACAUCAUUAUCCUUUCCGCGGUCAAGCGUCCUUACAUGGGAAUAUUGGCCAUCUCUGCAUGGCACUUCUUCAACUGGGGAAUGUGAAACACAUCAUGAACUCCUGACAGUCCUUCGGGUGACUCCAACUUGUUGGCCACUUCUCUCAUACGCUCCAAAACUCGGUAUGGUCCUACAAAUCUCGGGGCUAACUUUACCUUAACUCCAAUUCGUUUAACUCCUUGCAGAGGGAACACAUGAAGACAUGCUCUGUCUCCAAUUUCAUAGACUACCUCCUUGAGUUUUUGAGUCUACAUAACUCUUCUGCCUGGACUGAGCUACCUUCAGUCUAUCUCGAAUCAACUUAACAUUCUCUUCUGACUCCUUGAUCACAU
rnacentral:lncRNA from 1 species